GGAGAUCAAGAAAUACCAAAGAGCGACCGUUUUCGUUACCUAGGAUCUAUCUUGCAAAAGAACGGAGAAUUAGAUGGAGAUCUCAACCAUAGAAUACAAGCUGGAUGGAUGAAGUGGAAGAGUGCAUCUGGCGUGUUGUGUGAUCGCCGUAUGCCAUUGAAGCUCAAGGGAAAAUUUUAUAGGACGGCAAUAAGGCCGGCGAUGCUGUAUGGCACAGAAUGUUGGGCGGUGAAGCAUCAACACGUACACAAAAUGGGUGUAGCGGAGAUGAGGAUGCUUCGUUAGAUGUGUGGGCACACGAGAAAGGAUAAAAUUAGGAAUGAGGAUAUCCGGGGUAAAGUAGGAGUAGCCGAAAUUGAAGGAAAGAUGAGAGAAAAUCGGUUACGGUGGUUUGGACAUGUGCAAAGAAGGCCUACUGACGCUCCGAUUAGAAGAUGCGACUAUGGGACAGAGGUUCAGGGCCGAAGGGGUAGAGGAAGACCUAGGAAAACUUUGGAAGAGACUCUAAGAAAAGACUUAGAGUACUUGGAUCUAACGAAGGACAUGACACAGGACCGAGCACAAUGGGACGUUCUAAGGCGUUCUAAUUCAUAUAGCCGAUCCCACUCAGUGACUUGGAUUUUCCAAGUCUCCAACCGAGAAGUUUUCCUCACUCGAAAAAUUAAGGGAACACUACCCCAACCUACAUGCUCCACUCAGAAAGCUUCAACAUACAAGCUUCAACAAAAGAAAAUUCAAAAGAACUUAGUGAAGAAGGCUUUGGUGUAUUUAACACAAUACGUUGAAAUGAAGGAAAACUUAUUUAUUGAUAUCCCCGAUAAGCUACAAAUAUGUACAUAUACAUGAGUCAAAAUAAACAAACAAGAUGGAGCCUUCACAAAGGUUGCUUAGGAGAAGUCUCAGCAGUCGGUAGAGCCCCAGAAAGAGAAGGCAUCGGAGGGGGAUCAUUCGGAGCCUCAGUACUGGACAGAACCCUAGAAGGAGGAGGCAUCAGAGGUUGAUCAUUUGGAGCUUCAUUACGCGGUACAGCCCCAGAAGACGAAGGCAAUAAAUGCCUUUGGAACAAACCCACAAAUCUCUGAUGAUCAAGUAAAACCUGACCAUCAGUUUCCUUCAUCUGGUCAAGCUUCCUCUUUCAUGUUUGUAGCAUAGUCAUGUGCGAGCCGGUGCAACUGUUUAUUCUCAUGCUUGAGCCCUCUAAUCUCCUGUUUGAGACUCAUCACUUCGGCCGCCAAUGAUUUCAACUUGGCGGGUUCGAGCAAAUAUAGGCGUUGGGCCAUAUUAGACACAGAACCUGCACACUGAACACUGAGAGCCAGUGAAUCCUUAACAGCUAACUCAUCAGACCGUUUGGAAAGUAGUCUGUUAUCUUUGGGAGUGAGAAGGUUCCUGGCCACCACCGCAGCGGUCAUAUCAUUCUUCAUCACGGAAUCCCCAACGGUAAGAGGACCAGUAGGGGAGACGAAGGAUGGGCGCCAUAUGUUGUCUGGAGAAGGCGGGGCUGCCUCUUCAACAAGGUUCAAGUCAAAACGACGGUCGGAGGGGCCAGACAUUUUCAAAGGGUAUUGAAGAGAGAAGAGGUCGGACAAAUCAAGAUCUUAGAAGUGCAAGAAUGGAGCUUCUACUGGUGGAGAUUCAAGUGUGCUUUGGAACUUAAUGCCAGCCCCUAUAAAAAGCUGCACUCGACGGAGCUUCAGACAUCGAAGAGGCGCCUGCUCAGAAAUCGAAGAGGCGUUUGCUUUCUCAAAAGCUGGGCUGCUUAGAGACCACGAGGGUUGAUCUCAUAAAUCGAAGAGGUGUCUGCUUUCUCAAAAGUUGGGCUGCUCAAAGACCACGAAAGCCGAUAUCAGAAAUCGAAGAGGCGCUCGCUUCCUCAAAAGCUGGGCUCCUCAGAGACCACGAGGGCCGAUCUCAGAAAUCGAAGAGGCACCUACUUUUCCAGCCUUGUCAGCACCUGUCACACGCACACUCAACUUUGCGGAAAUUAUGGGUAUUCUGUUGAAGACUUCUGGGGAAGUAGAAAACACAUGAAUCUUACUGUCCAAUCACCCACUUCCCACACGCAGCAAUAGCUCAUGGGUACCACAGAUAACUUUGCCAAAGUUCUCUGCCAAAGUUGAGCACGUGAAGCUUGCAGCUCCCACUACAUCGCUCUGACCAAUAAGGGUAAAAGAAUAGCAAAGAAACAGCACUAACAAAGUUUAGACCCAUAAAUUUUGAAGGUCUAGCUACCAUAUUAUUACCCACAAGGGUAAAGGAACAGUACCACUGUUGGAUAAUUGGAAAGUCCCUGUGUGUCAACCUCUGUGCCUCGUGGCAAGGUAGACUAGCAAACAUGCCCAACCUUUACUCACAUUCGAGAAAACACUCCCAAUAAGAUUGCUUGCUCCAAAAUCGAAGAGGCACCGUCCUCCGAAUCUCGAGAGCCAGACUCCCAACAUGACUACUUUCUCAAAAAUCGAAGAGAGGGUAAAGGAAACAGUACCAUUGCUGGAUAAUUGGAAAGUCCCUGUGUGUCAACCUCUGUGCUUCGUGGCAAGGUAGACUAGCAAACAUGCCCAACCUUUACUCUCACAUUCGAGAAAAACACUCCCAACAAGAUUGCUUGCUCCCAAAAUCGAAGAGGCACCGCCCUCCGAAUCUCGAGAGCCAGACUCCCAACAUGAUUACUUUCUCAAAAAUCGAAGAGACACUGCUCCCCGAAUCUCGAGAGCCAGACCCCCACCCCCAACAUGAUUGCUUUCUCAAAAAUCGAAGAGGCAUCGUUCUCCCGAAUCAAUCGAAGAGGCGCUCGCUUUCUCUCAAAAGCUGGGCUGCUCAGAGACCACGAGGGCCAAUCUCAGAAAUCGAAGAGGCACCUUCUUUUUCUAGCCUUGUCAGCACCUGUCACACGCACACUUAGCUUUUGCGGAAAUUAUGGGCAUUCUGUCGAAGACUUCUGGUGAAGUAGAAAGCACAUGAAUCUUACUGUUCAAUCACCCACUUCCCACACGCAACAAUAGCUCAGGGGUACCACAGAUAACUUUGUCAAAGUCUCUGCCAAAGUUGAGCACGUGAAGCUUGCAGCUCCCACUACAUCGCUCUGACCAAUAAGGGUAAAAGAAUAGCAAAGAAACAGCACUAACAAAGUUUAGACCCAUAAAUUUUGAAGGUCUAGCUACCAUAUUAUUACCCACAAGGGUAAAGGAACAGUACCAUUGCUGGAUAAUUGGAAAGUCCCUGUGUGUCAACCUCCGUGCUUCGUGGCAAGGUAGACUAGCAAACAUGCCCAACCUUUACUCACAUCCGAGAAAACACUCCCAACAAGAUUGCUUACUCCAAAAUCGAAGAGGCACCGCCUUCCGAAUCUCGAGAGCCAGACUCCCAACAUGAUUACUUUCUCAAAAAUCGAAGAGACACUGCUCCCCGAAUCUCGAGAGCCAGACCCCCACCAUGAUUGCUUUCUCAAAAAUCGAAGAAGCAUCGUUCUCCGAAUCUCGAGAGCCAGAUACCACAUACCACUUUUUCAAAGUGCUCUGACAGAGUUAAAACAUGUGAAGCUGGCAGCUCCCACUACCGUGCUAUGACCAAGCAGGGUAAAGGAAUAGCAUUACUACUUGUUGUUAGGGAGACUCCUAUAUAUGUCGACCUCCAUCCCCAACGGACAGGCAGACCUGCAAAAAUGCUCAACCCUUCCUCAUAUCUGAGAGGGCACUCCCAACGAAGCCUUUCGAAAUAUUCAGCUUUCUUUCCCCCCGAUAAUACCUUUGCAAACAAGCUAUACUAGAGCAAGAAUAUCUCAUAUCAUCAGGGUUAAAAGCAAGAGUAUCCCAUAUCAUGCUUUUUCCCUGUCUUUUCCUUUGGCCUUGUUUUUACCUGCAAGACAAGGAGAAAGAGAGCAAUCAGUCAGCACUUGAAAUCAAGCUUCCAGCCAGGAACUGACAGCCUGGAACCCCUUACCUGAUUACUUACCUGGCAUUGCUCUCGAGUACUCAUCUUCAACAUCUUAUGUUGCCAGGGAAGAUACCGCAUCUGCUUGAGGAACAGAUAGGGCAAGUGCGAAGGAUACAAGGAAGCAUGUGGAGACAAGCGUAACAGCACACGUGCCGAUCCAUCCAUUACUCUGUCAAAAGCAAAAGUAUCCCAUAUCAGCAGGGCCGAACGUACUCUAGAUUUGAUGGACUUGUUUUGACCCUCAAAUUCUUCAGUCGGCCUUAUACUCUGGAGGAAACCAGAAAACCCUCCAGCUCAGUUCAAGAAUAAGCCUGUGGAAAGUUACUUCUUCAAAAGCAAAAGUAUAUCCCAUAUCAUCUCUUCUCAUUUUUCUUCUCUUUAUCCUUCAUGCUGCUGCAAGAUGGGGAGAAGGUGAACAAUCAGCCGGAGCUCUGAUUGCUUACCUUGUCUGUCACCUCUUUCAGCAAAUCCCCUAGCUCGGCGACUUGGGGGACUCCUACUACAUGGUUUGUAUCGCGCUUGACCAAGCCUGAAACUACAAGUAAGCUUCAAGUGAAAUUGAUACAUUACCUAGUGCAUCUCCACCAGUUAAAGAUACCACCCCUGGAUGGAGGAAGAGUACUUCCAGAGAGCUGCCACAUCUACCUAUGAGACAGAUAAGGCAAGUCAAGAUGAUACCACACUCCGAUACUUAGAAGUUUCGUGAUUACGAGAUCAUUCUCCCACAAUAUUUCCUAAUGUCAUUUGUACUCACUAAAGGAGAGCUUGAACCUAUGUACUUGUGUAAACCCUUCACAAUUAAUGAGAACUCUUCUAUUCCGUGGACGUAGCCAAUCUGGGUGAACCACGUACAUCUUGUGUUUGCUUUCCUAUCUCUAUCCAUUUAUAUACUUAUCCACACUAAUGACCGGAGCAAUUUAGCGAAGAUCACAAAAAGCGACCGUUUUCGCUACCUAGGAUCUAUCUUACAAGAGAACGGAGAAUUAGAUGGAGAUCUCAACCAUAGAAUACGAGCUGGAUGGAUGAAGUGUAAGAGUGCAUCCAGCAUGUUGUGUGACCGUCGUAGGCCACUGAAGCUCAAGGGAAAAUUUUAUAAGACGGCAAUAAGGCCAGCGAUAUUGUAUGGCACAGAAUGUUGGGCGGUGAAACAUCAACACGUACACAAAAUGGGUGUAGCAGAGAUGAGGAUGCUUCGUGGGAUGUGUGGGCACACGAGAAAGGAUAAGAUUGAGAAUGAGGAUAUCCGAGGUAAAGUAGGAGUAGCCGAAAUUGAAGGAAAGAUGAGAGAAAUCGGUUUUGGUGAUUUGGACAUGUGCAAAGAAGGCCGACUGACGCUCUGGUUCGAAGAUGUGACUACGGGACAGAGGUUCAGGGCCGAAGGGGUAGAGGAAGACCUAGGAAAACUUUGGAAGAGACUCUAAGAAAAGGCUUAGAGUACUUGGAUCUAACGGAGGACAUGACACAAAACCAAGCGCAAUGGCGUUCUAGGAUUCAUAUAGCCGACCCCACUUAGUGGGAAAAGGCUUUGUUGUUGUUGUUGUUGUUGUUGUUGAAGACUGAUGAGGGGAUAUACGACUCACAAACAACUGAGACUGUCCUUUUUUUUUUCUUCUUUUUUUCAUAUCAACAAACACACAAAUUCUUAUAUUUCCGAAAGCACUUGCAUCCCAACAUAAAAACUUAAAUAAUACAUGAAUCAUCGAUGUUUUGCUUUGCAAACAGCCAAGGGGAUGGGAACUAAAAUAAAUUUCGUGACCAAGAACCUCUUAAAAACCAAGCUUGAAAGCAUAAAAACAAAGCUUUCAAUCUUUCUGUGCAAAUUAAUAUCAUAAUCAAUUCAACCACAUUUCCGCAAUCCAAAGCUUCAAACUUCAUACAAAAAUACAAUAAUUUUUAGAAUUUCACCCAAACAUAAAGAGAAUAAUAUUGUUAGGUGCGGAGAAGAAAAAACCAGGGAAAAAUGGAAGAUGGAUUUUAGCCUGGAAAAGCAAUUCACAGCAACAAUAAAAAGGUGAAAUUAAAAACUCAAUUGAAUCAAAUGAAGAAUUUUCUAGAGUGCAAACAAUUAGUGUUAUCAGCAAGAAGUUUCAGACCAUAAAAUGCAAAAGCAUGUGCCCAAAAUGCAAUCCUAUAAAACAUGAAACAGCAGCCAUAAGAUAAUCGGAAAUUUUCUAAUAAAAUGAACCGAAGACCAACUUUGAAUAAUUGGUAACGAUGAGGCUUUGACAUUGAUAGAGUGUGUAUGAGAGAGAGAGAGAGAGAGAGAGAGAGAGAUGGAAAUAGAGUUAGAAUUAGACCAAUGCAGAAAUCAACCUUAAGAUUCCCUCUGGGUCAAAUGGUUGCACCAUUGAUGAGAAACAGUCGGUCGGUAGAGGUUGAUAGUAGGAGAACUAACAUUGCAUUCCUGAAACACAAAGGAUUAACCUUUUUCAAUUAUCAUCAGUGAAUGCACUAAUACAGGACUUAAAUUCUGAUAUAUUCAAUAAUCUAGUUGUAAGAACUAUAUCACAGAUCAAAGAUAUGCCAGUAAGUUACCAAUACUCCAACAAUCGAACUAAGUGACAAAACUACAAACACGAAUAUGAAACCAAUGGAAAACAUACCUGCAGAACUUGAACUCGAAGAAGCCAUAGCAGCUUCACAACCAAGCAAUCUUCUCCUCUUUAGCAAAACUAGAAAACUCUCUGAAUAAUAGGUAUUCAAUACAAGAUGAGCCGUGUCUUUGCAAGAGCAGUGAUUGAGGUUAUAUACAACAUUAAUCCAACUCAUUCUCCUAUUAGAAUUAGUGUUGAACUCUAAAACAAAACCUUUUCACACAAUGAGUGUACAAGAUCAAUUAGUGUAGGAUCCGAAACCUUUUCCAGAGGAACACUAAAAGCACUCAUAAUCCUACAAGGACGAGGAUUCAACCAAACACCUUAUCAAGACUUUUCCAUUCAAGAAUUCAUCCAAUAUUAUAGCUAAUCCUCAAACAUGUUUCAUACUCAUAUUCCAACAUUCUCCCACUUGAGUAUGAAGACAUAAUGAUUAACUAAAUGAAUGAUGGAAGUGAUCACUAAGUCUAAUCAUAAGGCUCGCAAUUUCGUAUUCAAACUCACCUAUGCAAUUCAAAAUAUGGAACUCUUGAAUUCUAUCUGCACAAUUUCAGAUUUCAUCCAAGAAUUACAACAUAUCCAAGUUUGCAUGUUGUAACUGUACGAAUCAAUAAUCACAGUAAUGCCAAUACUCAUUACUCCCACUGAUUUAUGCCAAUUUUAACCCAAUCACAGUUAAAAUCUCAGCAAACAAUCAAAACAACAACCAUUCAAAACAGAACAGUACUCUAAAUAGUUCCAAAGUAUACCUCAGCAAAAUCACAAACUGAUUCACUAGCAAACUCAAACUAUUCUUAUUUCAAUACUAGCUUUCUGAAACAAUCAAUCACUAAAACGAAAAAAAAUUGAAUACUGAUGAAAACAAAAAUAAAAGUCAAGCUGGAAAAUUAGCUAGAUAAAGAUACCAGCUUGUCACAACUAAUUGAACUCGAGAAAUCUUCAAUUGCGGCAACAUAUAACCACUGCAGCCUUAAAAUAAUCCCAAAACCUGAUCACUGCUCACUCCCACUUAUCAAAAGAUUCUAACACUCCCAUUUUAGUAACAUGUGCCUUAAACGCAUUGUUUGGCAAGGCUUUAGUAAGAGGAUCAGCAAUCAUCUUUUCAGUAGGCAAAUAUAGAAUUUCGAUCUCUCCUUUUUUCACCAUUUCUCUGACUUUAAGAAACUUCACAUCCAUUAGUCUUGACGCUGAGGUUCUCUUAUUGUUCUUGGAGAAAAACACUGCAGCAUUAUUGUCACAAAACAUCUUUAAAGGCCUUUUAACUGAGUCAACAAUUCUCAUCUCAGCCACAAAGUUUCUCAACCAUACUGCUUGUUUCAUUCCUUCAAAACACGCAACGAAUUCAACUUCCAUUGUAGAAGUAGACACUAUUGUUUGCUUAGCACUUUUCCAGGAGAUAGCACCAUCAUUUAGCAUAAAGAUGUAUCCCCCAGUUGAUUUCCUCUCAUCUACGUCCCCAGCAAGAUCUGAAUCUGUAGACCCAACCAAUUCUAAGGUAUCAUCUCUGCCAUAAACUAAUUGAUAAGCUUUUGUUCUCUGCAUGUAUCGUAAUACUUUCUUUGCAGCCACCCAAUGAGAUUCUCCUGGAUUUGUUUGAAACCUUCCUAACAUUCCAACAAUGAAUGCUAAGUCAGGCCUCGUACAAAUAUUAGCAUACAUAAUGCUUCCAACUAAUGAGGCAUAAGGCUUCAACUUCAUCAAUUCGACCUCAUUCUCAUUCUUGGGACAUUGAUCUCUAGAAAACUUGUCACCUUUAUUAACUGGAAUUUGCCUUAUUGCAUUUCUCCAUAUUAAAUCUGUUCAAUACCCUUUCAAUGUAUCCCUUUUGAGACAGCCCCAGAAGCUUUCUUUUUCUGUCUCUUGUUAUUUCAAUCCCCAGAACAUAAUGUGCUUCCCCUAAAUCCUUCAUUUCAAAAUUGGUACUCAGAACAGUCUUCGUCUCUCGAAGUAAUUGCAUAUCGGAACUUGCAAGUAGAAUAUCAUCAACGUAUAGGACCAGAAAAAUGAACUUUGAUCCUUUGUGUUUUAAAUAUAUGCAAUCAUCCAUCUUGUUCUCAACAAAACCAUGAGCAGUAACUACCUGAUCAAAUUUGAGGAACCACUGCCUAGAUGCUUGUUUAAGUCCAUAAAUUGACUUGUUUAGCUUGCAGACCAUAUUAUCUUUCCCCUUUCAGAAAAUCCAGGAGGUUGGACCAUGUAUAUGUCUUCCUCUAAAUCACCAUUCAGAAAGGCGGUUUUAACAUCCAUCUGGUGUAGCUCUAGAUCAAAAUGAAAUGUCAAAGCCAUGAUGAUCCUCAUAGAAUCUUUGGAAGAAACAGGUGAAAACGUGUCAUUGUAAUCAAUCCCUUCUCUCUGAGUAAAGCCUUUGGCUACUAACUGAGCCUUGUAUCUCUCUAUGCUCCCUGCAGCAUCCCUUUUAGUUUUGUAGACCCACUUGCAACCUAUUGGUUUAGCAUUUGAAUUGGAGUUCACAAGGGUCCAUACUUUGUUCUUGGCCAUGGAAUCUAGCUCUUCCAUCAUCGCUUUCUUCCAUAAUGCAGCUUGAGAACAUUGAAUUGCUUGUUGAUAAGUGGCUGGAUCAUCUAUAUCACCUAUGUCGAAUUCUGCCUCUUGGAGAUAGACAUAAUCGGUUGAAAUUGCAGGUUUCUUGGCUCUACUUGAUUUCCUCAGAUUCAAUUGAUCAUUUACUGGACAUGUAUCUUUCUCAAUGGGAGAACUUGGAGCACUUAGGGGUAUAUUUCUUGCAGAAAAGGUAUCUCCAUGUUCAUUUUGUAUUUCAGCAACUAUUUCAUGUGUCAUCUCUUCAUCAAGAUCUUCUUCCUCUGUCUGAUUUCUAGGCAACACUGAAAUAUGGUUGUAGGCCAUUGGAACCGAGCCAACGAGUUGUUCUGAUUCUUCAAACUCAAAAGUGUCAUGCACUAAGUCUGAUACAUCUUGGUCUUCUAAGAAAACUGCAUUGUAAGUCUCUUGAAUUCUUGUCUGUGCUCGAGGACAAUAAAAUUUAAAACCCUUCGAUUUCUCUGAAUAUCCCACAAAGUAGCAUGAACUGGUUCUAGAAUCGAGCUUCCUUUCAUUUGGGUUGUAAAACCUAGCUUCUGCUUUGCAACCCCACACAUGAAAAUGAUGAAAACUUGGUGUUCUGCCAGUCCAUAGCUCAAAAGGUGUUUUUGGCACUGAUUUUGUAGGCACUCGGUUCAACACAUAGUUUGAUGUCCUCAAUGCUUCGCCCCACAGAAAACCAGGCAGCUUAGAUCUUGAAAUGAGACUUCUAACCAUUCCCAUCAAGGUUCGGUUUCUUCUCUCAGCCACUCCAUUCUGUUGGGGUUUUCCUGGAGUAGUAUACUGAGCCACAAUGCCUUGUAACUCAAGAAAUCGUGCAAACGGACCCUUCUGUUGCCCUGCUUCUGUGUGCCUGCCAAAAUAUUCUCCUCCCCUAUCUGAUCUAACAAUCUUAAUUUCAAGAUUUAGUUGUUUUUCUACUUCACAUUUAAAAACUUUAAAACACUCAAUGACUGCUGACUUUUCUUUUAUUAGAAAAAUGGAACCAUGUCUGGAGUAGUCAUCUAUAAAACUCACAAAAUAUGAAUUUCCACAAAUGGUUUUGACAGGAAAAGGUCCACAAACAUCUGUGUGUAUGAUCUCAAGUAAAUUUUUACUUCUAUUUGCAUCCAAUUUCCUAACAUUGGUGGUUUUACCUUUCAUACAAUCAAUGCAAUCAGAUGCAUCAUUAAAAUCUAAUGCAGGUAUAAAGUUUAACUUUGACAAUUGCAUGAUCCUAUCUUUUGAAAUGUGUCCUAGUCUUUUGUGCCACAACAUAUAGGAAUUGUCAAAGUUAUGCAUUCUUUUGGCAGUUGUGUUCAAAAUACUUAAUUCAAUAUUUAAUACCGUGCACUGCAUUUUCCACAAAUGAUCAUGCAAAAUAGCCUUUCCUAUUAGAGACCCUCUACUGAAAAAUUUCAUGCAUUCUUUGUUACCUAUGAAGGUGACACCUUCAUUUACUAACCUAGAUGCAGAUAUUAGAUUUCUCCUCAUUGCAGGCACAUAUAACACAUUUGACAAUUCUAACACAAAACCAAAAGACAAUUUGAGUUUUACCUUUCCUAUGGACUCAACUAUGACUCUGGUUCCUUCACCAACAUAAACAUUAUAUGCAUUUGCUUGUUUCUGUUUUUCAAAACCAUGCAGUGAAUUUGUUAUAUGCACAGAUGCACCAGUAUCAAACCACCAAGAAUUUGCAGGAAUUUCAAUGAGAUUUGAUUCCUCACAGACAUAUACAUUAGUCCUACCCUUAGCCCUCAGCCAUUCCUUGAAUAUUUCACAAUCCUUUCUAUAAUGACCUUUAGUUUUGCAAUGGUGACACCUAACCUUUUCUAUGUUUUUACUUUUGACCUUAAAAUUGUUAGAUUUAGAGGAGUUGAAAUUCUUAGCAGGCACAUAAGAUUUAUCAAGGUGUUUGGGUUUAGAAGUAUUACCAAAAUUUGCAUUGAAGUCUUUCUUUCGAGAUGUCUGCACAAAAUUGACAGCCUCAACUUCUUUUCCUCUAUCCAUCUUCUGUCGAUUUUCCUCUUGAACACACUGAGAUAUAAGCUCAUCCACUGACCAUGACUUAUCUUGAGUGUUGUAGGAGACUUUCAGUUGACUGAACUUCAAAGGAAGUGCUUGCAGGAUCAUGAACACCAGCUGUUUCUCACAAAUAUUCAUAUCUAAUGAAUUGAGUUUUUCAGCCGCAUCUGUCAUCUUCAUAAUAUGAUCUCUUAUUGAACCACCCUCUUCAAACUUGUAAGUUGUGAGCAGAGUCAUGUACUGAGCAAUUUCAGCCUUCUGUGAUUCCUUGAACUUAUUCUCAAUAGCUUUGAAAUAAUCUUUUGCAAGAUCACACCUUUUGAUGCCUCCUCGCACGGUGUCCGUCAUCCCACUUUCCAAAAUUGACAAUGCCACUUUAUUCGCUCUUGUCCAUCUUUCAAACUCUAACUUAUCAGCCUUUGAACUCUUAUCAGUAAGAGGUGCAGGCUGUGGUGUAUCCAGUGCUAUGUCAUAUUCAUUCAGUGUCAAAAGCAAUUCAAUUUCCCUUCUCCACUUUCUGUAAUUACUUCCACCCGUGAGUAUUGGCACAGCAGCCAAAUUCAUUGUUUUUAGUGAAACUGCAGAAGAUAACAAUGAAAUCAACACUUUGAAUCUUUUAGGAUUCAUGAUUUCUAUCUAUUUCACCAUGUAAUCCUCAUCAUGAGUCAAUUUUGUCAUACAUGGUUUCAAACUUUGAUAAAGAUAACCAUAUAUAGAGUAAACAACUCACAGAAGAUUGCAUUCAAGAAUCAUGUUCAAAAGGGAUGAUGUUCAUAUAUCACACCACAUGAAUCGAAUAUCAAAAUUCAAUAAACCCAAUAUAAAACAGCAGCGGAAACUCAAAAAUAAUUGAUUCAGUUUAUCCAUUUAGAUGAUUUUGAUUCGAAUUGGCGAGAUGCUAGCAAAUUCUCUAAUUAUAAGCAUAUAUACGGUAUUCUUUAGUUCAAAUAAUUUCUUACACUAAUUUCAAGUUUUAAAAUUGUAGACAUACCUUUUGGAACAAUCAAUGAAUGCAAUUGGCAUGAGAAGGAUAAAAAGGACGAAAAUUCCUUAAAUCGCUAUAAACCCAGAAACUGGGAAAAGGAAAAGAGCUAAGGGAGAGGAAAAGUCGCAAAACCCAGCAAACAUAAGGGUAAGACCCCUUUUUUUUUUUUUUUUUUUUUUUUUUUUUUUUAAUAAAACGGUGUCGUUUGCUAUUGUUAUUUUCAAAACAGGUUAUGAUUCUGGGUUUGGUAAUUAUAGGUUCUUGUCCAGAUUGUUGUGCAAAAAAAAAAAAUAAUAAUUCGAACUUAAUGGCAAUUAUCUCUCCCAAGCUCUAAUACCACAUGUAAGAACUAUAUCACAGAUCAAAGAUAUGCCAGUAAGUUACCAAUACUCCAACAAUCGAACUAAGUGACAAAACUACAAACACGAAUAUGAAACCAGUGGAAAACAUACCUGCAGAACUUGAACUCGAAGAAGCCAUAGCAGGUUCACAACCAAGCAAUCUUCUCCUCUUUAGCAAAACUAGAAAACUCUCUGAAUAAUAGGUAUUCAAUACAAGAUGAGCCGUGUCUUUGCAAGAGCAGUGAUUGAGGUUAUAUACAACAUUAAUCCAACUCAUUCUCCUAUUAGAAUUAGUGUUGAACUCUAAAACAAAACCUUUUCACACAAUGAGUGUACAAGAUCAAUUAGUGUAGGAUCCGAAACCUUUUCCAGAGGAACACUAAAAGCACUCAUAAUCCUACAAGGACGAGGAUUCAACCAAACACCUUAUCAAGACUUUUCCAUUCAAGAAUUCAUCCAAUAUUAUAGCUAAUCCUCAAACAUGUUUCAUACUCAUAUUCCAACACUAGUUACCAGAGAAUGACUUUUAUCCUUCUAUAAACAGGCAGUUGAUAAAGGUGACUCUGGCCCAAUAUAACUUGACUCAUAAACUGGAAACUUUGAGGCUUCAAACUCUGAGCCAAAAGUUGAAGCUUCUCACUCAACAAACAAAAAUUACAAAUCCAAAACUAAAAAGAAUCAGAAACAAACUAAAACAUGGGAUUGGUGAAGGCCAUACCUUCGAAAGCAUAGACGCAGACAGCUCUUCGAGAGCGAUCCCAACUCCGGGGUCGGAGGCGGAAACAGAGGCCAAUAUCCUCAAGAUUUUGCGUUGACGAUUGUGAGAUCGGGAUAAAACGGUCGAAACCAAAUUUGCAAGUUUUGAAAAAACGUUAAGGAAUCUGGGUUUCAAUGAAUAAGGAGGUUGCAAAUAAAAUCCCCAAAGAAACAAAAAAAAGGUCUCCCAUGUCGGUAUUUUGUGAGAGAAAAAGCGCAAGAUUCGAGAGCGAGUUCAACAGCAGCAGAAGCACAGAUUUGUGAGAAAGAAGAAAUCGAAGGAAAAAUCGAGAAGAUGCAAGAGAGGCUUGAGGCAAGCAUGGACAAAUGGGUAAUCUUACGUGUAAAGAGGAGAAAGAACGGAGCAGGAAAGCUGUUUGACAAGGCAAUAUCGCUAAUUUAAUUCUGGUGAGCAACGCUUUUCCACCAAGUGGAUGGCAAGGGCAAAAACACCUUUUUACUGUGAAAAAGACGCAAAAACAAAAUGGCACAUAAAAAAGCAUUCAGAGGGCAUUUUCGUCCGUUUACUGCUGGUGAACAGUGUUUUUUUGCUUGAGUUUUAGUAUAGGUUCAACUAAAAAUUGUUAUCCGCGUGAUUAGAAACUGUUAAAAAAAAUUAUCAUAGACUAUUAAUAUUAUUUACAUUAAAAAUGUUACACGAUUUUAACAAACAAAAAAUUUAAUCUAUACAGUAUACACACAAACAAUUGUAGAACUUUUGUCUUUACAUAAAAAAAAUAAAAAAAAUCUAAGUUAUUCACUGAAGCACCUAAAGUUUCUUGAUUGUGAAGAAAGCAACCUCAGCAAGGAAAAAUAUGAAAUAUUAAAAUACAUGCAAUUAAUUUAUACAUCAACGGGCUUAUAUUACAAAAAAAUAAGGAUAAAGUAUUGCUACCUAGUCUUUUUUUUUUUGGAGGAAAAUAAUCUGAUUUUAUACCAAUUAGAGAGAACUUUUUUUCAGCAAUUUAAUAGUCUAAUAAAUUGAUUAUACAAAAAAUCCAUUAAAAAAACCUAAAAACAAUAAACUAUUCACUAAUUUUUCAUACGAAAUAGAACAAAGCUAUAGAAUAUACCUUUUCAUAGUGAGUAUUGUGAAAAAUACAACAUAGCUUGAGACAAUGGUAAUUAACGUGUUUGGAAAAGUCUACCUGCGUGGUGGUGUAAUCGUCACAUAGAUAAACUUCAAUGCCAAUUGAUUGAACUAAGUUUUUUUUUUUUAACAAACAAUAUUAUCUACACUAAAGAGAAAGGUAAGCUUUAGCCUCACAACAAGAGAAGCCUUGCGCAGAGCUCUACCUCUAACAACUCAAUUAUAUCUUGAAAUCGGCUAAGUUGGUAUUGUAACACGGUAAGGUUGGGUAGAUUUUAGAUCCAAAUGUCACCAAACAAUAUUCUGCAGAAUGGCAGUGUUCUGUCUAGAUUGUCCAUGGCACGGACGUAAACUGGAUGAUAACGCAGGGCAACACUGGUACUAUACCCUAAACAUCCACAAGCUAUAAACAAAUAGUUAAAGUUCAUAUGCACCAAGGGUACUAAAACUCAACCCAUUGUUUAGUAAGAAGAACCACAAAAACAAAUUAGUAAAAACCGAAAUGGUUAUCAGAUGGACACAAAGGUUUUUGUACUACGUGAAACUUUGCGUCGAGAAAUUGAAACAACUAUCAGGAGACAGUUAUACGGAUUUCCUACAAUUCUAUAAAUAAUGUAUUCUUUCACCAUUGUUUCAAUUCAAACAAAAAUUAAAGAACAGAAAAGCUAGAAGCAGGAAAAUUGCAACUGAUCAAUAUUUUCCAAACAAAACCAACCUGCAAUGUCCUAGUUGCAAAUUCAACUCCAAUGGUGGACUUAGACUCCAAAGAAAACUCAUUCCUCGUAAACCUCGAAAGAAUGUUCGAUUUUCCAACACCCGAAUCUCCAAUCAAUACAAUCUUGAAGAGGUAAUCGUAUUCGUGAUCCACCUUGUACGCCAUACGUUCUACUCCUCACACACACACCCCCACAACACCUGCCCAGAUCCAGAAUUCACCAAACAAAAAGCUGUUAGCAGUCAAAAAACCAAAAAAAUAAACCCAUUCUCUUGUUUUGACAGAAGGGAUGAGAAAAGUGCUGAUCAGAGAGCAUUUUCUUUACCUACGGUUUCUUUCCAAUGUGAUUUUCCCGAGAAACAAACGGAAAUUGGGUAAUCAUAAAACAAUGACAAUGGCGCGUAGAAUGGUGAUUAACAAAAUAGAGGAUUUUUUGAAUGUUGGGUUUUGUUAUGUUUGCAUUGAAGUUUGUGGAAACAGAGGAGAGGAGAAAAGAAGAAGAAAAGGAUGGCGUUGUACAAAGUUAGAAACAGAACAAUGGAUGAAAAUGCACUUAAACGGCCUUUCACGAGGGAACUGACGCGCCGAAUUCGGAGUCUAUGUAAAGUAAACGACCAUUCAUAAGACAUGACGCAUAAAAUUUAAGCCCAUUCUCAAUAUGGGCUUAGGGCAUAUGUUUGUAACCCACUGAAAAGCUCCAUUAGGGUUUCCUAUCACACACUAUUUAUCUCUCUACACACUUAUGUCAUGUAGUCAUGUUUAAUCAUAUCAGUUGACUAUUGAUUUUAUCAACUUGGGUUACUAAAAAUUAAGAAAUGAGUGCAAUUAUCAUUUCUAACUGUUUUAAAAUGUUAGGAUGAUUCAUAAACAAAUUGGAAGUUCAAAAGAUAAGUCGGAAUGAGCCCCUAAAUUCAAAGGGCAUUUGCCAUGUCUCUCUGUUUUGUGAAUCAUUAAAAGUGACAUUAUUUAUCCUUACAUAUUUUGUCUUUGGUGCACAAAGUGACUACUACUACCUACCACUACAAACCUAACCUCUUACACCACCAUUGUUACCACCACGCCACCACCACGACCAUAACACACAAGCGUCACCACUACCACCACUUACCUCUGUGGCUCAACCACCACACCCCUUAAUCAGCAGCACCACCACCACUAUCACAACCAUUGUCCUAGCCACCGUUGUCAACGUCAUCACACAAAUUAUCAUGUCCAUUUUUGUUAUUAUAUACAAUUAUAUCAUUUUACAUUAAAUUUUACCAAACACGCUUUUACAAUGCUUUUCAUACUCACAACACUUAUAAAAAUACAGUUAUCAAACGCUCAGCUACUUUAUUUUGUAGCUGAUUAUUCUUAAAGCACAACAUAAACAAUUUUUUUUUAAAGCAUAGUACUCCCCAACUGGCCCUAAGUCCACAAAUGAGUCAUCCCAAGCAAAGCCGGUCUUGAGUUUUUUGGUGCCCGGAAAAGAAUCAGAAAGUGCCUUUUCUUAAUACACGGGUAUAUAUUAAAAAUAAAUAUUUAAAAAGAGUGGGCCAAACCCUUCAUACAUAUUAUAUUACUCAAGUGCAAAGGUAAACGUUCAUAGCUAAUAAGGAUAAAACUGUUAAAAGCAUAGUUAGUUAGAAUUGUUAUAAGGUGGUUAUGAUAGCUUGUAAUUAGUGAAUGUUUGUUUGGGUAUUUUUGUAAUUAGCUGGUUAGCUAAGACUAGUGAGUCACUAGUAUAUAUAUGUACAUACCAUUGUAUAAUUUUAUCUUGAUGAAAUGAAAAGAUAACAUUUCUAAUAUGGUAUCACCCACCUAAAAGUCUCACGACAUUUUCGAUCCUAUUUUUCCCGCCUCUCUCUCUGCAUCGUCUCCUAGGGUUUGCUUCUUCUUCUCCGAUCAAUCGAUCGCUUCAACACUCUUGCUUCUUCUUCUUCAUGCUAUGACGAGCUCUGCAGCUUAGUCUUCUUCCGCUUCAGAUUCUUCUAUUCAUCCAAUUCCUGCUGCUCUUUCUAACCCUAAUUCUGCAAUUACGAUCCAAAACAUUGGAUCCAUGGUUCCAAUCAAGCUUACAACGACGAACUACCUGACCUGGAGUGCUUUAUUCACUCCGAUUUUCCGCCGGUACAAUCUUACCAGAUUAAUUGACUGCACAAUGGCUGCUCCGUCGAAAUUCCUUCUCGAUGCAUCUGGAAAUUGCACCGCCACUCUGAAUCCCCAAUAUGUUGCGUGGUAUGAGAAUGAUCAGAACAUCUUGAUCUAGAUCAACUCUACGCUCUCGGAUGCAUUCUUUACACUGUUGGUGUUAAUUCGGCUCGGGAGUUAUGGUCCAAGUCAUGUAUUUCUCUUUCUAGUGUUUUAAAUAAAACUGUCUGCUCCAGCUGUGCUCUAGGCAAGUCUUCAAAAUUACCUUUUGUUUCUGUUUCCUGUACCUCCAAUAAACCUCUGGAAUUGUUACACACUGAUGUAUGGGGUCCAGCCCCUCUUCUUUCUAUCAAUGGACAUCGUUACUACAUCAUUUUUGUUGAUGAUUAUACCAAAUACACUUGGUUCUUUCCUCUUGCAUCCAAGUCUGAUGUCUUUGACACAUUUGUCAAAUUUAAAGCUCCCGUGGAAAAUCUACUCAGUUCUAAAAUAGUUACUAUAAGAUCUGAUUCUGGUGGAGAGUUUCUUAGUCUCAAGCUCAUCAAUUAUCUGCAAUUACAUGGCAUUUCACAUCAGUUAAGUUGCCCUCACACGCCUGAACAGAAUGGCUGUGCUGAACGCAAACAUCGGCAUCUAGUUGAAACUGCUAGAACUUUUCUAGCAGCCUCUCAAGUUCCUAAGCUCUAUUGGGAUGAUGAUUUUGCCACGGCUAUCUAUCUGAUUAAUAGAAUGCCAACAGCUACCAAGUAUUCUCCUUGGGAAUUACUCUUUCACAAACCUCCGGAUUAUUCCUCUCUGAAAGUGUUUGGCUGCAAAUGUUUUCCUUGGUUGAAGCCUUACAUUUCCUCUAAACUUGAUCCAAAGAGCAAAGUAUGUGUCUUUUUGGGUUAUAGUUUGAAUCACAAUGGUUAUAAAUGUCUCGAUCCUCAUACUGGCAGAGUAUAUCUUUCACGGCAUGUUAUUUUUUAUGAAGUCACUUUUCCUUUUGCUCAACAAGACUUAUCUCAGUCUCUCCCAUCUAGUUCUAGUUCUUCUAUACUGAGGAAUCAUCACACCAUUCCCACAACCUUAACUUUUCCCACUAUAUCUUCACCUUUACCAUCUCAUUCCCUUACUGCACCUAGUUCCCUUAUUGCAUCUAGUUCUCUUGCUGCACCUAUUUCCUCUUCCUCAUCUCCUCACCUUAUUUCUCAUCCCAUCUCUGCCCCUAAUCCACUUGCCGCACCCUCCAUACCUCAAAACACUCAUGCCAUGCAAACUCGUUCCAAAUCCAGUAUUGUCAAACUAAAGGUUUUUUUAGCAACCAAACAUCCCAUUUCCUCUGAGAUGUCACUGGACUAUAUACCAUCCACUUAUCUUCAAGCCUCCAAACACUCUCACUGGAGGCAAGCUAUGCAGGAAGAAUUUAAUGCUCUUAUUCAAACUGGCACUUGGUCUUUGGUCCCUUCUCAUUCUUCUCAGAAUUUGGUUGGUGCAAAAUGGGUAUUCAGAAAUAAACGCAAGCCUGAUGGUACCAUUGACAGGUACAAAGCAAGGCUUGUUGCCAAAAGAUUUCAUCAGCAACAAGGUUUGGACUACACUGAAACAUUUAGUCCAGUUGCAAAGCCGGUUACCAUUCGGCUUCUUCUCACUUUGGCUGCCAAGUUUGAUUGGUUCCUCAAUCAACUUGAUAUUAGCAAUGCAUUUUUGCAUGGUAAUCUCACUGAAUCUGUGUUUAUGGUACAACCACCAGGAUUUGAAGACCUUACAAUGCCUUCUCAUGUUUAUCAUUUGCAUAAGUCUUUGUAUGGUUUGAAGCAAGCCCUCAGGGCUUGGUAUGAGAAAUUAACAACUGCCUUAAAGUCUCUCGAUUUCUCUGGUUCUCAGAAUGACUAUUCUCUAUUUGUAAAACGGGAACCAGCUCUGGUCUUCAUUCUAAUUUUGUUGAUGACAUUAUUGUCACUGGUCCAAGUUCCCAUCUUUGCCAAGAGGUUAUAACUCAACUCGGUGUCUUAUUUCCUGUCAAAGAUCUUGGCCCCCUUUAUUACUUUCUUGGCAUUGAAGUAACAAGAUCAUCCUCGGGGAUAUUGCUUUCUCAGACCAAAUAUAUUCUUGAUCUCCUCACUAAAGCUCAUAUAGAGGGUUCCAAGCCUUGUGUUACCUCGAUUAGCACCACUAAAUUGGAUCAUAAAUCUCCUUUGCUUGAUAAUCCUGAAGAAUAUCGAUCUUUGGUUGGUGGUUUGCAGUAUUUAACUUGGACUAGGCCCGACUUAUCUUAUGCAGUGAAUUUGGUCUGUCAAUUCAUGCAUAGUCCUCGGCAAGCACAUUUCCAGGCCGUCAAGCGCAUUCUUCGAUAUCUUAAGGGUUCCUUGCAAAUUGGCUUAUGGUUUCCUAAGUGUUCCAAGUCUCUCACUCUCACUGCCUUCUCCGAUGCAGAUUGGGCAGGUUGCAGUAUUGACAGACGAUCCACUAGUGGUUUUGUAAUUUUUUUGGGAGACAAAGAGUGCAAAGAAACAGCCUACUGUGGCUCGAUCCUCAACUGAGGCUGAAUAUCGAUCUUUUGCAAACACUGCGGCUGAACUCACCUAGAUUUGCAAGUUACUGACUGAUGUUGCUCUUGUUCUUCCCUCUUAUCCACAACUUUGGUGUGAUAAUAUCUCUGCAAUUUCCUUGGCUAAGAACCCUAUUUUUCAUGCACGAACCAAACAUGUGGAGAUAGAUUAUCACUAUAUCCGCGCAAAAAUUGCUCGCCAAUCAAGUGCAAGUUCUUUUUGUCUGCACGGAGGAUCAACUUGCUGACAUUUGUACUAAACCUCUAUCCAAGCCUCGGUUCAUCUUCCUUCGCAACAAACUCUCUCUUCGGUUCCCUCAGUUAGGUUUGCAGGGGGGAUAAUAAGGAUAAAACUGUUAAAAGCACAGUUAGUUAGAAUUGUUAUAAGGUGGUUAUGACAGCUUGUAAUUAGUGAAUGUUUGUUUGGGUAUUUUUGUAAUUAGCUGGUUAGCUAAGACUAGUGAGUCACUAGUAUAUAUAUGUACAUACCAUUGUAUAAUUUUAUCUUGAUGAAAUGAAAAGAUAACAUUUCUAAUAAUAGCCACUUUAAACUAUAAUCAUUAAGUUCAUCUCCAACUGAACGCUGGCCAAAUGGCUUGUUUUAGCCAUCUGAUCCUCCAAGAAAUUAAUAUUUUAAUGAACUGUGCAUGAUCAUAUUCUUACCAUCUCCAACCGAGGGCCAAACAUAAUUUAUUAUUUAAAUUUAAAAACUACAACUUAAAUUAAAAAAACUACAACUAAAAUUUAAUAACUACAAGUAAAAUUUAUAAAAUACAACUUAUAUAUUUCAAGUCAAAUGUGAGAGGUUUUAUUUAGAGUAGCAAAAAAGGAAAUAAGUGGGAGAGGAAGUAGGAGAAACUAAAAAUGUGGAAGUGGGUGGGAGAGGAAGUAUAAAAAUAUAAAAAAAAUGGAAGUGGGUGGGAGUCCCACAUCGGUUGUGAGAAAGAUUUGAGCAAGUUCCAAAGCCUAUAAAAAGAACACCUAACAUUCAAUGAAACAUACUUUCUGGGCCUAUAAUUGAAUAUAUUUUUUUAAAAAUUUUGGCCAACAAAAAAAAAAUUCAAAUAACUGUAAAAAAAACAAAAAAAAGGGCUAGCUAACUUUAGCUAGUUGACAGUUGCUUUUGAAUUUUAGCCCGGCCAGUUGGCCCUUUGACCCUUUUUUAUCUAGUGGGGCCCACAAUCCCUUUGGUCUAGUUCUUGGUUUGAGGCAAUUUUAAGGUCAUUUUCGACCCUCUGACACCUUUUGGUUGAAGAUGACCUAACAGAAAAAAAUUGAACAUUUUAUGAGACUUCUCUCUCCGAAGAGGUCCCAAAUUUAAGUACUAGUAAACGGGUGCAUUUUUACUCACCCACAUUAACUUAGGUGUAUGCUCACCACACAACUCCAAGCUUGCCAAGUGUCCCUUUGCUUUAAUCCUAGUUAACAUUUUCAUUUGUUAUUAAUAUUUUACUAUAAUAAUACAUUAAUAAUCAUCUUAACAUUUAUCUUUGAACUUUUUAAUCAAUAUUUGUAUCUCAACCGUCCAUCUCCCCUCUUCCUCCCCCCUCCCAUCUCUCUCCUCUGUCACUUUUCCCCCUUUUCUGUCAUUUGGGUGAAUAUCCCAAAUCUAAAAUCUCAAAUUCUAAUACAAAUUUAAAGGGGAAUGGGUGAAUUGAUUUGACGGGGUGAAGUCCAUCAAUAUCGUGAGAAAGGAGCAUGAUGAGUAGAUUUUAUAUUAUAUAUGUUACCCUAAUCUUAGUAUAUUUUGGUUAACAUUUUGGAAGAAUUUUGAUACUUUGAAUUGUAUUUCCAAUAUAGGACUUUCGACUUCUUCUGGAGCAAAACAGAAUCAAAUGGACGAUUUUUUGAGUAAUUCUAGUUGGAGAACGUUCGUGAGUCACUUAUAUUGAUCGUAUCAAAAUCUGGGAUUUUUCCACUAAGCAGUUAUUUUCUGGCGAUAAAAUAAAGGAGCGAUGUGCAGUGCUGGAAAAUGACGUUUUUUGGCUUAAAUUACGUUUUUGUAGCCCAAGAUGACCUCGGAUGGGUUCGUGGCCUUCUGGAGAAGUGUUCAUAAUGUUCCAAACAUUAAAUUCAGCUAUAUUGGGCUGGUUUUGGAGCAGCUUAUGGGUCCAAAAUGUGGCUGUUCAGAUUUUAGGCGAAUUUUCCCAUUUAAUUUAGGAUUAUGUUUCCUAUUUUAUUUAUUGUUACUAUUAGUUUCCUAGAGGAAAAAAGGACCUGUUUUUAGGGUUUGUGUGGUGGUUUAGCAAAUAUAUUGCUUAGCCGUCUACCACAUUUUUCUCUACGCUUUAUUUUAUGCAAUUUUGAAGACAGAGAGAAGUGCUAGGGUUUUGGAGAUUUUCUACUUGAAGGUGUUUUCAAUCAUUUUCUUAAUAAUAUUUUCUAUGAUUUCAAUUAUGAAUAUGCAUAACUAAUUUCCUAUUGCUAGGGCGAAGCCUUGAGCCUUAACAUGAAUACGUGAUUUUUAUUUAAUUGCUUAUGAUUGAUUGCAUGCAUACUUUGAAUUGUUAAUCACCGGGAUAAAAACUAUCUAAUUAUCUUAAUGCAUGAUCACCAUUAUGAUCUUUAGAAAAGUAAUUUGAUGCAAUUUUGGUCGGAAGGUUCCCUGAAAUUGACGCUGGCUUCAUGUGAUUAAUAAUUGUAAUUUCACUUAAGAUGAACACCACGUCUUAAAGGUUGCAUGGUUUUUCAAAGGAUUUUCAUAAAGUAUAAUGAGUCUUUGAUGUUCAGAUUUGAUCUGAAUGUCCGGACAUGUUGCAUGUUAGAUAUACGUUCUAUGUUGGAGGUUCCAAGUAGAAUAUGAAUUAGGAAAAUCUAACCUUCAAAGUGGCAUGUGUAGAUCAUAAGUAAUUGGUAAAAAUUCAUAGGAUUGCUAGGUGAUGGUGGAACCCUAGUGUUUUCUUAAUUUGAUUCUUCCAAAACUGUUUUCUUUUUCCCCCAAUUUUAAUAUUGCAGAUUGUCUUAUUUGUUUUAAUUAAAUUCGUUUUUUAAUUUAAGUAGGCUAUAAAAUCAAUCAUCAUAAUUUCUACUUUACAAUAAUUAAUUGAACUUUGGUUUGUUUCAAAUUAUUUCAUAAUCUCUGUGGAGAACGACCUUGCGAGAUCCGUUUACACUACAACAACCUUGUGAUUCUUGCAAGUAUUAUAGGAAUUUUUAUCUCAUUCACAUGAUUAGUAAAAUCCCUAUCAGAGCACAGGUUGCCUCCAUUCACUCGAAGCAAAGAUGCACAGAUAAGUGAAGAAAAUUUGUACCUAGAAAACUGUUCCAAAUUGUGGGUGGUUGGCAUGGGGUGGUGAGAGGUGGGAGGGAGCAAAUAGCAAGUGAGAGGAAUAAAGGGUCGUCAUUGCUGCUUCAAAUGCUCGAGCAAUUUCCAUUAGAAUAUUAUACAUAAAUAAAAUUACAAUUAGGAGAUAAUUUCUGUGAUUCGAAACGCCAUGGAUGAUUUGGUGGAGGAGGACAAUUUCUUUGAAACUGAAUAAACGCUUCGGGAGGUGAGUUGCAGACGGUUUUUUAUUUGUCUAUUUUUAGUUUAUUUUUAUUUCUUUAUUAAAUUAAUAAAGAGUAAUUAAAUCACAGUUAACCAAGGUUAAGGCAAAGGGACACUUGGCAAGCUUGGAGAUGUGUGGUGAGCAUACACCCAAAAUGGGUGAGCAAAAAUGCACCCCUAGCAAACUUAUUCGGUUCUUUAAUUAUCAUCACAUCAAAUGCCCAGAAAGGUUUUGCCCACAUCAACAUUUUUCUAUUUUUUAAAUUACAUAUAAUUUGUUUAAAGCCAUCUUCACUUCACCUUGUAACUAAUUGCUUACAAUAUAGGAAAUUUUAUUUUCAUGGUCCUAUAAACUCCUACGUUUUAAUGACUCUUUUGAUAUAAAAAUAAUUCAUUAAAGUAAUUUAAACUUUUACAUUGUUAAACGACUCUUUCUAUAAAAAAAAAUAAGGGUAAAGUAUAAAAAACUAUCUCAACUAUUAGUGUCACGAUACUUUCAUAUCUCAUCUUUUAAAAUUGAUAAUGUCAUACUUCAUCUUUAGAAUUUGGUCCAAUAUUAUACCUUCUGUUACUUGGCUGUUUACUUUUCAAUUAAAUGUUGACGUGACUUGAUUCAGAGCCCACUUUCUAUUAGAAAAUCAUUAAAAUAUUAUUAAAAGCUAAAAAAAAUAUUUAAUAAUUUUAAAUAUUAAAAUAAUAAAAAAAGUAAAAAAAAAAAAAAAAAAACAACCCUAAGUUCGCCCCUCCCCUUCCCCAUCUUCAUCUUCAUCUUCAUCUUCAUCUUCAUCUUCUUCACCCCCCCCCCACCCAAAAAAAAUGAAUAAUAAAAAACUCAUAUCCCGUCGGCGGGAAGAUGAGUGCGCGGAGAAGGUGGAGGAUGGGUGUGGAAUAGGAUGUGGAGAAUGGAUGAGUGGUGGAUUUGGGGUUGGGUUUUUUUUUUUGGGGGGGGGGGACGAACUGGGUUCGCUUUGGAUUUUUUCUUUCUUUCCUUUUCUUCUUCUUCUUCUUCUUCCUCUUCUUCUUCUUUUUCUUCCUCCUUCUUCUUUCUGGGUUGUUGGGGGUUGAGCGAACUGGGUUGGGUUGGAAUUUUUUUUUUCCUCUUCUUCUUCUUCCUCCUUCUCCUUCUUCUUCUUCUUCUUCGGGGGAGGGGGGGUUCUUCUUCCUUCUGGAUUGUUGGGGGUUGGGCGAACUGGGUUGGGUUGGAAAUUUUUUUUUUCCUCUUCUUCUUCUUCCUCCUCCUUUUUUUUUCCUCUUCUUCUUCCUCCUUCUCCUUCUUCUUCUUCUUCUUCUUCGGGGGAGGGGGUUCUUCUUCCCCCUUCUUCUUUUUGGGUUGUUGGGGGUUGGGCGAACUGAGUUGGGUUGGAAAUUUUUUUUUUUCCUCUUCUUCUUCUUCCUCCUUUUUUUUUCCUCUUCUUCUUCCUCCUUCUCCUUCUUCUUCUUCUUCGAGGGAGGGGGGUUGAUGCGUUUUCAAAUUUAUUUAUUUUUGGUUGAAGAUUAAGCAGGGAAGAAGAUGAAGAUGGGAAGAGAAAGGGGGAAGGGACGAACAGAGGGAUUUUUAUUUAUUUUUUUACUUUUCUUUAUUAUUAAAAAAAUAUUAAAUAAUAAUUUUUUUAUUAAAAAUGAGCCCCGAAUCAAGUCACGUCAGCAUUUAACUGAAAAAGUAAACGGCCAAGUAACGGAAGAUAUAAUAUUAGACCAAAUUCUAAAGAUGAGGUAUGAAAGUGUCGUGACACCAAUAGUUGAGGUAAUUUUUUGUACUUUACCAAAAAAAAUAAAUAAUUAAAGUAACUUCUCAUUAUACCAUCUUCAAUGGUGGGCUAAAUACUAAAUUACCCCCCAAUUCCCCGCGUCGUGACACCAAUAAUUGAGGUAGUUUUUUGUACUUUACCAAAAAAAAAAAUAAUUAAAGUAACUUCUCAUUAUACCAUCUUCAAUGGUGGGCUAAAUACUAAAUUACCCCCCAAUUCCCCGCCCCCCCCCCACCAAACAAUCUCCAACCCAUGAUAAAACAUUGGGCUAAAUGCCAAAUGUUAAAGCUGGGCCAAAUACCCCCCAAAAUUCCCUCCCCAUGCGACUGGAUUCGCUAGCAAUUGGGCCAGUCUCAGCCCGGUCACGCUCCAACGCAUCCCACGCGGUGCGCUUGCAAACCUUUCCCAACAGGGGUGUGCCCCUCUGUCAGUCGUUCGUCUGCUACCCAAAAAUCCCAACAGCUAUAAUUUGAAUCCAAGGGCUUGGUUUAAUGGAUCGUUGGUUGAUCCAACAGUCCAGAUUCAAAUUUAAUUUUUUUAAAUAUGUUAUUUUAAAAUACAUUGAAUCCAAUGACUGAGUUCGAACAUCCACACAACUCAAUUUUCUCCUACUAUUAUCCAAUUUAUCUUUUUACCUUUUCUUUCCAUUUCCAAAUUGUUCAACAUGACAAGAGAGCAUAUUAGAGGUCGUAAUUGGACCUAUGAGGAAGAUGUUGCUUUAUGUUUGGCAUGAUUUUCUAUUAGCGAAGAUGGUGGAGUUAGCACAAAUCAAAAUAAGAAGGUUUUGUGGGAUAAAAUCAUUGCAAAGUUUUAAGAAAACUGCAAUGGCGGCGGGCAUGAUGGUGGUGGUGUUUAUGAUUGGUGGAAGACUAUCAACAAAGCAUGUACUUUAUGGAAUAUAAGUUUUGAGAGAGCCGUGGUGGGCAUGGCUAGUGGAAGAAGGGCCACAGAGAUUGUGAGUUUUGUUCUUAAUAUUUUAUUUGUCAUGUACAUAAUAUUAUUUUCCAACUAAGUAUUUUUAUGUAUUUUUUGCAUAAGGUGCCAAAGCAAUGAAAAUUUAUGAGGCCAUCUCUAACCGAAGGGUCCAGAGGGCCAGAUGGCCGUAAAUAGCCCUAAAACUGUCUCCAACUGAGGGCUAGGCUAGAGGGCUCUGGAAUCUGGGAGGGCCCCACGGGAUCAGAGAGGGCUGGCUAUUUUUUUUAAUGUUUUCCUAUUGCUGUCGGUUAUAACCGACAGCAUUAAAGAAGAAUUUUUUAAUACUGUCAGUUAUAACCGACAGUAAUAAUUAUUCAAAGCAAAAUUUUUCUUUUUAAUUACUAUUAGUGUCGGUUAUAACCGACACUAAUUGUUUGAAUUUUUUUUAAUAUAACGACUAGUAGCCGUUGUAUUAACUUUUUUUUUUUAUGAAUUUAAACUUCUUUUUUUUCCCUUUUUUUUCCUUUUCAUAUGAAUCAAAUUUUGUUUCAUAUUUUUUUUCAAUUCUAUUUUACAAAAUUUGUUUCAAUUUUUUUUUAAAUUCUAUUUUUUUCCUAUAACUUCUAUUUUACAAAAUUUGAUUCAUAUUUUUUUUCAUAUAACUUCUAUUUUACAAAAUUUGUUUCAUAUUUUUUUAAAUUCCAUUUUUUUCCUAUAACUUCUAUUUCACAAAAAAAAAUUCAUAUUUUUUUUCAAUUCUAUUUUUUUCCUAUAACUUCCUAGGCCAUUUAUACAACAUUAAAUUAAAUUAAGUAACAUGAAACAACAUUAAAUAACAUUAACCAACAUUAAACAAUUGUAAUUUUUAAAUAAUAAAUUAUGUUUGGCCCUAUGGCCCUUUGACCCUCGGUUGGAGACGAUUUUUGGUGACAGGGCUAAAACGAGCCAUCUGGCCCUUUAGCUCUCGGUUGGAGACGGAGGCCAAUAUGGCCCUGUACUGUUCAUUAAAAUAUUAAUAUCUUGGGAAAUCUUGGAGGGCCAGAGGGCUAAAACGAGCCCUCUGACCAGCGUUCGGUUAGAGAUGGCCUAAGACAAGAGCAACACCAGAAAAUCAAGUUUUAAGUUGCAACAUGCUUAGAACGUCCUCAAGGAUUGUCCGAGGUGGGGAACCGAUGCGGACCAAUAAUGGGAAAGAUUAUUUCAACGUGAAGCCGCACAGACAAAUGCCAGAGAUGAAGGUGUCGAUGAAAUGACCCUAUCUCCUUCUUUUGCAAGGCCCCCAGGAAGAGAUAAGCAAAAGGAAGCAAAGAGAAAAGGGAAGUCCCAAGAUCCGAUGAGUGGACACUUUGGUACUAGAAUUGCAAAAUUGAACGAAACUCAUAGCGCUCGCUAAGAAGAAACGGCCCGAAUGCGUUUGCAAAUGAAGGAAAUCUCAGAUCGGGAGCAAGAUAGGUUUGAAAUUGAAUUCAUGAUGGAGGAACUCAACAAAUACACUUUAAAGAGGAAGAAGUUCUUACGUGGUAAGCAAAAGGAAAUUUUGCAAAAGUCUGUCUCAAGGAGUAUGUUUCAAGAUGAUGAAUCCUCUGAAUCCUAUAUCCCAAGAUUUCAACAAAGUCCAUCACCAAGUGAAGAUGGUGGAUAUGAUUAUUAAGUUUAUGUAGUGUAUGAACUAUGUGCUUUAUUAAUUGAGUUUAUUAAUUGUCGAUUGUAUUAAGUUUAUGUGGUUUAUGAAUUAUCGAUUGUAUUAAGUUUAUGUGGUUUAUGUAUUAUCAGUUGUAUUGUUUCUAUUAAUUUAGAUGUCUUCAAUAAUUAUUGUACUUAUUAUUCCACACUUUGAUGUAGAAUAGAUGUCUUCAAUAAUUCAACGUACUAGACAAAAUACUUUGCACAAGAAGACACUUAAAUUUAUUACUAGAAAAUAACAACAUAGUACACUUAAAAUUAAUCUAGAUGCCUUCAAUAAUUAUUGUACUUAUUAUUCCACACUCUUCUAUAUCACGCUACACAUAUGAACGCUCCGUGACAGAACCACGAUGGUUAGAUUCACUAUGUGGUCAGAUUGCAUAAAUGAGUUGACAAGUUCAACUUUGGCGUUGAACAAUUAUGCAUCCUCAAUCUCGAUCCUUGCUUGGUAUUGUGUCAUCUGCAUUGUCAUGCUACAUAUUCUUUUAUCACCAAUUGAUGAGAUAUUGAGGAUUUUUAGGUAAUAAAAACUCUUUGAAAGUUGAAAGAUUAGUGAAUAUAGAGGAUGAUUGAAGGUUAAAAGGUUGUGUGAUCAACAAAUAGUGGUCAUAUGUUUAUAUAGAGGAUGAUUGAUGAAAGUUGAACAGUUGGUGAAAGUUGAAAGUUUGGUGUUGAACGAUUGGUGAAAGUUGAAAGUUUGGUGUUGAAGGGUUGGUGAAUUGAAAAUUUGGUAUUGAACGGUUGAUGAAUUGAAAGUUAGCACAUGGUUGAAAGAUUGAUGAAAGUUGAAGGCUUGCUUUGUGAAAAAUUUAGUGAUUUUUCAAUAUUUAUUGGAAUUUAAAUUUUUUUAGAUUAAAAUGUUCAUAAAAUUAAUUUACGAUAGUCUACAUAUUUAUUUAAAAAAAUUAAUUUAAGAAAAAUAAUCGCCUAAAUUUAUUCUUUAAUAAUCCCAGGCUAAAAUUUUAGGACAGAACAGUUGGAGCAGAAAAACUGUUUCUGAGCUAAAAUAUUUGGCUUUUAGCCCAACCAUUAGAGAUGGUCUUAUUAGGACAAAAAGUAUUAAAACUUAUGUUUUGAAAACAAAUGUACCAAAAAUUCAAGAAAAUUUUAACAAAAAACUCCCGGUACUGUUUACUUUAACUAAAAACCACAUUUUUGCACUAAAGAAUCAAUUCUGGUACUAUUCACUUUAUCUUUUAUUUUGUCCUUAUCGUUAAAACUCAAAGUUUUUAAGCCAAUUUCAUUAAUUUUCCUAAAAUUCAAAUGUACCAAGAAGCCAAAUGAACCAAAAAUUCAAAUGUAGCAAGUAACAACAUGUACCAUUAUAAUUAAAUGUACCAAUAUAACCAAACGUACCUAUCAACGAGUUUUGUUACAUUCUAUUUAAUUUACUAAAAUAACUAUUUUAAUAAAAAAUAAAAAAAUCUUAAAUCAUCAUAAUUAGAGAUACAUAAAAAUUGGAAGAAAAAAGAAAAUGCUAUCGUGAAUAGACUUUUAAUGAAAUAAAAUUAAGGGUAAAGUACAAAAAACUACCUCAACUAUUGGUGUUACGACACUUUCAUAUCUCAUCUUUUAAAAUUGACAAUAUCAUACCUCAUCUUACGAAUUUGUGUCAAUGGUAUAUCUUUCGUUAGGGUUGGCAUGAAUUUCUCAAUUAAAUGCUGAUGUGGCUUAAUCCAAGACCAAUUUUCUAUUAAAAAUUAUUAAAAAUUAAAAAAAAAUAAUAUUUUUUAAAUAUUAAAAAAAAAAAAACCAACACUCAGUUCAGUUCGUCCCCUCCCCCCUUCUCUCUCUUCUCCCCAUCAUCAUCUUCUUCCCCCUUCCUGCAACUGCAACCCAGAAAAAAAGAAGAGAAAAAAAAAAACCAAUUUGUCUUCCCCCCUCCCCACCCCCUCUUCACCCCGCACCCCCGCACCCCCGCACCCACUCUCCGCACCCAACCUCCCCACCUUUGCACCCAACCUCACACCCACUACCAGCAACCCAAAAAAAAAAAAACCCCAAAUCCUGUUGAGGUGGAAUUAGGAAACCUUCGCCAAGACGAUUUCGAAGGUUGAGACCCUAAGCGCGGAGAAAAUAGGGGGAAUGGGUGUGGAGGGAAAAGGGUGGGUGUCGCGGGGGGGGGGGACGGACGAACUGGGUUUCCUUUUUAUUUUUUAUUUAUUCUCUCUCUUCUUCUUCUUCUUCUUUCUGGGUUUGUUCGGGGGGAGGGGAUUGGGUUGGGUUGGGUUUUUUUUUUUUUUUUUUUUUGUCUUCUUCUGCUUCUUCUUCCUCAUUUUUUCUGGGUUGCAAGGGGUUGGGUUUGUGGUGGUGGGAGAGGGGACGAACUGGGUUUGGUUUGGGGUUUUGUUUUUCCUUCUUCUUCUUCUUCUUCUUCUUUCUGGGUUUGUUGUUGAGGGGAGGGGGAAUUGGGUUGGGUUUUUUUUUUUUUUUUUCCUUCCUCCUUUUUUUUUUUUUUUUGUCAAUCCUUUUGCUUGGGUUGCAGGAAGAUGGGGAGAGAGAGAGAGGGGGAAAGAUGAACUGACCUGAGGUUUUUUUUUUCCCCUUUAUUAUUUUAAUAUUUAAAAAAAUAUUAAAUAAUUUUUUUUUAGUUUGUAAUAAUUUUUUAAUAGAAAAUGAAACCGAAUCAAGCCACAUUAGCAUUUAAUUAAAAAAUUUACGAUCAAGUAAUAGAAUGUAUAACAUUAGCACAAAUUCGUAAGAUGAUGUAUGACAUUAUCAAUUUUAAAAGAUGAGUCAUGAAAGUUAAUGGUAAUUUUUUGUAGUUUACCUAAAAUUACGUACCAAAAAUUGUAGGAAAAAUGUUUAAUCAAAUUUGCAUAAUAGACGUUCAGUAACAUUUAAAAAGUUUUGCCCAACUCAAUAAACACGAGUCAACAACUUUCAAGAAUCUGUAUAAUGUGUUCGUCCCUUAGAGCAAAUCCACCCCAAAACCAACUCCCCAGCACCCAGCCAAAAAAAUAGGCCAGGCCCCUGUUUUUUUGCUCCAGCUCGUUACAUUGCCUGGCACCCAGCCCAUGCCAGGCAACAGCCCAGCACAUUUUGGACUGACCCAGAAGCCGGCCUGUUUCUCAGGCGCGUGCAACACAAGCGCGCAAGGCGCGAGUGGGUUUCAGGGAAACCUGAAAAGGUGUCAGCCCACUUGGGCUCAGUGACGUGGCUUCACGAUAGCCGUUGGAUUUCCAACGGCUAGUUUUUCUAGACCGUUGGAUUUCCAACAAUAAAAAAAAUUUAAAUUUUACUUUUAAACUGGACCGUUCGAUCAAAGAUCAACGGUCCAGAUUAAUUAACUUAAUUAAAAUUUAUUAAAAAAUACAGAAAAUUAAAAAAAAAAUUAUUUUUUUCUUUCUAUAGUUUAUUUGAUGAGUUUAUGUAAUUUUAUUUUAGUGUGUUUUUUUUUUAAGUUUAUUUGAUGAGUAUGUAAUUUUAUUUCAGUGUGUUUUUUUUUUAAGUUUAUUUGAAAUUUUAUCCAAAAUUGGUUAAAAAUCAUAUCCGAAAUAAACUUAAAAAAAAAAAAAACAUACCAAAUAAAUGCGCUGGGUGCCAGCGCAUUUUUUUAGGGGUGGAGAUGCUUUGGUCUGUUACUGUUCACUAGGGUCUAUUACUGUUCACUUGAGUGGAUAAAUGCGCUGGGUGCUGGCACAAAGUCCUUAGGGGUGGACUUGCUCUUGUAAAAACAUAUCACUUGAGGUGAUUAAUUAUACGAACAUAAUCAACUUCUAGAAACUUAAAAUUACAUGAUUAACCAAAAUCAUACUUAGGAAUCUAAGCAAAGAAUCAGAAGAAAUAUGAGAAAAAAGGAAUGGGGAACUUACAAGAUCUUUGAAAAUGAUAAAAGCGAUUACGAAGACAACAAAAGAAGAUUUCGAUCUCGGCGAAUGGAACGAACCGAAAGACCGACUUGACACCCUGAGUCAAUGCGGAUGCAUUUGAAACUCGCUUCGCCACGGCUGCGCGGUCGGGUUGGGCUUUGGAGUCGGAUUUAAUACCAUCGGAAUUAGAUCGGCGAUCAUCCGAUGAGCGAUGGUGGUCAGGUGGUGGUGUGAUUGGUGUCACGGAUGGGUGGAGCCGCGGAGAGCGGGAGGCGGAGGUGGAGGCAGGCAGGUCUGUGUGGACAGUUGGAUCUGGGUGUGGGUGGACGAUGCGGCCUUAGCCUGUAGUCUGGUCGCGAAGAACUUAUGAAGACGAAGAGAAAGGCUUGGAGCUUGGAAGACGGAGAGACCGAAGCGUCGAUGGUGAAGAUUCGAAGACGCAGGAGGGUGAAAAUUUGGUGCCCUCAGCAAUUUUGGGCCCAGGACAGGAGCCCUGUUAGCACUGGGCCAGGGCCAGGCCUGCUCCAAAGUGAAAAAAUGAUGCGAUGCUCUAAUGGCUCUAAUUCAAUGGUUUCUCAUGCUUCUCAGCCUCCCGUGCACUUUGAUUGUUGAUGUUACUCACUCUACUCCUAACGGCAAUGCCCGAAGGGCAUGCAAAAAUCUCUUUUCACUUGGAACAACGCAACAAGCCAAAGCGCGAGAUUUCCCCUACCACAUCGGAUGUUCAUGUAAACAUGCUACAAAUCCUAGUUUGCAGCAAUAUUAUUAGUCCACCACCCAUAAGAUGGAAGGGCACAUUCCAAAGCUCUGGUAGUUUUACUUGCGACAAGUAAAAUCAUUGGGGCACAGUAUUACCGUGCUAAUGGAUUUGACGUAGGUGAUGCCCAAUUUUCAAGAGACACUAUUGAAAAUGAAACUCAUGUUCAUGAAAAGAGAAAUUUUGCAUGAGCUUAUAAGAGGUUGGGCUACUCUCUAUAUUGCUAAUUGGUUUUGUAGUGGAAUCCCAACUUUCUUCAUGGUAUCAGAACAAGUUGUUUCAUGUGUAAAGCCAAAUGGCCACACGGGCUCCAUGUCACCCCGUUGUGCUGUGUACGUGUUAGGCUUGAAAAUUUGCCAAAGGUGAAAUUAGAGGAGGGACCUUGCAUUAGCUUAUAAGAGGUUGAACUACUCCCUAUAUUGCCAAUUGGUUUAAUUUUAAGGUGUGAAAUCAGAGGAGGGACCUUGCAUUAGCUUGUUUUUUUUUAUGAAUGUAUGUAUAGGUAUGGAUGGUGUGGUGUCCGUUUUCCCCAGUGAAAAGAAGAAGCUCCUCACAAGAACGUUAUGGGACUUCAUUGGCUUCCCGGAAAGAGAGUCGAGUAGCAACAAUCUUGACGAAAGCAAUAUCAUUGUAGGAGUGACUGAUACUGGAAUUUGGCCGGAAUCUGACCUAAAAAUGGGAAGGCACUUGACAAUCCUAAGCCAACAUUACUUGUAAUUUGUAUGGCAAACUAGUUUGUUGUCUGUUACUCCAAUCAUCAAUACAUCUAGAAUGUUUUUUAUUAAAUUUGAUCAUGUGAAAUGAUAACUUUUGAAAACAUUAGGAAAUAGGAAAAGCCUAUAGUUUUCAAAUAAGGAUUUGGAUCUCAUCUGGAUCUAAAUUGUGGGGAUCAUAGGGAUCCUCAUAUUCUAACUAUUUAUCGUAUAUCGUGCGAUCAGAAAUCAUUUUGAAUUUUUUAUUUAAAAAUUAAACGUAAAUAGUACUUAACGAAAACUGAUCGCACGUUAUACGAUGAACGAUUAUGAUGUGAGAAUCCUUAGGCCAUCUCCAACCGAAGGGUCAAAAUGGCUGAAAGUACCAAGAUGUUCAAUCUCAAUGACCUUCUCUUUAACUUUGUCUUGAACUUUCAGAUAUUCGAUGUCCAUUAGCCUCAAUGCUUUUGAUCUUCUUUUGGUACCUUGGAACUUUCUUUUAGAUAUUCGAUAUGAUUCAAUUAUUUGUCAAAUGAUUAUUAUUUUUUAUUUAUUUUUUUGAACAAACAAUAUAAUCUACACUAACAGGGAGAGGGUGUGCUUAGCCUCACAAUGGGUUAGCAAUAAUGUGAUUCAAUCAGUUAUUUAUUAAAUAUUAUUUUCUCUAUUUUUAAACACGUUCAAAACAUCUUAAGAGGUGCAUACCACCGAUGAUAAAAAAAAGGUCUUUCGCACGCGCACAAUAAUGUGAUUCAAUCAGUUGUUUAUUAAAUAUUAUUUUCUCUAUUUCUAAACACUUAAGAGGCAUGCAAUGCCGGUUAUAAAAAAGGCAUUUUGCACGCGCAUAACAAUGUGAUUCAAUGACACACCCUGACCCGGAAUGUCCACUAGGACUCCGAAUCGAGCUGUGUUGGUGGAAGGUGAUGAAGCCAUAAAGUAUAGUGAUGUGGAAAAUGUGAAUAAAUUAAAACCUAAAAGUGCCUAAACAUAAUAGUGCAUUGUGAGCGGGAAUGAACCCAUUUCACACGCGACGUCAAAGCAUAAGUAAAGUACAGUAGUGUGGGUAAGGAUCAUACCCUCAGAGGUAGCCACCUAUACUGAGAUUCCCCAAGAGUCCUCGUCGAUACAAACUUUCAGCAGCUAAAACCAGGAGGGGCAAAAAAUAAGGGUGAGUGAGCCUAAAAAUAAAGUUUUAAUAAAAAUCUUUUGAAAACGUUUUAACCCCUCGCUGUAAAACUUGUAUAGUUUCUAGAAAAUAAUACUACGUAUAUAUGUAAAACAAUGCACAAAAACAGUAUAAACCAAGUAUGAAGGUAAAAUAAUAUGCCAGUUGGAGUCACCUAACGUGACCUGUAUGGCUGAACCUAUAGCUCAUCAACCCAUGCCUGCACACGAGUCGGAACCACCUAAUGUGGUCUGUACGACAUGUUGGGUGUAAAUAAGUACGCUCAAGUGCUACGAUCACGUAAAGGCUGUGCGAAUAAUCGCAGGUCACCUAUGAGUCGGAACCACCUAUUGUGGUCUGUACGACAAGGCUGGCAUCAAACUUGGAUCCAAGGUGAACGUGCGGUGCGGGAGGUGAACAUCACGUGAAGGACUGUGCCCUGGCCUCGGGCGGGAGCACUAACACCAGAGUGCAGCAAUGAUGAGCUCUAAAUGCAUCUAUGCAUAACAAUGUGCAAUACAACCAAUACCAUUACAAUAUACUCACCUGAAGCUUACCUAAGCCUCUGCAGCAUCAAACGAUAUAAUGCAUAACAAUAGUAAUGAAAUACUAAAAAUAUAAUUCAUUCAUGACAUGGCAUUCAAAGCAUAGCUCAUAUAAAAAUGUUUCUAGAAACCGUAAAGCAUAUAUAUAAAUACUAUAAAAGGAAGAAGAUCCACUCACUUAGAGUCCGCGUUACAAUUCCCUAGCAUAAACAUCGAGGCAUCAUAAACGAUUGGCGCCUAGAACAAUUAUCAAACCACAUCUCAGAAUCCUUAUCAAUAGAACACGUAACUUGCAUAAAACACAUCCCCAAGGACGUUCUAGAGUGAUUUGAGGCCCAUUGACCACAAGUCAACCGUUGGUCAAAGAUUGACAGUAGGGUCUACAACCCUAGAUAAUUCGAUUUGGAAGAUCCGCACCUCAGAUUUUCCGAUUCGUAACUUCCAAAUAUCCACAUUAUGCUUCUAAAACAUCAUACUAAAUUUUCAUUACAAUCCAACCAUUGGAUCUUCGCCAAUUGCCCAAACCAAGUGGCGGCCAACGUUUUAUUUUACGAACUUACAAAUCCAAUUUGGAAAUACCCACAUUUCGGAUUCCUGAUCUGUAAAUUCUUAUGGUCCUUAAAUAUUACAUACUAUAAUGUACUAAAUUUUGGUGACGAUCUAACGGUCGGAUCGUCGAUUACUGUUCUAAUCAAGUGGUGGAUUUUAAUGGAACUAGGUUCAAACCAUAGAAAUUCGUCAAUCAGACUUCAAAAAUGGAAUCAGGGUAUUCAAAUUUAGCCUAAGAAGGUCAGGAGACGUCUCGGCCCACGCGCUGCCGCACGUGCCACCGCAAGUGGCGGUUGGCCGCCCCGACUCGCAGGAAAAAUCAACUAUUUCUAAAAAUUACCAAAUUUUACAAACAAGUAUAUCUCAGUAAGGGGAACAAUUUUCAUACCUGUGGCCAAGUCCAAUUUGGGCGGGAAGCACCUGAAAUCCACCUUGAUCCGUGAAAACCCUUGAAAUGGGUGUUCUUGACUCGACUCCACACAAGCUCCGACGACUCAACCAUUGCUUAGGCUUUGUUCCUGUAGUUAAGGGGAUUCUAUUGGUGGUGGUGGUCGACAGGAUUAGCUUCAAAUUUUGAUGAUUCGAACCCAAAACCGUCCCCCCUACCGUGCAGGUUCUCCCAAUAUCAAGGUCAAAUCCCUUGAUUUUUGGGGUGUAAUAGGAAGGGGGAAGGUCAUGAAGGGUUUUCCAAGUGGUGGUUUGAUGAAAUUCGCUGGAAAAACGGAUGAUUCACCGUUGAAAAACCUCCCAGAAAUGGGUCGGGUCACGGGUUAAGGGGAGGGUCUGAUUCUCUCUUUCUUUUCUCCCUCAUUUCCUUUCCUCCUGAUUGGCCGGUUCCCUCCCUCAUUUCUCUCAUUUCUCUUCUCUCCUUCUCAUCCCAGCCAUCUAUUUCUUCCUUCCCUUUUCUUUUCCUUUCAUCCCAGCCACACACGUGGCAUUUCACAUGGCUUCAGAUUUUCUGGAGCCUUCUAAAGAAGGUUAAAAUUACCAAAAUAUCCCUAACUUUAUACGUUAAUAUCUCCUUUGUUGUAACUCCAAAUUAUGUUCCGGUUGCGCCCACGCGUUCGUAACGACGAAUACUGCAAGGAUACGUUAAGAAAAUAGAUCUUACAUGACAUGACGAGGCGGUAAAACAAAAUCAACGUAUUUUCCUCAAAGGGCAUUUCCGUACAUUCACUCAUUAAAAUAAAAAAAAAACUAUAAAAUUGGAAAUGGAUCGUUACAUUCAAUUAGUUAUCAAAUGAUCGUUUUUUUUUUUAACAAACGAUAUUAUCUACCCUAAGGAGGAGGAGGUGAGCUUAGCCUCACAAUAGGCUAAUGUCAUUCAAUCAAUUGUUUAUUAAAUAUUAUUUUCUCUAUUUUUAAUGUAAAUUCAAUAGAAUGUAGAUAAAAAUUGAAAGACCGAUUUUAUUAUGUGGAUUUAGCUGCUUUGAUUGGUUUAUGAGGGGUUUCUUAUAGUGUUGUCUAAUAUUAUUCAUUUAGUCCAAAUAUUUGACUUUCUUUUUGUCAUGAAAAUAAAAAUAUUGAAGCAAUUCACGCAUAUAAAUGCAUUUAAAAUGUGUAAGUAGCACGUAGGACACCGUAUUCAAAUAUGCCUUCUGGACGUGUGUAAGCGCUUGCAUUAAGGCUAGUGAUACGAAAUGAAAGGACAAGUUUGAAAAUAAACUAUUCAAUAUUUGUGGUAAUCUUUAUUCAGUAGAAUAUCCAAUAGUUCUCAUUCUCCAAUGCAUCUACCAUUUCAUCUCAAAUACGCUACAAAGAAAGGUAGGCCUACAAAUAACAAUCAGAGGUAGUACAAAAGGUGACCAAAAUAUAGCCACAUCUUCAAUUAUACAUGAAUUAAAAUUUCCACUGAAUGUGUUGACUUCAUGACUUAGUAAUUUAAAGUCUUGGUCCUUGGAAUUAUUAGUUCAUAAAAUACAAUAUUUGUUAACUUGAAGUGCAUGCAUAAAGUUGGAUAAAAUCUAUAUGGUCUUUUAAUCAAUCAGCUGUAGCAAAUAAAUAGACAGUUCAUAAUACUUAAUCUCAGUUGACUACCCUCGAGUUUUUUGGUUUUUGACAUUUGGUACAUCAAAUUUUUUUUCAUCCCAGAAUGGUACUUGAAGUCAUAAUUUAGAGAAACUUUCAUACAUAUGUUAAGGUUAAUGUUAAAUCAAUCGUUGACCAGUGAUGUGAUGCCCACAUGGACAAUACCUGGACGUGUGAUUUACUCGGGAUUUUAUUCGUUUUAAAUGUUGUUUGCCUUAGUCCUUUGGCAUGUGUGAUUUACUUGUUGUGCAUGUGUAAAGUUGGAUAAAAUCUAUAAGGUCGUUUAGUCAAUCAGCUGUGGCAAAUAAAUAGACAGUUCAUAAUACUUUUACUCAUUUGUUUUUAUAUAGUUGAAUGACUUAAUGAUUUCAUAUUUUAUUAUUAUUAUUUUUUAGAUAUGACAUUUACAAAGUAUUUUAUAAUAUGAAUAAUUUUGAUCAUAAACACGAAAUUUCGUGAAUUGAAAACUAAGUAUUUUGAGGAAGUUAAUUUAAUAAAAAAAAUGAUACUAUUGUAUAUAAUGACAAAUAUAGGCAUAGUUGUGGGGAUGGUGGCAACAACAGCAGUGGUAGGGGUAGCGGCAGUGAUGGUAGCGGCAAAUGUGGGGGCUUUGGUUGUGACAAUAAUAGGGUGUGGUGGUUGGGUUGUAGAGGUAAUAGUGGUGGUAGCGGUAGUAGUGACGAUUGUGGUGGUGGUAAUGGUGGUGGUGAUAUAAGGUUAAUUGUUGUAGUGGUAGGUGGUGGCGGUCUUUGUUCUCCGAGGGCAAAAAUAUAUGUAAAAGGAUAAAUAAUGUCAGUUUUCAUUAAUGAGGGUAUUAUAAGAAUUAAAAAAAAAUAUUCAUUAAACGCUUAGCUCCGCUUUUUAUAAAAGCAAGUUUUAAAAGCAACCUAUAUGUUGCUUUUAAAAGCUGUUGACUGGAUGUGACUGUAUUAAAAAUAGGUAUGAUAUAGGUGUAGAGAGUAAGUUAGGUGUAAAAAAAGGUUAUAUGAGUUCAAAUAAAAUUUCUCAUUUGUUUUUGUUAUGAAUAAUGCUAGGAAGACUAAAUUUUUAACAAAAUGCUACUUUUAUCAUCUAAUUGUACCAUCGUUUGUAUCAUAUCUCUAAUAGAGAUGGAACCCAUAUGUGUUGACAGACCUUACCUCUAUUAGAAUUAGAAAGAUGGUACAACUAGGUGGUAAGUGUAACAUUACUCAAUUUUUAAUCAAAUUUGCAAACCAAAUGACGUGUACCAAUAAGAAAUAAGCAUAUUAAUUAACAUUUAACUAAUAAUAACAAUCAUGUCAUUUGGUUAGUAAAUUUGGUUUAAAAAUUUGGUCUUCCUAGCAUUAUCCUUUUGUUAUUGUGCGGUGAUUUGUGGUUUGUGUUAACCUAAAACAAGAUCCAUUUUUUGUCCGUAAUUAAUAUCAAAUCCAAUAGUGAAUGACCAUAUAUUUCUUGGUCACCACAAGAGAACAUUUUUGGAUUUUGGUCAUCCAAAUUUUGUGACACUAGGUUCAAAGUACUCAAUGCCUAAGCUGGAGCAUAACAAAAUCAUGCACAUGGAAGUAGUUUACAUCUCAAAAUACAAGAUUGCAUCAGAUUUAUAUAGACAAGAAAGUCUUUGCAAAUUUAAAGAGAAAAAAAAAUGAGGAGCAAAAAUAUCUGCUACAAGGUAUGGUGGACUUGUAUUUGCACCAUUAGUGUUACAAUCAUAUCAAUUUUAUAUGAUGGCGAAUUUCUUUGGGUUCUUAGUCAUCUCAGCAAAAUUUCGGAUGUCAUUUCGUCUCAAACACUGUACAAAAGAGUAGUUGACUUAACGUAAUUAUUUGAGUCAAAUCUAGGUUCUACUCCUCCAGUUGGCUUGCAAUUUCGUCCUCUGUGCACUUCAUCGUCAUUGUAGCAUCCCCAUGUCAAAAUUCACAUGUAGGACGAUGACUAAUGGUAAAAUGACAAAAGCACAAUAAUUCCCCAUCUUAAAAACAAUUACAAUCAAGAUCAAGUGGCAGAAACACAAUUAAUCAAGAGUGCAUUGCCUUUGUCCCUGUCAAGUCUAGUUUUGAAAAGUCAAUACGUCGAGUUUUUUUUGUCCAACCGUGCAAGUGGGUAAGGGAGGGUCCGCUUUCAUUCGGUUUGGUUUUUUUUUCGGUUUUCAGUCUUUUGAAUCCACCCCUACAAGUGGGUCGAAAUUUCAAUGGUGGUGUUGUCGUAGAGUCUUUUCAUAUGUAACAAGUCUAUUAACUUUACCUGCGUAUGCUCACGCAAACUUUCAUAACACAUCUGUGUGGACAAUAUCAGCCAUUAGAAACAGAUCUUGCAACCAUAUAAAUUUGAACUUUUUUCAUUUAUUUUCUACGCGCAACGAAAUGUCUUUCAUUUGCUCAUUUCUCUUGUUCCUUCAUAUUCUUUCUAUGGUAAUACCGAUCAAUGUCACCGACUAUAUAUUUGGGUGGAGAAAUUUCAAGUCAUGGGACUAAAAACCAAAUUAUAAAAAGAGAAUACCACAAAAUGAGAAAAUUCUUCAAGGACACGUAAUAAUGAAAGAUGCGGAAUGAAUGAAUAAGAUUGAAAAUAGACUAUUCAAUACUUGUGGAAAUCUUUGUACAAUAAAAUAACUAAUGGUUCUCCUUCUCCAACGCAUUUUCCAUUUCAUGUGCUACAAACAAAGGUAGGCCUACAAGUAACUAUCAGAGGCAAUUCAACAAGUGACCAAAACAUGGCCACAUUUUUAAUUAUAUAGGAAUUAAAGUUUCCACAAUUCAAGUGGGAAUGUAUUGACUUCUUUAAACUCUGGUCCUUGAAAUUAUUAGUUCAAAACAUACAAUAUUUGUUGACUUAUCGUGCAUGCAUAAAGUUGGAUAAAAUCUAAUACUCAAUAUUUAUUAUCCGUUUUAAAUGUUGUUUGCCUUAUAGCCCUUUGGCAUGUGUGUGGUUUACUUGUAUUGCAUGCGUAAAGUUGUACAAAAUAUGUAAGGUUGUUUAAUCAAUUAGCUGUAGCAAAUAAAUAGACAGUUUAUAAUAUUUUUAUUUGUUUGUUUUUAUAUAGUUGAAUGACCAAAUGAGGCCUUAGUGUUACAAGUUUACACCAAGGGUGGAGAGAAUAAAUUUGUUAUAUUUACACCUUUUUCUUAAUACUUUUUCUUUAAUACUUUUUGAAUUCCUUGCUAUAUUUACAUCAAGGAUUGAUGAGAAUGAAUUGAUUACAAAAUCGUAAUACACGAUUCGAACCUAAAUUUUCUUUUAUUUCAAGUAGAGAAAAUGGAGCUUUAUAUAUAGAGACAAAAAACCUUCACUAUAUUUCAAGGAACUCCACUAAUUUUUAAACAUGUUAAUGAGAGACAAAAAUAUUAAAAAAAAAUAAACCCCAUCUCAAUAACAUGGAACAAUGCUUUAAAAUAGCAAUCAUACCUUUGAAGCUUUAGGGUUGUUAAUAGAACACAACCCUCACAAUUCCAACAAAAUUAAUAUGUGACAUAAACUCAACUCAUCAUCAACUAUUUCUGCAGAAUCAAUUUUGAAACUAUAUGUAGAAUCAGUUUGUAUCCUUUAUUACUAGAAAUAGUUUACUAUGUCCUCGAUCAUUUUUGCAGAAUCAGUUCAACCCGUCAUCGACCAUUUUUGCAGAAUCAGUUCAACUCGUUCUCGUCUAUUUUUGCAUAAUUAGUUCAACCCGUUCUCGACCAUUUUUGCAGAAUCAGUUUAACCUGUGGUCGACCAUUGUUGCAGAAUCAGUUCAACCCGUCUUGGUCAUUUUUGCAAAACCAAUCCAACUCGUCCUUGACCAUUUUUGCAGAAUCAGUUCAACCCGUCCUCGACCAUUGUUGCAGAAUCAGUUCCACAUGUUCUCGACCAUUUUUGCAUCAUCAGUUCAACCUAUCUUUGACCAUUUUUUCAAAAUCACUUCACCAUUUUUGUAGAACCAGUUUAACUUGUCCUCUGUCAUUUUUGCAAAAUCUGUUUAACCCGUGCUCGACCAUUGUACAAAAUCAGUUUAACCCGUCCUCGAUCAUUUUUUGCAGAAUCAGUUCAACCCGUCAUUGAUCAUUUUUGCAAAAUCAGUUCAACCUUUGAGUGCAAAUCUUAACCCUAAAGCCGAAAUCGCAUACGGUGUUGGCCUAAUAAAUCCUAGUAGGGCUCCGUAUCCUGGUUUGGUAUACGAUGCUGCUGAAAUCGAUUAGGUAAAUUUUUUGUGUGCACAUGGCUAUAGUACCAGAUUAUUGAAAGCUCUUAACGGGGAUAGCUGCUCAUCAUCACAAUCUAAUCAUGGAACACUCAGUGAUCAUCCAAACUAUCCUUCUGUUGCACUUUCCACCUCAAACCCUAAAUCCGUCAAUGGCAUUUUCAAAAGAACCGUCACAAAUGUUGGAUCACCAAAGUCCACAUAUAAAGCUAAAGUGAGUGCACCACCAGGACUUGAAAUCAAAGUUAAUCCAAGCAUUUUAAAGUUCACAUCUCUCGGGCAGAAGCUAUCGUUUAGUCACGGUGAAAGGGUUGAUUGAAAAAACCAUAGUCUCUGGUUCUCUGGUGUGGGAUGAUGGUAAUUUCCAAGUGAGGAGCCCCAUUGUUGUGUAUUUUGUGUUUUGAGAAUAAGGUAUGUGUGGAGCCAAAAAUAAUCAUAAGGGGACAUGUGGAUCUUUGGAUAUAAAAGCACAAAAAUACCCUUGAGGCAUAUCAGGAUUCCUACGCGCGAGCAGCGGACAAUCAUCCCUCAACCAAGUCAAAAGUGCCCAAAAUAGGUAUUUAUUCAAAACUUAUUUCAUCCAUCUUCUCCACAAGGUAACCCCCAAAAAAUUCCUUUUAAAUUAUGUUAAUUGGCUAAUUAAUGGAUUUAUUACCCAAUUAAUCUAUUAAUGGCCAAUUAAACUACCAAUUACACCAAAAAAACACACAAGAGGUCGGUCACCUUCUCUUCCAAGGGAACUGGUCAUGCCUUAUAUAUUCUACCUCAUUUUCUCUAAAAAGCUAAGUCUACACUCUUACUAAAUACUCAAAAUUCUCCAAACACUUUUCCCUCAAAAUUCUAACUUUGGCAUCGAAGGUUCUUCGGCCAAAGCCCCCCUCUCCCAAAUUCAUCGUGGGCGCGUGAGGCUUUUGGCCUUGACCUAAGGUGUUAUUUGUUUUGUAGGUGCAAUUUUGUCCAAGAUCAAGGAGGAAGAAAUAUGCAUCGACAAAUUGGUGCUUUCAUUGAAAGUUGAGUCACACACUCGUAGAAGACUCUUGCAUCAAGGUUUUUUCUAUUUUCUUAUCCAUUUGUAGAUUUUUCGUACGUUUUUAUUAUUAGAUUUUUUUUAUUUGAAAAAAUUCUUUGAUAAAACGUAAAAGAGAAGUACAAUGACAAGAAAUUUAGAAAAUUCAACAAGUGAAAAUUACAAUAUUCAAGAAAUAGGACUGCGGUGAUCCACGAGGCUAAAUGUGACAAUAAGUGGAGCGGCACCACCACCACGGUGAGGUCCAUAGUGUCACCACCACGGCCUAAGCCGUGCCAUCCAAGGCUCACGGCACCAAGGCCACAACCCAAGCCAUGUCACUUCAUGCCCAAUGCGAGCCCAACACGUUGCCAAGCCGAGCCUAAGCCUCGUACCCGCGUGCAUCACACGACUAGCAGCCCACUCCCGUGGCCCAUCCUGCUUUCAUAGCCCAGCUUGUUCCCGUGGUGUCCCAAGCAGCCCAAGUCAGCCCAAGACUAUCUCAACCAUCUGGACCUACCAUCGAAUCGGAGGCAUUCUCACCACAUUUCUCCGCAGAUUUGACAUUUUCCAACUCAAAUCUCGUGCCCAAAGUCUACCACCCUUCCACUGCUCAAUAAGGCACAUUCCUUCCAAGCUCUUCCAAUUCGAAUGACGAACAACACUUGUCCCGACAAGUCAUAGAGUUGACGAGCGCCCUUGCACAACAGACGACCUUGAUGAAUCAGUUCUUGCAACACACCGAGAUCCAAUGCGCCCUAGAUGAGGUGUCAUGAAGUAGGACAAGGGCAGACGAGGAACCUUUCAACAGCGUCCCGGCAAGCAGCCACUCAACCAGGCACGAACCGAGCAUUCGGGCAGUUUACACUUCCUAUUGGGCCCCCGAGAUAGCGUAUACUCCCGCCUUAGCGCGUGAAUGAGUGUGCACUCUCGACUAAGCCCAUAGACAAGUAUACACUCAUGGCUGGGACCACACACUGAUGAUCAACAUGAGCAGCCUUCCAGGCAAAGCGUUCAUUCGUUGCUAAGCCCACAAGAAAGAGCUUCCACAUCUCAUCGGAGUAGGCAACACGGCGGACAGAGAGAAGUAGUCACUCAAUUUGGCUCAAGUUCAACUGGCAGCCUGCAAAGAAUUCCCCUGCCUACUAGGAAUGAACCACAUGCAAUACCGCCAUAACAUGGACAAGCCGAGAACAUAGAAGAGCAACCUAGACCAGCAGGUCAAGAACGAGAGCAGCCGAGAGCUCCGCUACCCCAACAAAAGCAAAUCCAAAAAGAGGUAAAAAAGACUCAUCAACGAAUGAUUGUGUGAUUUUCAAUGCAACAAAGUGGCCGAUGAAGCACUACAGUGAGAUAUAACCAACAUGAGCAGCUUACCCUUUAUGGAUGAGAUUGAGCAGGCAAAGCCUCCACAUAAGUUUAGCAUGCCACACUUCACAUCUUUCAAAAGAGAUGGAGAUCCGGAGAAGCACAUGAAGCACUACCGAAGUGCGAUGGUCCUUUAUCAGAACAACGAUGCCAUUAUGUGCAAAAUAUUUACCACUACUUCAAAGGCGAGGCGCAAGAGUGGUUUCACACCUUGCCACCAAGAUCUAUCCGAAGUUUUGAUGAUAUUUCCUUGGUUUUCACCAAAGAUUACUCAUCUUAUCGUUCGAUCAAGAAAAAGUCCGACCACUUGUUCAAUGUGAAGAAAAACCCAAAGGAGUCACUUUGCGAUUACGUGAAGAGGUUCAAAGCAGAGAAGGCAAAUAUCGUCGAAUGCGACGACUCAAUAACAAGUACAGCCUUCCAAAAAUGACUCCCAGCAGACCACCCACCGUUCGAAGAAAUGAUCAUGAAAUAAGACUUAACUCUAGCAGACUCUUUUGCUUUGGCAGAGAAGCAUGCACUUUGGGAUGAGGCUCGACGAGCAGACAAGGCACCCGAGCAGCCUCGAAAAGAGUCGGCAGUGGCUUAAAGAAAGGAGGACGGGAAGUAGUCCAGCAAAAGCAAACAGGAGGCCAAACGUAAGGACCGACCCACGACCAAAGAAAGCUUGACGACCAAGAACUACUCUAAGUUCUCAAUUCUGAUCCAUCAAAUCUUUCACAACAUAAAAAACGAGCCAUUAUUCAAGUUGCCGAAACAAUCAAAGGGAUAUACUUCUAAGUUGGAUCACACCAAAUACUGCGCAUUCCACCAAGGUCUUGGUCACACAACCGACGACUGCUACACUUGGAAGAACUCCCUAGAGAAGCUCAUGAAAGAAGGCAAGGUCGAUAGAUACUUGGACAAGCUAGUUGCGCAGCCUAGAAGGAAUGUAGACAAUGACGAGAAGCCGUCAACCAAGACGAUUUGAGUUAAUGGUAUCUUCGUCGAAUUCGAACACUUGGGGGCCACCAACAACUCUAAAAAAAAGAAAGUUCCAACAGGCUCUACUAGUCUCACAGGUUCAAACAGUCGACACCCAACCUAGACCCAUGAUUGGCUUCACCGAGCAGGAUGCAGAAGGCGUCAAUUUCCCACACGAUGACGCACUAGUAGUAUCUGUCCAACUAGACCAUGCUAUAGUUGAUAGAAUGAUGGUUGACAAUGGAAAUGCAAUUAACUUACUUUAACUCUUAGUCAUUCAGGAGAUGAGCCUGAAAAACACAAUCAUACACCGAGCAGAGGUACUCACCGGAUUCAACCGGCACACCUCAACUAUCAUUGGUCACAUCACACUUGACGUAAAAACACCGCCAGUUGUCUCAAAACAGACGUUCACGAUCGUAAGUGACCUAUCUCCCUGCAAUGGGAUUCUUAGGAGACCUCGGUUGAUUAAGCUGGACGCCGUCACUUCCGUCAAGUCUAACCAGGCCGCACUCUGACGAUGUACUAUGCAAGUGUUGAAUGAAUCAAAGAAGAAGGCCUUUACCCCCGUGGAGGCUACCGAAGUCCAAAGGGACGAAGAGGCUACUAAAUAACAAUUACAGUAAGCGGAUCAAGAAUGUGGUGCCCAAGCAGACAAGAUAGGAUGGAAAUCUGAAUAGGACAUCGAAGACAUCAUUCUUGAUCCCCAGCAGCCAGAAAAGAUAGUUAAAAUCGGCUCACGUCUAAGCCCAGCCGAGAAGGAAGAACUCACGGCUUUCCUUAGGGAAAACCGAGACAUCUUUGCAUGGUCAUCAUCAAACAUGCCUAGCAUCGACCCCGAGGUAGCUUACCACAAGCUGCACGUCAACCCUGCUACCAAACCGGUAAUCCAAAAGAGAAGACAUUUUGCACCCGAACGAGUAACGAUCAUUGAGGCAUAAAUUGACAAGCUACUGGAGGUCGGAUUCAUUGAAGAGGUAGCACACUCAGCAUGGCUUGCUAACAUCAUGCUAGUCGUAAAGAAAGAGAAGAGCAAAUAGAGGGUUUGCGUAAACUACAUCAACCUCAACAAAGCAUGCCCAGGAUAUCCUUAUCCGCUUCUCCGGAUUGAUCUAUUGGUAUAUUCGACUUCUGGAAACCAGCUACUCAGCUUCUUGGGUGCAUGCUCUGGCUACAACCAAAUAGCCAUGUCGACCGCGCAUCCAACUACAAAGGCUCAAGGGUAGGCGUGGUCAUUGUCACCCCAAACGGUUCAAUCACAAUUCAUUCCGAUUCCCAGCUAAUCACCAGCCAAACUACUGGGGAGUACACGGCAAAACAUCCAAGGAUGACGUAGUACCUAGAGAAGGUAUGCAAGCAGCUUGAGGCAUUUUAGACUUACACUCUCACUCAAUUUCUACGGGUAGACAAUGCCCACACAGAUGCGCUAGCCGGCCUAGGCUCUGCCCUCGACCAUCAACUCAAAUACUCUGUUCUAGUGGAAUAUCUAGACAAGCCAAGCAUAACGACGAAGCCGACAGCCGAAGUGUCACAAGUUAGUAUAACUCCUAACUGGCAAAGUUAUAUUAUAUACUACUUGGUCAACGACACACUCCCCCCAGAAAGAUUGGAGUCUAUGAAGCUCCAAAUCAAGGCAGCACGCUACUAAAUGUGGAACGACAUUUUCAUCCGAAGAUCCUACACCAAACCACGUCUCUGCUACCUAGUGCCUCCCGAUGAGUUGAAGGUUCUAAGCUCAAUCCACGAAGACGUUUGUGGAAAUCACUCUGGAGGUCGAUCCUUAGCACAUAAUGCUCUUAACACAGGCUACUACUAGCCUACCAUGUACCAAGAUGCUAAGGAGUUAGUACAAAAGUACGACCGUUGCCAACGCUACAAGCCGGUACCAGCACUGCCUGCCAGCAAGCUAUACCCACAGACGAGUCCUUGGCCAUUCAUGUAGUGGGCAAUCAACCUGGUAGGACCUAAGCCACCUGCUACUGGGGGCAGAUGCAUGAUGAUCGUGGCAACUAACUACUUCACCAAAUAGGUAGAAGCAAAGCCUAUGACAACCACAACUCAGACGGACAUAGAGCGCUUCAUAUAGAGGAACAUCAUUUACCGAUUUGGCAUCCCUCAGUCUAUCUUCACCAACAAUGGCCCGCAAUUUUUGGGUAAAGAUUUGGUGAAGUUUUUCCAAAUGUAUGGCAUCAAGCAGCACAUGUCCACCCCAAGAUAUCUUCAAGGCAAUGGGCAAGUUGAAGCAUCUAACAACACGAUCGUCGACUUCCUCAAGAAAUCCCUCAUGGACAAGAAAGGAAAAUGGCCAGACGAACUCAUGGGCUUAUCACAUCACCAAAAGAUGAGCAACUGGUGAGACACAUUUCUCUUUAGCAUUUGGUUCGGAAGCAAUCAUUCCUCCCAACAUGUUAUGAACGAGACUUUAGUCGGAACCUUCCUGAUUAAAAACAAAGAUCGAAAAACUUCGGUGGAGACAUUUGCAAAUAACUACGUAAACACAUGAAAAAUAUCAGAGUAGCAUCAAGAAUCGGUGGCAUAAAAAUCUUUACGCACCCACUUGUUCCAGAUGUUGGCACAUGAUCAUGCAUCGAUAGAUAUAUGUAUGGACAAUGGAUGCCCUACCUUGCAAAUUAUGCCAAGAACAACAAUCGAUCGAGUGACCAGCGGUGGGACUUGGGAGAGCUAGGAAUAUUAGCAAGCUGCAUUUUCUCAAUUCCCACUCUCACUUGUUUGAGCAUACCAACUAAUAUGCUUGUUUCUUGACUUAUGGAUGUAUCCAAAGUUCAAUAUGGAUGCAUGACAUGUGAUGUAGGUCAGGAGGUUUUUCUUCUUUUCAAAAGUAGUAUAUGUUGGAAAAGUUAGACAUGGAAUUGAUACCAGAGUUAAUAUGCUUUUGUACCGUCAUUCCCUAUAACCAAGGAAGAAAAAAUCGAUAAUAUCAGCGAUAUUAUCGUUUUUUUUUUGUCCGAUAUUUUUUUAACUAUCCAAAUGGUUUUGUCAAAAUAUCGCGAUAUUAUCGAUAAUAUCGUGAUAUUUUCGAAACUAUCGUGAUAUUUUGGCACUGUGCUAAUCGGAGAAGAACGCCGGAGCAAAUUAACCGAAUCCCUAAAUCCCCAAAUUCGAAUUCAAAGCAAAUUAACUGAAUCCCUAAAUCCCCAAAUUCGAAUUCAAAGCAAAUUAACUGAAUCCCUAAUUCCUAAAUCCUUAAAUUCAAAUUCAGUACAAAAAUGAAAUUACAUGCAGAAAAUUCGAAUUUUGUACAAAAAUGAAAUUACAUGUCGAGAAGAAGAGAAGUAGGAGCCUGGGAACGUCGUCUUCCUCACGAAUCCAAGAUGGCUGGGACAACGUCGUCCUCCUCAUCGACGACUACGAUGAGUUCCGGUCCAUCAUUUGGUGUCCGCUGCCUCGCUCAGUUUCUCCACAACCAUUGAUUUGCGAUGACGCGAUAGUUACGACUCGACGACUGGGACUAACGACACGGCUUCUCCAUGGAACAAGGUUGUUUACAAGGCGGUUAUGGAGUGGCGUCGACGGCUAGGUUUAGGGCGGGUGAGAUGGGAGGAGCAGAGGGAAACGCGGACGAGGAAGAUCGAGAGAUGGAUCGAGAUUCGAGAGAUGAUGUCUGUGUGUGCAUGUGGAAGAACUGGAGAAGGGGGAAGGGAGAAGACUGAGAAAAGAGAAUGAAGGGAGAAGACUCAGAAGAGAGAAGAGAGAGAAGGAAGGAUCGAGAGAGAGAUUGAGCCCAGUCUCUGUGUGCGUGUGUGGUGUGGUGUGGGGGGUCUCGAAGUGCGUGUGUGGUGGAAUGUGAGUGUGACUCACUCUUUAACUGUCUGUGUGUGUGGUGGCGUGUGAGAAAAAAAAAAGCAUCUUGAGUGUGACUCACAAUGUUUGCCAGCUCGCUAUAUAAUCAACUUGAUAAUGUUAAAUUCAUCAUGCAAUGCAUUUCCUUCCAAUUUUUUGUGAUAAACUAAUAGAUAAUUGACUAAAUAAAUAUCCUGCAAAGUUUCAAUAAAAAUUUCCAAGUUUUUCUUACAAUUUCCGUGGUUUCCAUGUAAUUUUUAUCGAUAUCGAUAUUAUCCCGAUAUUUCCAUCGAUAUUUCCAUGUUUUUGGACUACCGAUAUUUCCGAUAUUACCAAUAUUUUCUUCCUUGCCUAUAACCAAAAAUUCCUUAUUGUCAUUAAAAAAAAGAGAAUUUUUUAUUUCUAUUAUUAUAUUUAAUUAGUCUCUUGCUACAUUAAAUAAAAGUUAUUAAUACUUCCAUAAGAAAGCUUCAUUAAUUUGGUAAAAUUUUACAUAUAGUUAUAUAAAUGUAUUUAAAACUUAUGAUACAUUUGAAAAUAAACAUACUGAUUUUGGGUAAGUUUAGAUUUUAAAUGAACUAAUAAACAAAUGUACCAUAAAACUAAAGUGUAAAUUGUAGUUAUGGUCCCUUAACUUUAACUCAAUUGGAGCAAUGGUCCCUCAACUCAUCAAAAUGUGCAGCUAUGGUCCCUCAACUAAAAAUCCAUUACUAUUGGUCCCUCAACUUUAAUUCAACUGGAGAAAUGGUCCUUUAACUUUAACCCAAUUGUAGCAAUGGUCCUUCCAACAUAACUCAUUUUGACAAAAAAUCUAAUGCAGUUGACGAAAAUGACCAUAAUUACACACUCUGAUGAGUUGAGGGACCCUAAUUAUAUAAAUGGUUCUUCCAACAUAACUUAUUUUGACAAAAUUUUGACAAAAUUGAUGAAAAUGAUUAUAACUAUACAUUUUGAUAAGUUGAUGGACCAAUGGUAAUGGAUUUUUAGUUGAGGGACCAUUGCUCCAAUUUGAUUAAAGUUGAGGGACCAUUGCUACAAUUUACUUCUAAAACUAAAAUUACCCAUAUUUUAGGUAAUCAAUUGUACCAAUACAAUCAAACGAUCAUACAAUCAAAUGUACCUUUACUAUGAUUAUGUAUGUGAUAAUGAGUUUUGAACCUUCUAUUUAAUUCACUAAACCAAAUAUUAUAAUAAACAAUAAAAAAUCUAAAAUCUCCAGAACGAGAGAUGCAUAUAACUAUAACAGAUUCAUAGGUAAGGAAUUAUAGGGUAAAAAGGAAAACGAAAGUAAAGAUGUAAUGUGAAAUUUUUUAGGGUGGCUAGCAAACAAUUUCACGAAAAUAAAGGUAAAAAGAAAAAGAAAAAAAGGAACGUUUAAAAUUGAACUUUUAAUAAAAUGAAAUUAAGCACCAAAACUGUACGAAAAAUGUUUAACCAAAUUCUUAAAAGUAAUAGAAGUUUAAUCACCAAAAUUGAAAAACAAGGCAUUUAUAUCAAAACGCCCCCAAACUAUGUAAAAUAAUCAUGGGAACACAAACCAUACCCCUAAGAAUAAAGAGAAAUUGCAACCCGUGAAAUGCAUGGCUUUUCAUUUUUAGUAUAAACAGGGUUGUUCUGAAAUUUCGGGGAUCCUGUGCAAAUUUAUAAAAGGGCCAUUCUUAAGAUAAUCUUAAAAAAAAAUUAAAAAAAAAUUUGAACUUCGUGGUUGUUUUUCUUUAACAAAAAACCUAUCAAUAACUCGUUUUUUAGACGAGUAAAUUGUUCAACUUUUUUUUCUUUGGCGUUUCAAGUAGCCACAUAAAUAUUUUUUAGUAGGUGUCAUCUUUUAUAUCUCAAACAAUAUCAUAAUUAAAUUAUACUAAGUAUAUACAAUAAAACCUGAUAGUUCGCAAUGCAUGUGCAUCUAGUGGUUUUUGUUUACUGCUCCCCUCUUGCUAUGACAAUUACUUGAUUGAUUUUUAUGAGUUUUGCCCUAAAAAGUACAAAAGGAAAAAAAAUAUCAUUAUUAAUAAAAAUACCUAAAUCUUCUAAUUCCAACGUAAUAUACUUGAACUAGUAAUACCUUAUUUUAAUCGAAGUCUACACCACUAUGACCACUUCAAUUGUCUUCGUGAUUUGGACAAUUUUCUUCAAUGACAGGAAAUUUUGAAUUUAGGGUUUAAUGGUCUAUGUAAAAAAAAGUAGUGAGGAUGGGAGAUACAUGGGAAGUGGGAGAGGGGGUGUCUCGAUGAGAGAAAGAAGUGGACCAUGACUCUUGGAGUGAGAAUUGAGAAACAUUGUGAGGAAUAUCAUUAUUUUAUAAUUUUUAUAAAAUUUCUUACAAUUUGAUGACUUAUGUAGGCAUUCAUGUAGCUUGUGGCUUGUGGGCCCACUAGGAUUUUUAUAACUUUUAUUGAGUUCUGAUUAGCCUUUUUAUUUAUAUAAAUAAUAUAAUAUUAUUUCAUAGGAUAUCCGAUUAGAUAUAAACUAUUUUGGCCUCUUAAAUUUUGUGGCCCUGUGCCAUUGAACCGAUAGCUCCCCCUCAAUGCCGGCUCUAAGUAUAAAUACAUGAUGGUGUUCUUGGAUGAGAUUCUCCAUCUUUUACAUGCUUUCUAGAACUUCGCUACAAUGGCUUUAACCCCAUGGUUUCUCCUUCUCAUCAGCCUCAUAUCUACUCUGCCAGUUGAUGUCACUCUAUCUGCUGCUCACCAGGAUACCCGGAAGGCAUUCAUAAAAUAUGCAUUUUGAACAAUUCCGUUUCUCUGCUCUAAAUAUGUUCAUUAAUUAAUUUAAUCUUCUGAUCUUGGAUAUAUUAACUGCAGGAUUAUAUUGUGUAUAUGGGUGACAAGCCAAAGCCAGAGGUUUCCACCACUACCACAUCAGCUCUUCAUGUAAACAUGCUACAAAACGUCAUCGAUGACAGGUUUAAUUAAUUAUCACAUAUGAUAGUGAGCUUAAUUAUAUAUUCUGAUCAGUGUUUUAAAAUACUCGCAUCGAGGGCCUUAGAGUAUGGACGGGUGGCUUGCCGUCUCUAUUUUGUGGGAGUCGGCGAAAAACUCACAUAGCUUCGUCGGGGCGUGCCUCAGGACGUUUGAUUGGGCGUCAGUUUUGUAUAAAGGUUGUCGAAAUCUGAAAAAAAAAUUUGAUUGAAAUCUGGGUUUUGUUUUCAGUUGCAUAGCAGUCUGAAGAAGAUGAAGACGCCAACUUGUAGGCUGAUUUUUCUUUUCUUUUUUUUUUUAUUAUUUUUUUCACUUUAUUAACCGCUGUUAAAUCAUAUCUUUUAGCAUAUUCUAUUUUUUAAGUUUUUGUUUUUUAUAUUAUUUUAUAGAUAUUAAAAAAAAUAAAAGAUAAACAGAAAGAAAAUAUUUUUAUACUUUUUAUGAAGUAUAUAGACCUAAAAAAACCUCAAAAGACCCUAAAAAACCUCAAAAUAUAUCUUUACUUUUUAACGUUAUAUAUUACCCUUUCCUUUUCUUUUUAAGACUCCACAUCCACAUAUCUCAUCAAAAUAUUAUGUAUAUGUAUGUAUGUAUUGUAUAUAUAUUAAAAAAUUUAAGUUCCAUGAGAUUUCGCCUCAAGGCUUUCGGCUAGGCAGAGCUAUCCAUAACACGCCUCACCUACGCCUUCGCCUUUUAAAACAUUGAUACUGAUUAACAUUAUUCGUGACAAGGGUACCAUUUAAUUUAGUCAUCUCUCAUACAUACACAUCUUCUCUUUGUUUUUCAAGCUUAAUUAUCGCAGAGUUUGAAAGUGUCAAAUUUUUGAAGAUUUUGAUUUUUGACGUUUAUUUAUCCAGCAAUAUUGCGCACGAAUCUCUGCUUCUGCACAGCUACAAGAGAACCUUCAAUGGCUUUGCUGCCAAGCUAACAGAGGAAGAAGCACAGAAGUUGGCUGGUUGUCUUAUGAACCCAACUUAAUUUUAUUUUUCAACUUGAAUAAACAUUAAAAGUGACCAUUGUAUGACUUGAAAAAUAUAUGCAGGAAUGGAUGGUGUGGUGUCAGUUUUCCCUAGUGAAACUAAGAAGCUCCAAACAACAAGGUCAUGGGACUUCAUUGGGUUUCCUGAAAUGGUGAAGAGAAGCGCCAUUGAAACUGAUAUCAUUGUCGGGGUAAUUGACACUGGAAUUUGGCCUGAAUCUGCCAGCUUCAGUGACGCCGGGUUUGGUCCACCCCCCAAAAGGUGGAAAGGCGCAUGCAAGGGCGAAGGCAAUUUUACUUGCAAUAAGUAAAGCAAACCAGUUUAUUUCAACCAUCCACUGCACAUUUCAAAAUAAAAAAAUAAAAAUUCACGUGUUGUUGUUAAUUACACUUGGACAGAAAAAAAAAGAAAAAAAAAGUGCGAACUUGAUUAUAAUUUAUAUGAUAUGUUGUCAAAUUGUAACUCUGACUAAAAUAAUGACAUAUUUGUUACACUUGGACAGUAAAAUUAUCGGAGCACGGUAUUACCGCAGUCAACCCUCCCCCCAAAAUAGCAGUGAUGUCAUGUCUCCGAGGGACACGGAAGGCCAUGGAACCCACACUGCAUCAACAGCAGCAGGGAACUUAGUUAGCAAGGCAAGUCUGUAUGGUUUAGGGUUGGGGACAGCAAGAGGAGGGGUGCCAUCAGCACGCAUUGCGGUGUACAAAGUUUGUUGGUCAGACGGGUGCCCGGAUGCUGAUAUUCUAGCGGCAUUCGAUGAUGCCAUAGCUGACGGUGUUGACAUACUCUCUGUCUCCAUUGGGGGGUUUAAACCGUAGAUUAUUUCAGAAAUUCCAUUGACAUUGGAGCUUUUCACGCUUUAAGAAAAGGAAUAUUCACUUCCGCGUCUGCUGGUAAUCAAGGUCCAAACCUGAAAACCAUUACAAACUUUGCACCAUGGUCUCUUGCUGUAGCUGCUAGCACCAUAGAUCGCCACUUUGAUACCAAGGUUCAAUUGGGAAACCACAAAAUUUAUGAGGUAAUUGAUACAGAAUCUAACCUUUGCUCAUUUAGGGCUUUGUUUGGCAGUGAUCCUGGUUGGGCAAUAUAUAAUCACUUAUGGAGAAUCAACAAUAUAUAUGCUGAAGAUGCACCAAAAUACUAGAGAAGUGAUUAACAUGAGAGUUGAUUAUGAUUUGUUUUUGCUUCCUUAAUUGGUAGGGAAUAGUAACAAACACAUUUGAACUCAAGGGUAAAUUCUACCCCAUAGUAUAUGCUGCAGACGUUCCAGAUAGGGCAGCAGGUUUCGAUGGGGAAAUUUCCAGGUAUGUGUACGCAUUUUGAGAGUAUAUAUUGUAAGAACUUGUAAACAAACAAACACCAAGACCAAAACAUGAACCACAAACAAAAGGAAACCAACCCAGUUAUGUGCACAUAAAUAACCAGAAAGGAAAACAUACCUGCAGCUGCACCAGAACUCCUAGCCAUUGCAGCAAACUUUCAGUGAUCCUUCUCUUCUCUUGCAGAUUGUCAAGAGCUCGACUCACAGAUAGGUUAUGGUCCAAUAUGAGCGUUAGUUCUAUGAGAAGAGAGGUCACUGUAUAUAUACAUAUAGACUUCACCAAAAUAGAUCAGGAUUUCCUAUCAAAAUGCUCAUCGGAAACAAACACUUGUUUCCUGAUGCUAACCAAAAUCCUUUUCAGUCAAGGAUCAGCAUUCCUUUCAUCAAUAGGACUUUCUAUCCAAAUUGAAUACCUAUAACCGGUCCUAAUACUUCUCUAUCUCAUACUCAUAUUCUUACAUUCUCCCACUUGAGUAUGAGAACAAUUUCAAGUACUCAGUUUAUCCAAUCAUACUUAGAUAGAAGUAAUCACUAACAGAUAAUCAUCUCAAAUUAUUAUAAAGGUGAUCACAUAAUUAAGUCAUUCACCAACACACAAGUACAUAGACACAACCAGCUUACAUAAACCAAAACAAUGAAUGUAUAAUUGCCUCUGCAACACAAAAUACAGAUUUAACUUACAAAUCACAAUGUCCAGUUCAUGUUCAUAGCAAUGUAUCUAAGCUCAAAAGUAAACCAAGACGUCUACUCCCACUCAUAAAGCCACCAAAUCUUUUGGAUAACAAAAGCUUAACCUCACAUACAACUUACCCAUGCAUUUUAAAGUAUUGAACUUAAGAAUUUUUUCUGUUACAUCGCAGAAUUAAUUCAAAAGUCACAACAUACUUAAUUUGCACUUUGUAAUUAUGUGAACCAAUAUAGCAAAAACCAAACCAAUUUGCUCCCACUUAUCUAGGAUAUACUUAACACAAACAAGUUAAGUAUAAGUUAAUAUCAACUGUAUUAACUAACAGUCAUUGCAAUACACUGAAUGUCUUAUCAAUGUGAUCAAUUGCCGCAACCAAUGCAAACAAAUUCCAUGAUCACAUUCAUCCAAUUUGUAUUUACAACAAUGUGAUUUUACUUGACCAGAACAAACACAUAAAUUGAUUUGCUCCCACUAUAUCAAGUUAAGUUUAGUUCCAGCAAAUAGCACUAAACUUCUCAUUACUUAAACAAAUUAAGUAACAUAAAUAAUUACCAAUUGCUUCAAUAAAACCAUAAUCUGGUUUUCAAGCAUCCAAAUGAAUUAUAAUGGCCGGCCUAAAUAACCUUAUGCUUACAUUCGAACAUAUGAUUCUCCCACUUAAGCAUAAGCAGAAUGUACUGCACAACCAAUAAAGAAACCGGAGAUAUGAACCAAUUGAUUCCCGAUUCCUUACCAAUUGCAUAAUCUCAGUUUAGUCAAAUACACCUAAACCAUUAUGCAAACAGUCUAUGUAUCAAAAGAUAGUCACAAUCCAUUCGAUUUGAUCCUAACUAGUUUCAACAAUAAUCAAAAUCAGAAUAGCAAGCACAAUAUUCUUGCAUUCAAUUUGAUCCUAACUAGUUCAAUACCCAUCGAGCAAGAUCAACUAAAAUUUGAUAAUGUCUGGAUAUAAAGGCACAAGUCAUCUUGAUUAAAACAAGAUAAUCAAGAUGAUCAUCCAAUAAAAUUUAGUGUACUUACAGAUUUAAUACAUAAUAUCAAAUCUCUUACACUUACAAUAUAUCAAGUGAGAUGAGUUUCAGAAUACAUUCUUGCCAACAAGGUUUCACUAAACAAUUUAUACCAUUUCAUACAGGUACUAACACAAGAGCCUUCACAUGUUUUUGGUUAUACAGUGCACAUAUUGGCAUUAACGAACCCAAAAAUUCCGAACUACAUCAUUCACAUAUAUGGCAACACCCCCAAAACCUAUUAUAUAUAGUCUAACCAAAAUUGGGAUAUGAAUUACACUCAUAAUUUUAAAAACGUCAUUAUGGAUACCCGUAUAAUCCAAUUUUGCUUUUCUAGAAUAAUUCAAACCAAUUAGACCCACAUAAAAGCCACAGGUAUUUGGUAGCAACAAUAAGUCAAAUUCUAUUAUCAUAAUUCAUAAUGGAAAAUCAUGAUGCAAGCUUCCAAGUUUCAAGCAAGUUAAUGAGAAACCUUACAUUUGCUUGAGACAACAAAAUAGCAACAAAACAAUAUUUUCCACCCAAUCUAAUUACACAGGCUCUAACUCAAAAAUAGAAGAGCAAUGUGUACACCAAAUAUUAGUCUAAUGAAUCUUUAUGCAAAAAGAAUGAUUCCAGUCAUCUCACAUAAAUCAUAAGUUGGCAUUUAUAGGGAUUUCGAGUUUAAUUGUGCCUUCACAAAAUAAACAAGCAUACUCGGAAUAGCAAAAGCCCUAAUUCAUUAUGCUCCAACUCAUCGCACUAUAAUCACGCAUAUAGGAGAACAAUUAAUUAUGCAUGAAACAGUGAACUGAGUUACCUGAAUGCAUCAUUGGACUCGUAUUCGACAACCCGAUUGCAAUUCCACGGCUCCAAAUCAACGAAACAAAUUAUCCAUCAAUGCUCGAGACCCAUCCAUACGGAUUGCCAUGGUUACAGACGCGCCGAACCAAAAUCAUCGCCAAAGCAACGACUAGAAUCCCGUGGACCCAAAUUCCCACAAAAAAAGACAAACCAUGAAUGUUAAUAUCUCUUAGACAAACAAAAACUUAUUAAUGUCGCCAUAAUCAAGAUUUCAUCUUUCUUUUAUCUUACUAAUAUUUGGUGAGGCAUAUUUUAUGCACAUCUUUAUUCAUAUAAAGGAUUAAGAAACCACAACUACCUCAAUCUUCAGACAUCAUAAUGAACACAGCGGAAGCAAUAAUUCUCAAAAUUAGAACUAUGAUGUUUAAGAUAAAUGUGUUUUGCUAAAUCACUUUAUUGAUCUCCAAAGAAGCAAGCAAGAAUAAGUUCACCCUUUCCCACGUGCAGCAUAAUAUAAAUUGUUAUCAUACCAGAUUCACAUAAUUUGCAGAAGCAAAGCAGAUUCAUAUGCGCUAAAACAUACACAGGUAUUGAAAGAAUUAAAAGCAAUCAUACCUUUUAAUCACUGCAGACUUAUAGACAACAUAUGCAACAAUAGGCAUCAACAGACGUCUCAUGCAUAAUGAUCAUUUUUCAUGGUUGUUUAAGAAACACAAAACCAUCAGUAGAAAAUGCAAAUCAAAAUUUUUCCGCAGAUAUGGAAAAAUUCAGCCUUGAUUAUCAGCUCUAAUCAGAAAUAUCAACACAUACCUCCUGCAGAUUUCAAUUUGGAACAGCGCAACGGAAAUAAUUAUCCAAAUUGAAAAAAAUUAAUUUAAGAGUUGAGAGAAUCACAAAACCCAAAAAAUGUUUUGAUCGAUGAAGUUGCUAAUCAAAACCCCAAAUUGAGAAAACAACCUCAACCAAUAGAUUUGCAGAAAAAAAAACCAAUGGUAAUAGUUUAAAUAUAUUUUGUCAUUAUCUGGAGAUCACAUACCACCGAUGCAUCUAAGAUGAAAACAUUGAGGUUUGCACCAACAAUUGGCCCGAUAUCAAUCCCCAAAAAUCCUAACGGUCAAUUUUAUUUUAUUAAUUCUCUGCUUAUUGAAAACGCAAUGUCGUUUUCGUGAAACUCUUUUCCAGCGAAUUCGUUUAAACCAGUUUCGAAACCUGGAAGUCGCAAAAUUUAUUUAUCUAUUUAUAAACACAUUCGACUUUUCUCCUUUACAGAUUUGAACUCAUGUUUGUGUCUUGUGGCUCUGAUACCACAUGUAAGAACUUGUAAACAAACAAACACCAAGACCAAAACAUGAACCACAAACAAAAGGAAACCAACCCAGUUAUGUGCACAUAAAUAACCAGAAAGGAAAACAUACCUGCAGCUGCACCAGAACUCGUAGCCAUUGCAGCAAACUUUCAGUGAUCCUUCUCUUCUCUUGCAGAUUGUCAAGAGCUCGACUCAUAGAUAGGUUAUGGUCCAAUAUGAGCGUUAGUUCUGUGAGAAGAGAGGUCACUAUAUAUAUACAUAUAGACUUCACCAAAAUAGAUCAGGAUUUCCUAUCAAAAUCCUCAUCGGAAACAAACACUUGUUUCCUGAUGCUAACCAAUCCUUUUCAGUCAAGGAUCAGCAUUCCUUUCAUCAAUAGGACUUUCUAUCCAAAUUGAAUACCUAUAACCGGUCCUAAAACUUCUCUAUCUCAUACUCAUAUUCUUACAUAUAUACCAUUUAUAUUGAAGAACCACGGUAGUCUAGCGUAAGUCUAACCAGGUGCUAAUAACAUGGAUAUAUAUGGAACAGGUUUUGCAUAAUAGGCAGCACGUUAGACCAAAAGCUGGUGAAGGAUAAAAUUGUUCUUUGCGAUGGGCCUACUGGGGAUGGGGCUGUAGAGGCAGGCGCAUCUGGUUAUGUUUUGACAAGCCGAAAUGCAGCAGAUGUAAUCGAUCCUGUUCCUGUACCAGCAGCUUCCGUUUGGUUCCAUGUUGGUAACGAAAUUGCCCAUUACAUAAACUCAACCAGGUAUCAAUAUUUGAGAAUGAUAGUGCGAGAUUGAUUUAAAAUAUUGCUAAUGUGCGAAACUAACAUAAAUCAAAAGACCCCUUAUUAUGUUAUUGCUAAUAAAUCCUGAAUCCCUGUAAUGAUUCGUAGGAACCCAACAGCAACAAUUUGGAAAAGUACUGAGGGUAGGGAUGCACUGGCCCCAUACGUACCUUCAUUCUCAUCAAGGGGUCCAAAUCCAAACACUCCUAACAUUCUCAAGGUAACUUCAAGGCCCUGUAGGUGUGUGAAUGCUGACUUAAAAAAUGAACAAACCGAAUCAUGAAUAUUGAGGGGUCUUAAUUUUCCUCCUUGUUUUCUCCUAUAUGUUGCAGCCAGAUAUCGCUUCUCCUGGAGUUUCCAUUCUAGCCGCAUGGUCUCCAAUUGCCCCAGUUUCAGGUUUUGAAGGUGAUGACAGGGUAACUUCAUACAAUAUAAUCUCGGGGACAUCAAUGGCAUGCCCACAUGCUGCGGGCGUGGCUGCAUACGUCAAAUCAUUUCACCCCAAUUGGUCACCUGCUGCAAUCCUGUCAGCUCUUACAAGUACUGGUAUAGAUGCAUUUUCAUAAAUGUACCCAUUACAAUACAACCGUUCUCUCACAUAUUUGAUGAGUUGUGUGACCAAUUAUUAUCAGAGAUCAUGUGACCAAGUCUUGUGAGAGAGACCCUACAUAUAAUAAGACUUUGUCCAUGAUGUACAUUGUAUUACCUAAGAUUUAUAUGUUUGAUUAAUUUGUAACGAUUUUGCAGCCAAACCUAUGAGUACAAAUCUUAACCCUGAAGCCGAAUUCGCGUACGGUGCUGGCCUACUAAAUCCUAGUAGGGCUCCGUAUCCUGGUUUGGUAUACGACACUGCUGAAAUCGAUUACGUAAAUUUUUUGUGUGCACAAGGCUAUAGUACCAGAUUAUUGAAAGCUCUUACCGGGGAUAGCUAUAGCUGCUCAUCAUCACAAUCUAGUCAUGGAACACUCAGUGAUCAUCUAAACUAUCCUUCUGUUGCACUUUCCACCUCGAACCCUAAAUCCGUCAAUGGCAUUUUCAAUAGGACCGUCACAAAUGUUGGAUCACCAAAGUCCACAUAUAAAGCUAAAGUGAGUGCACCACCAGGACUUGAUAUCAAAGUUAAUCCAAGCAUUCUAAAGUUCACAUCUCUCGGGCAGAAGCUAUCGUUUCAAGUCACGGUGAAAGGGUUGAUUGAAAAACCAUAGUCUCUGGUUCUCUGGUGUGGGAUGAUGGUAAAUUCCAAGUGAGGAGCCCCAUUGUUGUGUAUUUUGUGUUUUGAGAACAAUAUGUGUAAUAAUGUAUGAUGCAUGAAUAAGCAAUUGCAUGAAACUAGAUAGGGCUUCAAUGAAACAAAAUUGCAACAUAUUGAUCACGAUGAUGUAUUUUAAAUGAAAACUAAAUUAUUAUAUAUUUAUGAACCUUUAAUAUGAUGUAGUACAUCGAAGUACAUCGAAAUUUGAAACGUACCCAUUUAAGGAUAUUUUAUAGCUCUCUAUGCAAUCUAAUUGUAUAUUUGAUAGUUCAUUUUUGGUCUGCAUGGGAAAUAUGGAUUUUCUCCUAUGUUGAUUACUUGAUUGAAGGCCCCAUCCCUCGUUGCCCGUGUAUACAGGUUGUACCUAUCACUACAUCAAGUUAUCAACGAGACUUUAGUCGGAACCUUCCUGAUUAAAAACAAAAGACCGAAAAACUUCGGUGGGGACAUUUGCAAACAACGACGUAUACAACAACAACAACAACAAAGCCUUUUCUCACUAAGUGGGGUCGGCUAUAUGAAUCCUAGAACGCCAUUGCGCUCGGUUUUGUGUCAUGUCCUCCGUUAGAUCCAAGUACUCUAAGUCUUUUCUUAGAGUCUCUUCCAAAGUUUUCCUAGGUCUUCCUCUACCCCUUCGGCCCUGAACCUUUGUCCCGUAGUCACAUCUUCAAACUGGAGCGUCAGUAGGCCUUCUUUGCACAUGUCCAAAUCACCGGAACCGAUUUUCUCUCCUCUUUCCUUCAAUUUCGGCUACUCCUACUUUACCUCGGAAAUCCUCAAUCCCAAUCUUAUCUUUUCUCGUGUGCCCACACAUCCCACGAAGCAUCCUCAUCUCCGCUACACCCAUUUUGUGUACGUGUUGAUGCUUCACCGCCCAACAUUUUGUGUCAUACAACAUCGCUGGCCUUAUUGCCGUCCUAUAAAAUUUUCCCUUGAGCUUCAGUGGUCUACGACGGUCACACAACACGCCGGAUGCACUCUUACACUUCAUCCAUCCAGCUUGUAUUCUAUGGUUGAGAUCUCCAUCUAAUUCUCCGUUCUCUUGCAAGAUAGAUCCUAGGUAGCGAAAACGGUCGCUUUUUGUGAUCUUUGCUAGAUUGCUCCGGUCAUUAGUGUGGAUAAGUAUAUAAAUGGAUAGAGAUAGGAAAGCAAACACAAGAUGUACGUGGUUCACCCAGAUUGGCUACGUCCACGGAAUAGAGGAGUUCUCAUUAAUUGUGAAGGGUUUACACAAGUACAUAGGUUCAAGUUCUCCUUUAGUGAGUACAAGUGAAUGAUUUAGUACAAAUGACAUUAGGAAAUAUUGUGGGAGAAUGAUCUCGUAAUCACGAAACUUCUAAGUAUCGGAGUGUGGUAUCGUCUUGACUUGCCUUAUCUGUCUCAUAGGUAGAUGUGGCAUCUUCUCUGGAAGUACUCUUCCUCCAUCCAGGAGUGGUAUCUUUAACUGGUGGAGAUGCACAAGGUAAUGUAUCAAUUUCACUUGAAGCUUACUUGUAGUUUCAGGCUUGGUCAAGCGCGAUACAAACCAUGUAGUAGGAGUCCCCCAAGUCGCCGAGCUAGGGGAUUUGCUGAAAGAGGUGACAGACAAGGUAAGCAAUCAGAGCUCCGGCUGAUUGUUCACAUUCUCCCUAUCUUGCAGGCAGCAUGAAGGAUAAAGAGAAGAAAAAUGAGAAGGGGUGAUAUGGGAUACUUUUGCUUUUGAAGAAGUAACUUUCCACAGGUUUAUUCUUGAACUGAGCUGGAGGGUUUUCUUGUUUCCUCCAGAGUAUAAGGCCAACUGAAGAAUUUGAGGGUCAAAACAAGUCCAUCAAAUCUAGAGUACGUUCGACCCUGCUAAUAUGGGAUACUUUUGCUUUUGACAGAGUAGUGGAUGUAUCGACACGUGUGCUGUUACGCUUGUCUCCACAUGCUUCCUUGUAUCCUUCUCACUUGCCCUAUCUGUUCCUCAGGCAGAUGCGGUAUCUUCCUUGGAAGCAUAAGAUGUUGAAGAUGAGUACUCGAGAGCAAUGCCAGGUAAGUAAUCAGGUAAGAGGUUCCAGGCAGUCAGUUCCUGGCUGGAAUCUUGAUUCCAAGUGCUGACUGAUUGCUCUCUUUCUCCUUGUCUUGCAGGUAAGAAUAAGGCCAAAGGAAAAAACAGGGAAAAAGCAUGAUAUGGGAUACUCUUGCUUUUAACCUUGAUGAUAUGAGAUAUUCUUGCUCUAGUAUAGCUUGUUUGCAGAGGUAUUAUCCGGGGGAAAGAAAGCUGAAUAUUUCGAAAGGCUUCGUUGGGAGUGCCCUCUCAGAUAUGAGGAAGGGUUGAGCAUUUUUGCAGGUCUGCCUGUCCGUUGGGGAUGGAGGUCGACAUAUAUAGGAGUAUCCCUAACAACAAGUAGUAAUGCUAUUCCUUUACCCUGCUUGGUCAUAGCACGGUAGUGGGGGCUGCCAGUUUACAUGUUUUAACUCUGUCAGAGCACUUUGAAAAAGUGGUCUGUGGUAUCUGGAAAGCUGAUGUUGCGUGUGAAGAUUACAGACAAGCUUUAUCCAAGGAUAUCCGGCUCUUGAAGUUGGGAAAGUGGUGCCUCUUCGGUUUUCGAACAAGCAAUCCUAUCGGGGAUCUGGCUCACGAGAUUCAGAGAACGAUGCCUCUUCGAUUUUUGAGAAAGCAAUCAUGCUGGAGGUCUGGCUCUCGAGAUUCGGAGAGCGAUGUCUCUUCGAUUUUUUAGAAAGUAAUCAUGUUGGGAGUCUGGCUCUCGAGGUUCGGAGGGCAGUGCCUCUUCGAUUUUGGAGCAAGCAAUCUUGUUGGGAGUGUUUUCUCGAAUGUAAGUAAAGGUUGGGCAUGUUUGCUAGUCUACCUUGCCACGAAGCACAAAGGUUGACACACAGGGACUUUCCAAUUAUCCAGCAAUGGUACUGUUCCUUUACCCUCUCUUCGAUUUUUGAGAAAGUAGUCAUGUUGGGAGUCUGGCUCUCGAGAUUCGGAGGACGGUGCCUCUUCGAUUUUGGAGCAAGCAAUCUUGUUGGGAGUGUUUUCUCGAAUGUGAGUACAGGUUGGGCAUGUUUGCUAGUCUACCUUGCCACGAAGCACAUAGGUUGACACACAGGGACUUUCCAAUUAUCCAGCAGUGGUACUGUUCCUUUACCCUUGUGGGUAAUAAUAUGGUAGCUAGACCUUCAAAAUUUAUGUGUCUAAACUUUGUUAGUGCUAUUUCUUUGCUAUUCUUUUACCCUUCUUGGUCAGAGCGAUGUAGUGGGAGCUGCAAGCUUCACGUGUCUCAACUUUGGCAGAGAACUUUGGCAAAGUUAUCUAUGGUACCCAUGAGCUACUGUUGCGUGUGGGAAGUAGGUGAUUGAACAAUAAGAUUCAUGUGCUUUCUACUUCACCAGAAGUCUUCGACAGAAUGCCCAUAAUUUCCGCAAAGCUGAGUGUGCGUGUGACAGAUGCUGACAAGGCUGGAAAAGUAGGUGCCUCUUCGAUUUCUGAGAUCGGCCUUCGUGGUCUCUGAGCAGCCCAGCUUUUGAGAAAGCAAGCGCCUCUUCGAUUUCUGAGAUCGGCCUUCGUGGUUUUUGAGCAGCCCAGCUUUUGAGAAAGCAAACGCCUCUUCGAUUUCUGAGCAGACGCCUCUUCGAUUUCUGAAGCUCUGUCAAGUGCAGAUUUUUAUAGGGGCUGGCAUUAAGUUCCAAAGCACACUUGAAUCUCCACCAGUAGAAGCUCUACUCUUGCACUUCUAAGAUCUUGAUUUGUCCGACCUUUUCUCUCUUCAACACCUUUGAAAAUGUCUGGCCCCUCCGACCGUCGUUUUGACUUGAACCUUGUUGAAGAGGCAGCCCCGCCUUCUCCAGACAACAUAUGGCGCCCCCUUCAUGGUCCUCUUCCGUUGGGGAUCCCUACUGAUGAAGAAUCUUACCGUUGGGAUUCCGGAUGAAGAAUGAACCCGCUGCGGUGGUGGCCAGGAACCUUCUCACUCCCAAAGAUAACAGACUACUUUCCAAACGGUCUGAUGAGUUAGCUGUUAAGGAUUCUCUGUCAGUGUUCAGUGUGCAGGUUCUGUGUCUAAUAUGGCCCAACGCCUAUUUGCUCGAACCCGCCAAGUUGAAUCAUUGGCGGCUGAAGUGAUGAGUCUCAAACAGAAGAUUAGAGGGCUCAAGCAUGAGAAUAAACAGUUGCACCGGCUCGCACAUGACUAUGCUACAAACAUGAAGAGGAAGCUUGACCAGAUGAAGGAAUCUGAUGGUCAGGUUUUACUUGAUCAUCAGAGAUUUGUGGGUUUGUUCCAAAGGCAUUUAUUGCCUUCAUCUUCUGGGGUUGUACCGCUUAAUGAAGCUCCAAAUGAUCAACCUCUGAUGCCUCAUCCUUCUAGGGUUCUGUCCAGUACUGAGGCUCCGAAUGAUCCCCCUCCGGUGCCUUCUCUUUCUGGGGCUCUACCGACUGCUGAGACUUCUCCUAAGCAACCUUUGUGAAGGCUUCCUCUUGUUUGUUUAUUUUGACUUAUGUAUAUGUACAUAUUUGUAACUUAUUGGGGAUAUCAAUAAAUAAGCUUUCCUUCAUUUCAACGUAUUGUGUUAAAUACACCAAAGCCUUCUUCGCUAAGUUCUUUGAAUUUUCUUUUGUUGAAGCUUGUAUGUUGAAGCUUGUAUGUUGAAGCUUUGUGAGUGGAGCAUGUAGGUUGAGGUAGUGUUCCCUUAAUUUCCCGAGUGAGGAAAACUUCUCGGUUGGAGACUUGGAAAAUCCAAGUCACUGAGUGGGAUCGGCUAUAUGAAUCUUAGAACGCCAUUGUGCUCGGUCCUGUGUCAUGUCCUUCGUUAGAUCCAAGUACUCUAAGUCUUUUCUUAGAGUUUCUUCCAAAGUUUUUCUAGGUCUUCCUCUACCCCUUCGGCCUGAACCUCUGUUCCAUAGUUGCCUCUUCUAAUCGGAGCGUCAGUAGGCCUUCUUUGCACAUGUCCAAACAACGACGUAUACACAUGUAAAAUAUCAGAGUAGCAUCAUGUAUCGGUGGCAUAAAAAUCUUUACGCACCCACGUGUUCUAGAUGUUGGCACAUGAUCAUGCAUCGAUAGAUAUACGUAUGGACAAUGCAUGCCCUACCAUGCAAAUUAUGCCAAGAACAACAAUCGAUCGAGUGACCAGUGGUGGGAGAGCUAGGAAUAUUAGCAAGCUGCAUUUUCUCAAUUCCCACUCUCACUUGUUUGAGCAUACCGACUAAUAUGCUUGUUUCUUGACUUGUGGAUGUAUCCCAAGGUCAAUAUGGAUGCAUGGCAUGCGAUGUACGUCAGGAGGUUUUUCUUCUUUUCAAAAGCAGUAUAUGUUGGAAAAGUUAGACAUGGAAUUGAUACCACAGUUAAUAUGCUUUUGUACCUCAUUCCCUAUAACCAAAAAUUGCAUCAAGUAAAAAUUACCUUAUUUCGCAACAUUUCUUCAACUGGCUACUGGCUCUCUAGUUUUUCAAUUGUCAUCAUGGUCCAAGUACCUAAGCUGGGUCGGAUCAUUUUCUUCUUUGAGCAGAAGGACGUUAACCAUCGGAUUACCAUCGAUGAUUGCACAUGUUAUGCACUAAGAAAAGGUUGCAAGCGGUUAUUUGCUUGUAGAGCUACCGGCUGCCUUAUAGUACAAACUAGAAAAAGUUCUACCCGAACCGUAACGAACGUUGCUGCAGGAUUAAAAAUUGUGUAAAAAAAAUUAUGUUUCAAAGGUAUAAACCUAUCAACUUGUAUCACAUCUAACUGAACUACAACAACAUAUUGAAGCACUUAAUAUGAAAUUUCAUAAGCUAUUUGACAAUAUGAAAUCAAGCAAUUAUUGAAAAUCAGAAACGGAGCUUAGAAAGUAAAAAAUCCUACCUCAUUAUAUUAAAACAAUUAACAAAUUCUCAGUGAAUGAUCACAAAAAAGGCUCAGUUCUCACCAUAAUGAAAAUUAUGACAUCGUUUUAACAUGAACUUGAGUUCAUUUCAGUCACCAGCAUUAAUAAAACCAGUGACUUCAACCUGUGCAAGGAAACAACUGACUUAGACGCAAGCCAACCAACUUUGAAUCUAACCAAAUAAAAAAAGUAAUCACAAUCGAACUAACCUCUUCUUCCCAAAUGAAGUAGAAGAUGUCCCCUGUUUUGCCAUUGUGAACAGUGUACUCUACUCUCAACACACAAAAAGAACACACUCAAAAUGCUGAGCAAUAUUAUAAAAGCUACACAUACAUCAUUGUAUAUAUAUUUGGACAUAAAGUAUAAAGAUCUGCUGACAGUAUCAAGCUUAAAUUUAACAAAAGCAGUAAUUACGAAUUGAAAUCAAACGAUAAUAUAGUUGUUAAAAAAAAUUCUAACUAAAUUUUACAAAUAGCAUCAUAAAUGUUAAAAAAAAUAACACCAUUGAAAAAACUCAUUACUCAAAUCUGUAAUUCUAUAAAAGCACAUCACUGAAAACUUCAAUUUCAUCAAAACAUGUCAACCUAUAUCACAUCCAAAACCCAUUAAUAAUCUCUUCUUGUGUAUAGCUUGUCCUCAGAAUUCGCAGCUGAAAACGGAAUGUAAGUUCAGAGUAUGAUGAAAAAGAAGAAAUGAAAGAGUUGUGUCAAUGAAAAAGAAUGAGAGAGCGGGUAUCAGAACAAUCUACAAAGAAGAAGAAUUUGAGAUGAAUAAGUGGAUAAAUUGCUUACAUGAAGAGCUGAUUUCAAAUCGAUGAUCCAUUUCUCACCCUAAUAAUAUUUAACAAUUGCAAUUAGUAAAAUUUUCUUGAUAAGAUGAAAUCUAGGAGCAUAAUAAUAAGCAUUAGAAAUAGAAAAGCCUUAUAUAGUGAUUAAGGCCCUUAAUUAACUUGCGAAGCUUGAAAAGUCAUUCUCUUCACGUGGUUAAUUUGGAAGUUAUCCAAUGUAUGUAAAAACAUGAAUCAGAAGCAAAUUGAUGAAAUCGGAGGGAAAAAAUGUUACUUAGUAAUUGUAUAUGUUAUGAAGGCAUCAAAUAAAGUCCUGAUAAAAUACCAGCAUCUUUAUAUUAACCACUUUACAUAUAAAUUAUAAAUGAUUAUCACAGCCUUAAACAAAUUUCAUUUAGGGAAGACUGAUGAGGGGAUAUACGACUCACAAACAACUGAGACUGUCCUUUUUUUUUUCUUUUUUUUUUUUCAUAUCAACAAACACACAAAUUCUUAUAUUUCCGAAAGCACCUGCAUCCCAACAUAAAAACUUAAAUAAUACAUGAAUCAUCGAUGUUUUGCUUUGCAAACAGCCAAGGGGAUAGGAACUAAAAUAAAUUUCGUGACCAAGAACCUCUUAAAAACCAAGCUUGAAAGCAUAAAAACAAAGCUUUCAAUCUUUCUGUGCAAAUUAAUAUCACAAUCAAUUCAACCCCAUUUCCGCAAUCCAAAGCUUCAAACUUCAUACAAAAAUACAAUAAUUUUUAGAAUUUCACCCAAACAUAAAGAGAAUAAUAUUGUUAGGUGCGGAGAAGAAAAAACCAGGGAAAAAUGGAAGAUGGAUUUUAGCAUGGAAAAGCAAUUCACAGCAACAAUAAAAAGGUGAAAUUAAAAACUCAAUUGAAUCAAAUGAAGAAUUUUCUAGUGUGCAAACAAUUAGUGUUAUCAGCAAGAAGUUUCAGACCUUAAAAUGCAAAAGCAUGUGCCCAAAAUGCAAUCCUAUAAAACAUGAAACAACAGCCAUAAGAUAAUCGGAAAUUUUCUAAUAAAAUGAACCGAAGACCAACUUUGAAUAAUUGGUAACGAUGACGCUUUGACAUUGAUAGAGUGUAUGUAUGUGAGAGAGAGAGAGAGAGAGAGAGAGAGAGAGAGAGAGAGAGAGAUGGAAAUAGAGUUAGAAUUAGACCAAUUCAGAAAUCAACCUUAAGAUUCCCUCUGGGUCAACUGGUUGCACCAUUGAUGAGAAACAGUCGGUAGAGGUUGAUAGUAGGAGAACUAACAUUGCAUUCCUGAAACACAAAGGAUUAACCUUUUUCAAUUAUCAUCAGUGAAUGCACUAAUACAGGACUUAAAUUCUGAUAUAUUCAAUAAUCUAAUUACCAGAGAAGGACUUUUAUCCUUCUAUAAAGAGGCAGUUGAUAAAGGUGACUCUGGCCCAGUAUAACUUGACUCAUAAACUGGAAACUUUGAGGCUUCAAACUCUGAGCUAAAAGUUGAAGCUUCUCACUCAACAAACAAAAAUUACAAAUCCAAAACUAAAAAGAAUCAGAAACAAACUAAAACAUGGGAUUGGUGAAGGCCAUACCUUCGAAAGCAUAGACGCAGGCAGCUCUACGAGAGUGAUCCCAACUCCGGGGUCGGAGGCGGAAACAGAGGCCAAUAUCCUCAAGAUUUUGCGUUGAUGAUUGUGAGAUCGGGAUAAAACGGUCGAAACCAAAUUUGCAAGUUUUGAAAAAACGUUAAGGAAUCUGGGUUUCAAUGAAUAAGGAGGCUGCAAAUAAAAUCCCCAAAGAAACAAAAAAAGGGUCUCCCAUGUCGGUAUUUUGUGAGAGAAAAAGCGCAAGAUUCGAGAGCGAGUUCAACAGCGGCAGAAGCACAGAUUUGUGAGAAAGAAGAAACCGAAGGAAAAAUCGAGAAGAUGCAAGAGAGGCUUGAGGCAAGCAUGGACAAAUAGGUAAUCUUACGUGUAAAGAGGAGAAAGAACGGAGCAGGAAAACUGUUUGACAGGGCAAUAUCGCUAAUUUAAUUCUGGUGAGCAACGCUUUUCCACCAGGUGGAUGGCAAGGGCAAAAACGCCUUUUUACUGUGAAAAAGACGCAAAAAAAAAGGCACAUAAAAAAGCAUUCAGAGGGCAUUUUCGCCCGUUUACCACUGGUGAACAGUGUUUUUUUGCUUGAGUUUUAGUAUAGGUUCAACUAAAAAUUGUUAUCCGCGUGAUUAGAAAUUGUUAAAAAAAAAUUAUCAUAGACUAUUAAUAUUAUUUACAUUAAAAAUGUUACACGAUUUUAACAAACAAAAAAUUUAAUCUAUACAGUAUACACACAAACAAUUGUAGAACUUUUGUCUCUACAUAAAAAAAAAAAUAAAAAAAUCUAAGUUAUUCACUGAAGCACCUAAAGUUUCUUGAUUGUGAAGAAAGCAACCUCAGCAAGGAAAAAUAUGAAAUAUUAAAAUACAUGCAAUUAAUUUAUACAUCAACGGGCUUAUAUUACAAAAAAAUAAGGAUAAAGUAUUGCUACCUAGUCUUUUUUUUUUUGGAGGAAAAUAAUCUGAUUUUAUACCAAUUAGAGAGAACUUUUUUCAGCAAUUUAAUAGUCUAAUAAAUUGAUUAUACAAAAAAUCCAUUAAAAAAACCUAAAAACAAUAAACUAUUCACUAAUUUUUCAUACGAAAUAGAACAAAGCUAUAGAAUAUACCUUUUCAUGGUGAGUAUUGUGAAAAAUACAACAUAGCUUGAGACAAUGGUAAUUAACGUGUUUGGAAAAGUCUACCUGCGUGGUGGUGUAAUCGUCACACAGAUAAACUUCAAUGCCAAUUGAUUGAACUAAGUUUUUUUUUAACAAACAAUAUUAUCUACACUAAAGAGAAAAAGGUAAGCUUAGACUCACAACAAGAGAAGCCUUGCGCAGAGCUCUGCCUCUAACAACUCAAUUAUAUCUUGAAAUCGGCUAAGUUGGUAUUGUAACACGGUAAGGUUGGGUAGAUUUUAGAUCCAAAUGUCACCAAACAAUAUUCUGCAGAAUGGCAGUGUUCUAUCUAGAUUGUCCAUGGCACGGGCGUAAACUGGAUGAUAACGCAGGGCAACACUGGUACUAUACCCUAAACAUCCACAAGCUAUAAACAAAUAGUUAAAGUUGAUAUGCACCAAGGGUACUAAAACUCAAUCCAUUGUUUAGUAAGAAGAACCACAAAAACAAAUUAGUAAAAACCGAAAUGGUUAUCAGAUGGACACAAAGGUUUUUGUACUACGUGAAACUUUGCGUCGAGAAAUUGAAACAACUAUCAGGAGACAGUUAUACGGAUUUCCUACAAUUCUAUAAAUAAUAUAUUCUUUCACCAUUGUUUCAAUUCAAACAAAAAUUAAAGAACAGAAAAGCUAGAAGCAGGAAAAUUGCAACUGAUCAAUAUUUUCCAAACAAAACCAACCUGCAAUGUCCUAGUUGCAAAUUCAACUCCAAUGGUGGACUUAGACUCCAAAGAAAACUCAUUCCUCGUAAACCUCAAAAGAAUGUUCGAUUUUCCAACACCCGAAUCUCCAAUCAAUACAAUCUUGAAGAGGUAAUCGUAUUCGUGAUCCACCUUGUACGCCAUACGUUCUACUCCUCACACACACACCCCACAACACCUGCCCAGAUCCAGAAUUCACCAAACAAAAAGCUGUUAGCAGUCAAAAAACCAAAAAAAUAAACCCAUUCUCUUGUUUUGACAGAAGGGAUGAGAAAAGUGCUGAUCAGAGAGCAUUUUCUUUACCCACGGUUUCUUUCCAAUGUGAUUUUCCCGAGAAACAAACGGAAAUUGGGUAAUCAUAAAACAAUGGCGCGUAGAAUGGUGAUUAACAAAAUAGAGGAUAUUUUGAAUGUUGGGUUUUGUUAUGUUUGCAUUGAAGUUUGUGGAAACAGAGGAGAGGAGAAAAGAAGAAGAAAAGGAUGGCGUUGUACAAAGUUAGAAACAGAACAAUUGAUGAAAAUGCACUUAAAACGGCCUUUCACGAGGGAAAUGACGCGCCGAAUUCGGAGUCUGUGUAAAGUAAACGACCCUUCAUAAGACAUGCCGCAUAAAAUUUAAGCCCAUUCUCAAUGUGGGCUUAGGGCAUAUGUUUGUAACCCACUGAAAAGCUCCAUUAGGGUUUCCUAUCACACACUAUUUAUCUCUCUACACACUUAUGUCAUGUAGUCAUGUUUAAUCAUAUCGGUUGACUAUUGAUUUUAUCAACUUGGGUUACUAAAAAUUAAGAAAUGAGUGCAAUUAUCAUUUCUAACUGUUUUAAAAUGUUAGGAUGAUUCAUAAACAAAUUGGAAGUUCAAAAGAUAAGUCGGAAUGAGCCCCUAAAUUCAAAGGGUAUUUGCCAUGUCUCUCCGUUUUGUGAAUCAUUAAAAGUGACAUUAUUUAUCCUUACAUAUUUUGUCUUUGGUGCACAAAGUGACUACUACUGCCAACCACUACAAACCUAACCUCUUACACCACCAUUGUUACCACCAAGCCACCACCACGACCAUAACACAUAAGCGUCACCACUACCACCACUUACCUCUGUAGCUCAACCACCACACCCCUUAAUCAGCAGCACCACCACCACCACUACUAUCACAACCAUUGUCCUAGCCACCGUUGUCAACGUCAUCACGCAAAUUAUCAUGUCCAUUUUUGUUAUUAUAUACAAUUAUAUCAUUUUACAUUAAAUUUUACCAAACACGCUUUUACAAUGCUUUUCAUACUCACAACACUUAUAAAAAUACAGUUAUCAAACACUCAGCUACUUUAUUUUGUAGCUGAUUAUUCUUAAAGCACAACAUAAACAAUUUUUUUUAAAGCAUAGUACUCCCCAACUGGCCCUAAGUCCACAAAUGAGUCAUCCAAAGCAAAGCCGGUCUUGAGUUUUUUGGUGCCCGGAAAAGGAUCAGAAAGUGCCUUUUCUUAAUACACAGGUAUAUAUUAAAAAUAAAUAUUUAAAAAGGGUGGGCCAAGCCCUUCUUACAUAUUAUAUUACUCAAGUGCAAAGGUAAACGUUCAUAGCUAAUAAGGAUAAAACUGUUAAAAGCAUAGUUAGUUAGAAUUGUUAUAAGGUGGUUAUGAUAGCUUGUAAUUAGUGAAUGUUUGUUUGGGUAUUUUUGUAAUUAGCUUGUUAGCUAAGACUAGUGAGUCACUAGUAUAUAUAUGUACAUACCAUUGUAUAAUUUUAUCUUGAUGAAAUGAAAAGAUAACAUUUCUAAUAUGGUAUCACCCGCCUAAAAGUCUCACGACAUUUUCGAUCCUAUUUUUCCCGCCUCUCUCUCUGCAUUGUCUCCUAGGGUUUGCUUCUUCUUCUCCGAUCAAUCGAUCGCUUCAACGCUCUUACUUCUUCUUCUUCAAGCUAUGACGACCUCUGCAACUUAGUCUUCUUCCGCUUCGGAUUCUCCUAUUCAUCCAAUUCUUGCUGCCCUUUCUAACCCUAAUUCUGCAAUUACGAUCCAAAACAUUGGAUCCAUGGUUCCAAUCAAGCUUACAACGACGAACUACCUGACCUGGAGUGCUUUAUUCGCUCCGAUUUUCCGCCGGUACAAUCUUACCGGAUUAAUUGACGGCACAAUGGCUGCUCCGUCAAAAUUCCUUCUCGAUGCAUCUGGAAAUCGCACUGCCACUCUGAAUCCCCAAUAUGUUGCGUGGUAUAUGAAUGAUCAGAACAUCUUGAUCUAGAUCAACUCUACGCUCUCGGAUGCUCUCAUUCUUUACACUGUUGGUGUUAAUUCGGCUCGGGAGUUAUGGUCCAAGUCAUGUAUUUCUCUUUCUAGUGUUUUAAAUAAAACUGUCUGCUCCAGCUGUGCUCUAGGCAAGUCUUCAAAAUUACCUUUUGUUUCUGUUUCCUGUACCUCCAGUAAACCUCUGGAAUUGUUACACACUGAUGUAUGGGGUCCAGCCCCUCUUCUUUCUAUCAAUGGACAUCGUUACUACAUCAUUUUUGUUGAUGAUUAUACCAAAUACACUUGGUUCUUUCCUCUUGCAUCCAAGUCUGAUGUCUUUGACACAUUUGUCAAGUUUAAAGCUCCCGUGGAAAAUCUACUCAGUUCUAAAAUAGUUACUAUAAGAUCUGAUUCUGGUGGAGAGUUUCUUAGUCUCAAGCUCAUCAAUUAUCUGCAAUUACAUGGCAUUUCACAUCAGUUAAGUUGCCCUCACACACCUGAACAGAAUGGAUGUGCUGAACGCAAACAUCGGCAUCUAGUUGAAACUGCUAGAACUCUUCUAGCAGCCUCUCAAGUUCCUAAGCUCUAUUGGGAUGAUGAUUUUGCCACGGCUAUCUAUCUGAUUAACAGAAUGCCGACAGCUACCAAGUAUUCUCCUUGGGAAUUACUCUUUCACAAACCUCCGGAUUAUUCCUCUCUGAAAGUGUUUAGCUGCAAAUGUUUUCCUUGGUUGAAGCCUUACACUUCCUCUAAACUUGAUUCAAAGAGCAAAGUAUGUGUCUUCUUGGGUUAUAGUUUGAAUCACAAGGGUUAUAAAUGUCUCGAUCCUCAUACUGGCAGAGUAUAUCUUUCACGGCAUGUUAUUUUUGAUGAAGUCACUUUUCCUUUUGCUCAACAAGACUUAUCUCAGUCUCUCCCAUCCAGUUCUAGUUCUUCAAUACUGAGGAAUCAUCACACCAUUCCCACAACCUUAACUUUUCCCACUAUAUCUUCACCUUUACCAUCUCCUUCCCUUACUGCACCUAGUUCCCUUGCUGCAUCUAGUUCUCUUGCUGCACCUAUUUCCUCUUCCUCAUCUCCUCACCCUAUUUCUCAUCCCAUCUCUGCCCCUAAUCCACUUGCCGCACCCUUCAUACCUCAAAACACUCAUUCCAUGCAAACUCGUUCCAAAUCCGGUAUUGUCAAACUAAAGGUUUUCUUAGCAACCAAACAUCCUAUUUCCUCUGAGAUGUCACUUGACUAUAUACCAUCCACUUAUCUUCAAGCCUCCAAACACUCUCACUGGAGGCAAGCUAUACAGGAAGAAUUUAAUGCUCUUAUUCAAAUUGGCACUUGGUCUUUGGUCCCUUCUCAUUCUUCUCAGAAUUUGGUUGGUGCAAAAUGGGUAUUCAGAAAUAAAUGCAAGCCUGAUGGUACCAUUGACAGGUACAAAGCAUGGCUUGUUGCCAAAAGAUUUCAUCAGCAACAAGGUUUGGACUACACUGAAACAUUUAGUCCAGUUGCAAAGCCGGUUACCAUUUGGCUUCUUCUCACUUUGGCUGCCAAGUUUGAUUGGUUCCUCAAUCAACUUGAUAUUAGCAAUACAUUUUUGCAUGGUAAUCUCACUGAAUCUGUGUUUAUGGUACAACCACCAGGAUUUGAAGACCUUACAAUGCCUUCUCAUGUUUGUCAUUUGCAUAAGUCUUUGUAUGGUUUGAAGCAAGCCCCCAGGGCUUGGUAUGAGAAAUUAACAACUGCCUUAAAGUCUCUCGGUUUCUCUGGUUCUCAUAAUGACUAUUCUCUGUUUGUAAAACGGGAACCAGCUCUGGUCUUCAUUCUGAUUUAUGUUGAUGACAUUAUUGUCACUGGUCCAAGUUCCCAUCUUUGCCAAGAGGUUAUAACUCAACUCGGUGUCUUAUUUCCUGUCAAAGAUCUUGGCCCCCUUCAUUACUUUCUUGGCAUUGAAGUAACAAGAUCAUCCUCAAGGAUAUUGCUUUCUCAGACCAAAUAUAUUCUUGAUCUCCUCACUAAAGCUCAUAUAGAGGGUUCCAAGCCUUGUGUUACCCCGAUUAGCACCACUAAAUUGGAUCAUGAAUCUCCUUUACUUGAUAAUCCUGAAGAAUAUCAAUCUUUGGUUGGUGGUUUGCAGUAUUUAACUUGGACUAAGCCCGACUUAUCUUAUGCAGUGAAUUUGGUCUGUCAAUUCAUGCAUAGUCCUCGGCAAGCACAUUUCCAGGCCGUCAAGCGCAUUCUUCGAUAUCUUAAGGGUUCCUUGCAAAUUGGCUUAUGGUUUCCUAAGUGUUCCAAGUCUCUCACUCUCACUGCCUUCUCCAAUGCAGAUUGGGCAGGUUGCAGUAUUGACAGACAAUCCACUAGUGGUUUUGUAAUUUUUUUGGGAGACUCUCUUAUUAGCUGGAGUGCAAAGAAACAGCCUACUGUGGCUUGAUCCUCAACUGAGGCUGAAUAUCGAUCUUUUGCAAACACUGCGGCUGAACUCACCUAGAUUUCCAAGUUACUGACUAAUGUUGCUCUUGUUCUUCCCUCUUCUCCACAGCUUUGGUGUGAUAAUAUCUCUGCAAUUUCCUUGGCUAAGAACCCUAUUUUUCAUGCACGAACCAAACAUGUGAAGAUAGAUUAUCACUAUAUCCGCGAAAAAGUGCUCGCCAAUCAAGUGCAAGUUCUUUUUGUCUGCACGGAGGAUCAACUUGCUGACAUUUGUACUAAACCUCUAUCCAAGCCUCGGUUCAUCUUCCUUCGCAACAAACUCUCUCUUCGGUUCCCUCAGUUAGGUUUGCGGGGGGGGGGGGAUAAUAAGGAUAAAACUGUUAAAAACACAGUUAGUUAGAAUUGUUAUAAGGUGGUUAUGGCAGCUUGUAAUUAGUGAAUGUUUGUUUGGGUAUUUUUGUAAUUAGCUGGUUCGCUAAGACUAGCGAGUCACUAGUAUAUAUAUGUACAUACCAUUGUAUAAUUUUAUCUUGAUGAAAUGAAAAGAUAACAUUUCUAAUAAUAGCCACUUUAAACUAUAAUCAUUAAGUUCAUCUCCAAUUGAACGCUGGCCAAAUGGCUUGUUUUAUCCAUCUGAUCCUCUAAGAAAUUAAUAUUUUAAUGAACUAUGCAUGACCAUAUUUCUUACCAUCUCCAACCGAGGGCCAAACAUAAUUUAUUAUUUAAAUUUAAAAAUUACAACUUAAAUUAAAAAACUACAACUAAAAUUUUAAAAAUACAACUUAAAUUUAAUAACUACAAGUAAAAUUUAUAAAAUACAACUUAUAUAUCUCAAGUCAAAUGUGAGAGGUUUUAUUUAGAGUAGAAAAAAAAGGAAAUAAGUGGGAGAGGAAGUAGGAGAAACUAAAAAUGUGGAAGUGGGUGGGAGAGGAAGUAUAAAAAUAUAAAAAAAAAUGGAAGUGGGUGGGAGUCCCACAUCGGUUGUGAGAAAGAUUUGAGCAAGUUCCAAAGCCUAUAAAAAGAACACCUAACAUUCAAUGAAACAUACUUUCUGGGCCUAUAAUUGAAUAUAUUUUUUAAAAAAUUUUGGCUAACAAAAAAAAAUUCAAAUAACUGUAAAAAAAAAACAAAAAAAAGGGCUAGCUAACUUUAGCUAGUUGACAGUUGCUUUUGAAUUCUAGCCCGGCCAGUUGGCCCUUUGACCAUUUUUUAUCUAGUGGGGCCCACAAGCCAUUUGGUCUAGCUCUCGGUUUGAGACGAUUUUAGGGUCAUUUUCGACCCUCUGACACCUUUUGGUUGAAGAUGACCUAACAGAAAAAAAUUGAACAUUUUAUGAGACUUCUCUCUCCGAAGAGGUCCCAAAUUUAAGUACUAGCAAACGGGUGCAUUUUUGCUCACCCACAUUAACUUAGGUGUAUGCUCACCACACAUCUCCAAGCUUGCCAAGUGUCCCUUUGCUUUAAUCCUGGUUAACAUUUUCAUUUGUUAUUAAUAUUUUACUAUAAUAAUACAUUAAUAAUCAUCUUAACAUUUAUCUUUGAACUUUUUAAUCAAUAUUUGUAUCUCAACCGUCCAUCUCCCCUCUUCCUCCCCCCUCCCAUCUCUCUCCUCUGUCACUUUUCCCCCUUUUCUGUCAUUUGGGCGAAUAUCCCAAAUCUAAAAUCUCAAAUUCUAAUACAAAUUUAAAGGGGAAUGGGUGAAUUGAUUUGACGGGGUGAAGUCCAUCGAUAUCGCGAGAAAGGAGCAUGAUGAGUAGAUUUUAUAUUAUAUAUGUUACCCUAAUCUUAGUAUAUUUUGGUUAACAUUUUGGAAGAAUUUUGAUACUUUGAAUUGUAUUUCCAAUAUAGGACUUUCGACUUCUUCUGGAGCAAAACAGAAUCAAAUAGACGAAUUUUUAAGUAAUUCUAGUUGGAGAACGUUCGUGAGUCACUUAUCUUGAUCGUAUCAAAAUCUGGGAUUUUUCCACCAUGCAGUUAUUUUCUGGCGAUAAAAUAAAGGAGCGAUGUGCAGUGCUGGAAAAUGACUUUUUUUGGCUUAAAUUACGUUUUUGUAGCCCACGAUGACCUCGGAUGGGUUCGUGGCCUUCUGGAGAAGUGUUCAGAAUGUUCCAAACAUUAAAUUCAGCUAUAUUGGGCUGGUUUUGGAGCAGCUUAUGGAUCCAAAAUGUGGCUGUUCAGAUUUUAGGCGAAUUUUACCAUUUAAUUUAGAGUUAUGUUUCCUAUUUUAUUUAUUGUUACUAUUAGUUUCCUAGAGGGAAAAAAUGACCUGUUUUUAGGGUUUGUGUGGUGGUUUAGCAAAUAUAUUGCUUAGCCGUCUACCACAUUUUUCUCUACGCUUUAUUUUAUGCAAUUUUGAAGACAGAGAGAAAUGCUAGGGUUUUGGAGAUUUUCUACUUAAAGGUGUUUUCAAUUAUUUUCUUAAUAAUAUUUUCUAUGAUUUCAAUUAUGAAUAUGCAUAACUAAUUUCCUAUUGCUAGGGCGAAGCCUUGAGCCUUAACAUGAAUACGUGAUUUUUAUUUAAUUGCUUAUGAUUGAUUGCAUGCAUACUUUGAAUUGUUAAUCACCGGGAUAAAAACUAUCUAAUUAUCUUAAUGCCUGAUCACCAUUAUGAUCUUUAGAAAAGUAAUUUGAUGCAAUUUUGGUCGGAAGGUUCCUUGAAAUUGACACUGGCUGCAUGUGAUUAAUAAUUGUAAUUUCACUUAAGAUGAACACCACGUCUUAAAGGUUGCAUGAUUUUUCAAGGGAUUUUCAUAAAGUAUAAUGAGUCUUUGAUGUUCAGAUUUGAUCUGAACGUCCGGACAGGUUGCAUGUUAGAUAUACGUUCUAUGUUGGAGGUUCCAAGUAGAAUAUGAAUUAGGAAAAUCUAACCUUCAAAGUGGCAUGUGUAGAUCAUAAGUAAUUGGUAAAAAUUCAUAGGAUUGCUAGGUGAUGGUGGAACCCUAGCGUUUUCUUAAUUUGAUUCUUCCAAAACUGUUUUCUUUUUCCCCAAAUUUUAAUAUUGCAGAUUGUCUUAUUUGUUUUAAUUAAAUUCGUUUUUAAUUUAAGUAGGCUAUAAAAUCAAUCAUCAUAAUUUCUACUUUACAAUAAUUAAUUGAACUUUGGUUUGUUUCGAAUUAUUUCAUAAUCCCUGUGGAGAACAACCUUGCGAGAUCCGUUUACACUACAACAACCUUGUGAUUCUUGUAAAUAUUAUAGGAAUUUUUAUCCCAUUCACAUGAUUAGUAAAAUCCCUAUCAGAGCACAAGUUGCCUCCAUUCACUCGAAGCAAAGAUGCACAGAUAAGUGAAGAAAAUUUGUACCUAGAAGAUUGUUCCAAAUUGUGGGUGGUUGGCAUGGGGUGGUGAGAGGUGGGAGGGAGCAAAUAACAAGUGAGAGGAAUAAAGGGUCGUCUUUGCUGCUUCAAAUGCUUGAGCAAUUUCCAUUAGAAUAUUAUACAUAAAUAAAAUUACAAUUAGGAGAUAAUUUCUGUGAUUCGAAACGCCAUGGAUGAUUUGGUGUAGGAGGACAAUUUCUUUGAAACUGAAUAAACGCUUCGGGAGGUGAGUUGCAGACGGUUUUUUAUUUGUCUAUUUUUAGUUUAUUUUUAUUUCUUUAUUAAAUUAAUAAAGAAGAUGUCGCACUUGGUGCGAUGGCAAGUGCCUUCGCCCAUGAGCGGUAAGUCUCGGGUUCGAGACUUGGGAGCAGCCUCUCCAUAAAAUGGGGGUAAGGCUAGCCGACAUUCACCUCUCCCAGACCCUGCGUAAAGCGGGAGCCUUGUGCACUGGGUAUGACCUUUAUUAAAUUAAUAAAGAGUAAUUAAAUCACAGUUAACCAUGGUUAAGGCAAGGGAACACUUGGCAAGCUUGGAAAUGUGUGGUGAGCAUACACCCAAAAUGGGUGAGCAAAAAUGCACCCCUAGCAAACUUAUUCGGUUCUUUAAUUAUCAUCACAUCAAAUGCCUAGAAAGGUUUUGCCCAACUCAAUCAACACGAGUCAACAAAUUUCAAGAAUAGUAUUAAGUAUAAAGAGAAAUUAGAAGCCCCUGCAUUUUUCAAAUACAUUUUAGAUCAAACAUUGGUUCUUCUCUAAGAUUUGAUUAAGAAGCUUUGACCAAUUGCCACAUCAACAUUUUUCUAUAUUUUAAAUUACAUAUAAUUUGUUUAAAGCCAUCUUCACUUCACCUUGUAACUAAUUGCUUACAAUAUAGGAAAUUUUAUUUUCAUUGUCCUAUAAACUCCUACGUUUUAAUGACUCUUUUGAUAUAAAAAAAAUAAUUAAUUAAAGUAAUUUAAACUUUUACAUUGUUAAACGACUCUUUCUAUAAAAAAAAAUAGGGUAAAGUACAAAAAACUAUCUCAACUAUUAGUGUCACGAUACUUUCAUAUCUCAUCUUUUAAAAUUGACAAUGUCAUACUUCAUCUUUAGAAUUUGGUCCAAUAUUAUACCUUCCGUUACUUGGCUGUUUACUUUUCAAUUAAAUGCUGACGUGACUUGAUUAAAAAAAAUUAUUUAAUAAUUUUAAAUAUUAAAAUAAUAAAAAAAAGUAAAAAAAAAAAAGAAAACAACCCUAAGUUCGUCCCUCCCCCUCCCCAUCUUCAUCUUCUUCGCCCCCCCCACCCAAAAAAAAUAAAUAAUAAAAAACUCAGAUCCCGUCGGCGGGAAGAUGGGUGCGCGGAGAAGGUGGAGGAUGGGUGCGGAAUAGGAUGUGGAGAAUGGAUGGGUGGUGGAUUUGGGGUUGGGUUUUUUUUUUGGGGGCGGGGGGGGGGGGGACGAACUGGGUUCGCUUUGGAUUUUUUCUUUCUUUCCUUUUCUUCUUCUUCUUCUUCUUUUUCUUCCUCAUUCUUCUUUCUGGGUUGUUGGGGGUUGAGCGAACUGGGUUGGGUUGGAAUUUUUUUUUUCCUCUUCUUCUUCUUCUUUUUUGGGGGAGGGGGGUUCUUCUUCUUUCUGGAUUGUUGGGGGUUGGGCGAACUGGGUUGGGUUGGAAAUAUUUUUUUUCCACUUCUUCUUCUUCCUCCUUUUUUUUUUCCUCUUCUUCUUCCUCCUUCUCCUUCUUCUUCUUCUUCGGGGGAGGGGGGUUCUUCUUCUUCUUCUUCUUCCUCUUCUUCUUCUUCCUCCUUCUUCUUUCUGGGUUGUUGGGGGUUGGGCGAACUGGGUUGGGUUGGAAAUUUUUUUUUUCCUCUUCUUCUUCUUCCUCUUCCUUUUUUUUUCCUCUUCUUCUUCCUCCUUCUCCUUCUUCUUCUGCUUCUUCUUCGGGGGAGGGGGUUCUUCUUCCCCCUUCUUCUUUCUGGGUUGUUGGGGGUUGGGAGAACUGGGUUGGGUUGGAAAUUUUUUUUUUCUCUUCUUCUUCCUCCUUCUCCUUCUUCUUCUUCUUCGGGGGAAGGGGGUUGAUGGGUUUUCAAAUUUAUUUAUUUUUGGUUGAAGAUUAAGCAGGGAAGAAGAUGAAGAUGGGAAGAGAAAGGGGGAAGGGACGAACAGAGGGAUUUUUAAUUUUUUUUUUACUUUUCUUUAUUAUUAAAAAAAUAUUAAAUAAUAAUUUUUUAUUAAAAAUGGGCCCUGAAUCAAGUCACGUCAGCAUUUAACUGAAAAAGUAAACGGCCAAGUAACGAAAGAUAUAAUAUUAGACCAAAUUCUAAAGAUGAGGUAUGAAACUGUCGUGACACCAAUAGUUGAGGUAGUUUUUUGUACUUUAACAAAAAAAAUAAAUAAUUAAAGUAACUUCUCGUUAUACCAUCUUCAAUGGUGGGCUAAAUACUAAAUUACCCCCCAAUUCCCCCCCCCCCCACCAAACAAUCUCCAACCCAUGAUAAAACAUUGGGCUAAAUGCCAAAUGUUAAAGCUGGGCCAAAUACCCCCCAAAAUUCCCUCCCCAUGUGAUUGGAUUCGCUGGCAAUUGGGCCAGUCUCAGCCCGGUCACGCUUCAACGUGUCCCACGCGGUGCGCUUGCAAACCUUUCCCAACAGGGGUGUGCCCCUCUGUUAGUCGUUCGUCUGCUACCCAAAAAUCCCAACAACUAUAAUUUGAAUCCAAGGGCUUGGUUUAAUGGAUCGUUGGUUGAUCCAACAGUCCAGAUUCAAAUUUAAUUUUUUUUUAAUAUGUUAUUUUAAAAUACAUUGAAUCCAAUGACUGAGUUCGAAUAUAAUCAAAUCUAACGGUAAAAAAUAAGAUCUAACGAUCCAAAUUUAAAUUCAACGGCUAAAAUAAUUUUAAAAAAUCAUUUAACUCAAAAUUCACCAAAAAACUCUAUAAAUACCUAUGUGUUUGUUCAAACAUCCACACAAAACUCAAUUUUCUCCUACGAUUCUUCCAAUUUAUCUUUUUACCUUUUCUUUCCAUUUCCAAAUUGUUCAACAUGACAAGAGAGCAUAUUAGAGGUCGUAAUUGGACCUAUGAGGAAGAUGUUGCUUUAUGCUUGGCAUGAUUUUCUAUUAGCAAAGAUGGUGGAGUUAGCACAAAUCAAAAUAAGAAGGUUUUGUAGGAUAAAAUCAUUGCAAAGUUUUAAGAAAACUGCAAUGGCGGCAGGCAUGAUGGUGGUGGUGUUUAUGAUUGGUGGAAGACUAUCAACAAAGCAUGUACUUUAUGGAAUAGAAGUUUUGAGAGAGCCGUGGUUGGCAUGGCUAGUGGAAGAAGGGCCACAGAAAUUGUGAGUUUUGUUCUUAAUAUUUUAUUUAUCAUGUACAUAAUAUUAUUUUCCAACUAAGUAUUUUUAUGUAUUUUUUGCAUAAGGUGCCAAAGCAAUGAAAAUUUAUAAGACAAGAGCAACACCAGAAAAUCAAGUUUUUAAGUUGCAACAUGCUUAGAACGUCCUCAAGGAUUGUCCAAGGUGGGGAACCGAUGCGGACCAACAAUGGGGAAGAUUAUUUCAACGUGAAGCCGCACAGACAAAUGCCGGAGAUGAAGGUGUCGAUGAAAUGACCCCAUCUCCUUCUUUUGCAAGGCCCCCGGGAAGAGAUAAGCAAAAGGAAGCAAAGAGAAAAGGGAAGUCCCAAGAUCCGAUGAGUGGACACUUUGGUACUAGAAUUGCAAAAUUGAACGAAACUCAUAGCGCUCGCUAAGAAGAAACGGCCCGAAUGCGUUUGCAAAUGAAGGAAAUCUCAUAUCGGGAGCAAGAUAGGUUUGAAAUUGAAUUCAUGAUGGAGGACCUCAACAAAUACACUUUAAAGAGGAAGAAGUUCUUACAUGGUAAGCAAAAGGAAAUUUUGCAAAAGUCUGUCUCAAGGAGUAUGUUUCAAGAUGAUGAAUCCUCUGAAUCCUAUAUCCCAAGAUUUCAAGAAAGUCCAUCACCAAGUGAAGAUGGUGGAUAUGAUUAUUAAGUUUAUGUAGUGUAUGAAUUAUGUGCUUUAUUAAUUGAGUUUAUUAAUUGUCGAUUGUAUUAAGUUUAUGUGGUUUAUGAAUUAUCGGUUGUAUUAAGUUUAUGUGGUUUAUGUAUUAUCAGUUGUAUUGUUUCUAUUAAUUUAGAUGUCUUCAAUAAUUAUUGUACUUAUUAUUUCACACUUUGAUGUAGAAUAGAUGUCUUCAAUAAUUCAACGUACUAGACAAAAUACUUUGCACAAGAAGACAUUUAAAUUUAUUACUAGAAAAUAACAACAUAGUACACUUAAAAUUAAUCUAGAUGCCUUCAAUAAUUAUUGUACUUAUUAUUCCGCACUCUUCUAUAUCACGCUACACAUAUGAACGUCCCGUGACAGAACCACGAUGGCUAGAUUCACUAUGGUGGUCAGAUUGCAUAAACGAGUUGACAAGUUCAACUUUGGCGUUGAACAAUUCUGCAUCCUCAAUCUCGAUCCUUGCUUGGUAUUGUGUCAUCUGCAUUGUCAUGCUACAUAUUUUUCUAUCACCAAUUGAUGAGAUAUUGAGGAUUUUUAGGAAAUAAAAACUCUUUGAAAGUUGAAAGAUUAGUGAAUAUAGAGGAUGAUUGAAGGUUAAAAGAUUGUGUGAUCAACAAAUAUUGGACAUAUGUUUAUAUAGAGGAUGAUUGAUGAAAGUUGAACAGUUGGUGAAAGUUGAAAGUUUGGUGUUGAACGGUUGGUGAAAGUUGAAAGUUUGGUGUUGAAGGGUUGGUGAAUUGAAAAUUUGGUAUUGAACGGUUGAUGAAUUGAAAGUUAGCACAUGGUUGAAAGAUUGGUGAAAGUUGAAGGCUUGCUUUGUGAAAAAUUUAGUGAUUUUUCAAUAUUUAUUGGAAUUUAAAUUUUUUUUAGAUUAAAAUAUUCAUAAAAUUAAUUUACGAUAGUCUACAUAUUUAUUUAAAAAAAUUAAUUUAAGAAAAAAAAUCGCCUAAAUUUAUUCUUUAAUAAUCCCGGGCUAAAAUUUUAUGCCAGAACAGUUGGAACAGAAAAACUGUUUCUAAGCUAAAAUAUUUUGCUUUUAGCCCAACCAUUGGAGAUGGUCUUAUUAGGACAAAAAGUAAUAAAACUUAUGUUUAGAAAACAAAUGUACCAAAAAUUCAAGAAAAUUUUAACAAAAAACUCCCGGUACUGUUUACUUUAACUAAAAACCACAUUUUUACACUAAAGAAUCAAUUCUGGUACUAUUCACUUUAUCUUUUAUUUUGUCCUUAUCGUUAAAACUCAAAGUUUUCGCCAAUUUCAUUAAUUUUCCUAAAAUUCAAAUGUACCAAGAAGCCAAAUGAACCAAAAAUUCAAAUGUACCAAGUAACAACAUGUACCAUUAUAAUUAAAUGUACCAAUAUAACCAAACGUACCUAUCAACAAGUUUUGUUACAUUCUAUUUAAUUUACUAAAAUAACUAUUUCAAUAAAAAAUAAAAAAAUCUUAAAUCAUCAUAAUUAGAGAUACAUAAAAAUUGGAAGAAAAAAGAAAAUGCUAUCGUGAAUAGACUUUUAAUGAAAUAAAAUUAAGGGUAAAGUACAAAAAACUACCUCAACUAUUGGUGUCACGACACUUUCAUACCUCAUCUUUUAAAAUUGACAAUGUCAUACCUCAUCUUACAAAUUUGUGUCAAUGGUAUACCUUUCGUUAGGGUUGGCAUGAAUUUCUCAAUUAAAUGCUGACGUGGCUUGAUCCAAGACCAAUUUUCUAUUAAAAAAUUAUUAAAAAUUAAAAAAAUUUAAUAUUUUUUAAAUAUUAAAAUUAAAAAAAAAAAUAACUCUCAGUCAGUUCGUCCCCUCCCCCCUUCUCUCUCUUCUCCCCAUCAUCAUCUUCUUCCCCCUUCCUGCAACUGCAACCCAGAAAAAAAAGAAGAGAAAAAAAAAACCAAUUUGUCUUCCCCCCUCCCCACCCCCUCUUCACCCCGCACCCACUCUCCGCACCCAACCUCCCCACCUUUGCACCCAACCUCGCACCCACUACCAGCAACCCAAAAAAAAAAAAUCCAAAUCCUGUUGAGGUGGAAUUAGGAAACCUUCGCCAGGACGAUUUCGAAGGUUGAGACCCUAAGCGCGGAGAAAAUAGGGGGAAUGGGUGUGGAGGGAAAAGGGUGGGUGCCGGGGGGGGGACGGACGAACUGGGUUUCCUUUUUAUUUUUUAUUUAUUCUCUCUCUUCUUCUUCUUCUUCUUUCUUCUUUCUGGGUUUGUUCGGGGGGGGGGGGGAGAAGGGACUGGGUUGGGUUGGGUUUUUUUUUUUUUUUUUUGUCUUCUUCUGCUUCUUCUUCUUUCUCCUUUUUUCUGGGUUGCAAUGGGUUGGGUUUGUGGUGGGGGGAGAAGGGACGAACUGGGUUUGGUUUGGGGUUUUUUUUUUCCUUCUUCUUCUUCUUUCUGGGUUUGUUGUUGAGGGGGGGGAAUUGGGUUGGGUUUUUUUCUUCCUCCUUUCUUUUUUUUUUUUUUUUGUCAAUCCUUCUGCUUGGGUUGCAGGAAGAUGGGAAGAGAGAGAGAGGGGGAAAGAUGAACUGAUCUGAGGUUUUUUUUUUCCCCUUUAUUAUUUUAGUAUUUAAAAAAAUAUUAAAUAAUUUUUUUUUAAUUUUUAAUAAUUUUUUAAUAGAAAAUGAAACCGAAUCAACCCACAUCAGCAUUUAAUUGAAAAAUUUACGAUCAAGUAAUAGAAUGUAUAACAUUAGCACAAAUUCGUAAGAUGAUGUAUGAUAUUGUCAAUUUUAAAAGAUGAGUCAUGAAAGUUAUGAUAAUUUUUUGUAGUUUACCUAAAAUUACGUACCAAAAAUUGUAGGAAAAAUGUUUAAUCAAAUUUGCAGAAUAUACGUUCAGUAACAUUUAAAAAGUUUUGCCCAACUCAAUAAACACGAGUCAACAACUUUCAAGAAUCUGUAUAAUGUGUUCGUCCCUUAUAAAAACAUAUCACUUGAGGUGAUUAAUUAUACGAACAUAAUCAACUUCUAGAAACUUAAAAUUACAUGAUUAACCAAAAUCAUACUUAGGAAUCUAAGCAAAGAAUCAGAAGAAAUAUGAGAAAAAAGGAAUGGGGAACUUACAAGAUCUUUGAAAAUGAUAAAAGCGAUUACGAAGACAACAAAAGAGGAUUUCGAUCUCGGCGAAUGGAACGAACCGAAAGACCGACUUGACACCCUGAGUCAAUGCGGAUGCAUUUGAAACUCGCUUCGCCACGGCUGCGCGGUCGGGUUGGGCUUUGGAGUCGGAUUUAAUACCAUCGGAAUUAGAUCGGCGAUCAUCCGAUGAGCGAUGGUGGUCAGGUGGUGGUGUGAUUGGUGUCACGGAUGGGUGGAGCCGCGGAGAGCUGGAGGCGGAGGUGGAGGCAGGCAGGUCUGUGUGGACAGUUGGAUCUGGGUGUGGGUGGACGAUGCGGCCUUAGCCUGUAGUCUGGUCGCGAAGAACUUAUGAAGACGAAGAGAAAGGCUUGGAGCUUGGAAGACGGAGAGACCGAAGCGUCGAUGGUGAAGAUUCGAAGAUGCAGGAGGGUGAAAAUUUGGUUUGGUUAUUCUCUAUAUUGCUAAUUGGUUUUGAUGGAAUCUCAACUUUCUUCAUGGUAUCAGAACAAGUUGUUCCAUGUGUAAAGCCAAAUUGCCACAUGGGCUCCAUGUCAUCCCGUUAUGUUGUCCACAUGUUAGACUUGAAAAUUUGCCACAAGUGAAAUCAGAGGAGGGACCUUGUAUUAGCUUAUAAGAGGUUAUAUUGCCAAUUGGUUUAAUUUUAAGAUGUGUUAUCCACACACAUUUUUUCACUUUUCACACACCUUAAUUUUUUGUCUUCAGAUCGAAUAAGUUGAGGAAGAUCAACUAAAUUAAUAAAGGAUGUCUGAGAAGUCCACACAUCCCUUAAUUUAUGAUAGAACCUCAACUUUCUUCAGACACCCAUGGCCAUGAGACUCACACUGCAUCAAUAGCAGUAGGGAACUUGGUCAGCAAUGCAAGUCUUACCAUUUAUAUUGGACAAGGAGUUUAACCAUUUAUGCUUAGUACUGAUCACUUCGGUUCUUUGGAUGAAUGUAUGUAUAGGUAUGAAUGGUGUGGUGUCUGUUUUCCCCAAUGAAAAGAAGAAGCUCCUCACAAGAACGUUAUGGGACUUUAUUGGGUUCCCGGAAAGAGAGUCGAGUAGCAACAAUCUUGACGAAAGCAAUAUCAUUGUAGGAGUGACUGAUACUGGAAUUUGGCCGGAAUCUGACCUAAAAAUGGGAAGGCACAUGACAAUCCUAAGCCAACAUUACUUGUAAUUUGUAUGGCAAACUAGUUUGUUGUCUGUUACUCCAAUCAUCAAUACAUGUAGAAUGUUGUUUUAUUAAAUUUGAUCAUGUGAAAUGAUGACUUUUGAAAACAUUAGGAAAUAGGAAAAGGCUAUAGUUUUCAAAUAAGGAUUUGGAUCUCAUCCGGAUCAAAAUUAUGGGGAUCAUAGGGAUCCUCAUAUCCUAACUAUUUAUCGUAUAUCGUGCGACCAGAAAUCAUUUUGAAAUUUUUAUUUAAAAAUUAAACGCAAAUAGUACUUAACGAAAACUGAUCGCACGUUAUACGAUGAACGAUUAUGAUGUGAGGAUCCUUAGGCCAUCUCCAACCGAAGGGUCCGGAGGGCCAGAUGGCUGAAAGAACCAAGAUGUUCAAUCUCAAUGACCUUCUCUUUAACUUUGUCUUGAACUUUCAGAUAUUCGAUAUCCAUUAGCCUCGAUGCUUUUGAUCUUCUUUUGGUACCUUAGAACUUUCUGAAUCAAAUGAUUGUUUUUUUUUAAAUUUUUUUUUUUUUUUUUUGAACAAACAAUAUUAUCUACACUAAGGGGGAGAGAGUGUGCUUAGCCUCACAAUGGGCUAGCAAUAAUGUGAUUCAAUCAGUUAUUUAUUAAAUAUUAUUCUCUCUAUUUUUAAACACAUUCAAAACAUCUUAAGAGGUGCAUACCACCGGUGACAAAAAAAGGUCUUUCGCAAGCGCACAAUAAUGUGAUUCAAUCAGUUAUUUAUUAAAUAUUAUUUUCUCUAUUUCUAAACACUUAAGAGGCAUGCAAUGCCGGUUAUAAAAAAGGCAUUUUGCCCGCGCAUAACAAUGUGAUUCAAUGACACACCUCGACCCGGAAUGUCCACUAGGACUCUGAAUCGAGCUAUGUUGGUGGAAGAUGACAAAGCCAUAAAGUAUAGUGAUGUGGAAAAUGUGAAUAAAUUUAAACCUAAAAGUGCCUAAACACAAGGGUGCGCUGUGAGCGGGAAUGAACCCAUUUCACAUGCAACGUCAGAGCAUAAGUAAAGUACAGUAGUGUGGGUAAGGAUCAUACCCUCAGAGGUAGCCACCUAUACUAAGAUUCGCCAAGAAUCCUUGUCGAUAUCAGUAGCUAAAACUUGGAGAGGCAAAAAAAUAAGGGUGAGUGAGCCUGAAAAUAAAGUUUUAAUAAAAACCUUUUGAAAACGUUUUAACCUUUCGCUGUAAAACCUGUAUAGUUUCUAGAAAUUAAUACUAUAUAUAUAUGUAAAACAAUGCACAAAGACAGUAAAAACCAAGUAUGACAUGUCAUAACGUUUCAACAUUGAAAUAUGUGAGCCAGGUGUGAAAAUCAAGGUAAAAUAAUAUGCCAGCUGGAGUCACCUAACGUGACCUGUAUGGCUGAACCUAUAACUCAUCAAUGUAUGCUUGCACACGAGUCAGAACCACCUAAUGUGGUCUGUAUGACAUGCUAGGUGUAAAUAAAUACGCUCAAGUUCUACGAUCACGUGAAGGCUGUGCGAAUAAUCGCAGGUCAGCUACGAGUUAGAACCACUUAUUGUGGUCUAUAUGACAGGGAUGGCACCAAGUUUGGAUCCAAGGUGAGCGUGCGGUGCAUGAGGUGAACAUUACAUGAAAGAUUAUGCCUGGCCUAGGGUGGAAGCACUAACACCGAGGUGCAUCAAUGAUGAACUCUAAAUGCAUCUAUGCAUAACAAUGUGCAAUACAACCAAUACCAUCACAAUAUACUCACCUGAAGCUUACCUAAGCCUCUGCAGCAUCAAACGAUAUAAUGCAUAACAAUAGUAAUGAAAUACUAAAAAUAUAAUUCAUUCAUGACAUGGCAUUCAAAGCAUAGCUCAUAUAAAAAUGUUUCUGGAAACCGUAAAGCAUAUAUAUAAAUACUGUAAAAAGGAAGAAGACCCACUCACUUAGAGUCUGUGCUACAAUUCCCUAGCACAAACAUCGAGCCAUCAAGAACGAUCGGUGCCUAGAACAAUUAUCAAACCACAUCUCAGAAUCCUUAUCAAUAGAACAUAUAACUUACAUAAAACACAUCCCCGAGGACGUUCUAGAAUGAUUUGAGACCCAUUGACCAAAAGUUAACCGUCGCUUAAAGAUUGACAGUAGGGUCUACAACCCUAGAUAAUUCGAUCUGGAAGAUCUGCAUCUCAGAUUUUCCAAUCCGUAACUUCCAAAUAUCCACAUUAUGCUUCUAAAACAUCAUAUUAAAGUUUCAUUACGAUCCAACGGUUUGAUCUUCGCCAAUUACCAAAACCAAGUGGCGGCCGACAUUUUAUUUUACGAACUUACAAAUCCAAUUCGGAAAUACCCACACUUUAGAUUCCAUAUCUGUAAAUUCCUAUGGUCCUCAAAUAUUACGUACUAUCUGUAAAUUCCUAUGGUCCUCUUUAUUCAGUUGAAUAUCCAAUAGUUCUCAUUCUCCAAUGCCUCUAUCAUUUCAUCUCAAAUACGCUACAAAGAAAGGUAGGCCUACAAAUAACAAUCAGAGGGAGUACAAAAGGUGACCAAAAUAUAGCGCCCGAGCACAGUGAUAAGUGAGCAAGGGUCGCUGUAUCUCCAUCGGCACCCGGAUGCAGUGUUAAAUGAGCAAGGGGGCCAUAGAAACUUCUUUUCGAACGACUCCACUCAAAGUUGUUUGGGAGCAUAUGCUCCUAUCAACUUUACCCGGGACACACAAAAGAAGUACUUUGAUCCUAUUAGACGGGGGAGGGUGAAGAAGCUAGGACAGAAGGGUAGAGUUCAAGAGAGCAAAAUGCGUUUAGGAACGUGGAAUAUAGGAACCUUAACGGGAAAAUCUAUGGAAGUAGUGGAAGUUAUGGUGAGGAGAAGGAUAAAUAUUAUGUGCCUACAAGAAACUAAGUGGGUUGGUAGUAAGGCAAAGGAUCUAGAAAACUCAGGGUUUAAACUUUGGUAUUCGGGCACAAAUAGAACGAGAAACGGUGUUGGCAUCAUCGUGGACAAGACCUUGGUACAAGAUGUUGUAGAUGUCAAGAGGGUAGGAGAUAGAAUCAUGGCAAUCAAGAUUGUAAUAGGACAAGAACUUAUCAAUGUGAUUAGUGCGUACGCACCUCAAGUAGGGUUGGAUACGAGUUCGAAGGAGAAAUUUUGGGAAGAUCUUGGAGACUUGGUGCAAGGAAUUGCUCAGACGGAGAAGUUAUUUAUAGGAGGAGAUUUAAAUGGACACGUGGGCAGGGAGACAGGCAACUAUGGAGGUUUUCAUGGUGGCCAUGGUUUUGGGGAGAGAAACGAGGAUGGGGAAGCUAUCUUGGAUUUUGCAAUGGCAUAUGAUCUCUUCUUAGCCAACACCUUCUUUAAGAAGAGAGAAGAACAUGUGAUCACCUACAAGAGUGGGUCGUCAAAAACACAAAUAGAUUUUCUUCUAAUGAGGAAAGGGGAUCGUAUAACUUGUAAGGAUUGCAAAGUUAUACCAGGAGAGAGCGUGGCUAAUCAACAUCGCUUGUUGGUGAUGGAUGUACAUAUCAAAAUAGUAAGACAAAAGAACAAGACUUGGAAGUGCCCAAGGACUAGAUGGUGGAAUCUAAAAGAAGAAAAACAAGUUAUUUUCAAAGAGAAGGUAAUCACCCAAUGUGUGUGGGAUAGAGAGGGGGAAGCUAGCCAAAUGUGGGAUUCCAUGGCUAGUUGUAUCCGAAAAGUAGCAAAAGAGGUAUUAGGAGAGUCCAAGGGCUUUGCCCCACACCAAAAGGAAUCUUGGUGGUGGAAUGAGGAGGUACAAACAAAGGUGAAAGCUAAGAAGGAAUGUUGUAAAGCCUUAUACAAGGAGAGGACCGAUGAAAAUGGUGAAAGGUAUAGAAAAGCGAAGCAAGAGGCGAAGAAAGCUGUCAGAGAAGCUAAGUUAGCGGCUUACGACGAUAUGUAUAAACGACUAGAUACCAAAGAAGGAGAGUUGGAUAUCUAUAAACUAUCUAGAGCAAGGGAAAAGAAGACAAGAGACCUAAACCAAGUGAGGUGCAUCAAGGAUGAGGAUGGAAAGGUUCUUGCUACAGAGAACGCGGUUAAAGACAGAUGGAGAGGUUAUUUUUCAUAAUCUUUUCAAUGAACGACAUGAAAUGAGUGCUUCUUUAGGGGAGUUGAGUAACUCAGAAGAGUGUAGAAACUACUCUUUUUAUCGUCGAAUCCGGAAGGAAGAAGUGGUUGUAGCUUUGAAGAAGAUGAAGCAUAAAAAAGCAAUAGGCCCAGACAAUAUACCAAUCGAAGUGUGGAAACUUUUGUGAGAGACAGGUAUAACAUGGCUCACUGAUCUUUUCAAUAGGAUUUUGAAAACGAAGAAGAUGCCAAAUGAGUGGCGAACGAGCACUUUGGUGCCUAUCUACAAGAAUAAGGGCGACGUACAAAAUUGCAUGAACUAUAGGGGUAUUAAGCUAAUGAGUCAUACAAUGAAGCUCUGGGAGAGAGUCAUUGAGCAUAGAUUGAGGCAAGAGACACGGGUUUCGGACAACCAAUUCGGGUUCAUGCCAGGCCGCUCAACCAUGGAGGCAAUCUAUCUCUUACGAAGAUUGAUGGAAAAGAUAUAGAGAUGGGAAAAAGGAUUUACACAUGGUCUUUAUAGAUUUGGAAAAAGCGUAUGAUAGGGUCCCAAGAGACAUUCUUUGGAGGAUUUUAGAGAAGAAAGGAGUACGAGUAGCAUAUAUCCAAGCUAUAAAGGAUAUGUAUGAAUGAGCAAAGACUGCCGUAAGAACUCAUGAAGGACAAACCGAAAGCUUUCCCAUAACUGUAGGAUUACAUCAAGGCUCAUCCUUAAGUCCUUACCUUUUUGCGUUGGUAAUGGAUGAGUUAACAGGACAUAUUCAAGAUGAUAUUCCUUGGUGUAUGCUUUUCGCAGACGAUAUAGUGUUGAUAGAUGAAACUCAGGAAGGGGUAAAUGCAAAGCUUAACCUUUGGAGAGAAGUGUUGGAAUCUAAAGGUCUUCGCCUAAGCCGAUCAAAGACAGAAUAUAUGGAGUGCAAGUUCAGUGCAAAUGGAGGCCAAAACGAGUUAGGGGUGAGGAUCGGAGAUCAAGAAAUACCAAAGAGCGACCGUUUUCGUUACCUAGGAUCUAUCUUGCAAAAGAAUGGAGAAUUAGAUGGAGAUCUCAACCACAGAAUACAAGCUGGAUGGAUGAAGUGGAAGAGUGCAUCCGGCGUGUUGUGUGACUGCCGUAUGCCACUGAAGCUCAAGGGAAAAUUUUAUAGGACGGCAAUAAGGCCGGCGAUGCUGUAUGGCACAGAAUGUUGGGCGGUGAAACAUCAACACGUACACAAAAUGGGUGUAGCGGAGAUGAGGAUGCUUCGUUGGAUGUGUGGGCACACGAGAAAGGAUAAGAUUAGGAAUGAGGAUAUCCGGGGUAAAGUAGGAGUAGCCGAAAUUGAAGGAAAGAUGAGAGAAAAUCGGUUACGGUGGUUUGGACAUGUGCAAAGAAGGCCUACUGACGCUCCGAUUAGAAGAUGCGACUAUGGGACAGAGGUUCAAGGCCGAAGGGGUAGAGGAAGACCUAGGAAAACUUUGGAAGAGACUCUAAGAAAAGACUUAGAGUACUUGGAUCUAACGAAGGACAUGACUCAGGAUCGAGCACAAUGGCGUUCUAAGAUUCAUAUAGCCGAUCCCACUCAGUGACUUGGAUUUUCCAAGUCUCUAACCGAGAAGUUUUCCUCACUCGGGAAAUUAAGGGAACACUACCCCAACCUACAUGCUCCACUCAGAAAGCUUUCAACAUACAAGCUUCAACAAAAGAAAAUUCAAAGAACUUAGCGAAGAAGGCUUUGGUGUAUUUAACACAAUACGUUGAAAUGAAGGAAAGCUUAUUUAUUGAUAUCCCCG
rnacentral:lncRNA from 1 species